AACGAGCUCGGUGUCCAUAGCUACCUACCUACCUACCUACCUAGCUGAUGCCCCCUGUCGUACGUCCAUCCAUGGAUCCAAGCAUAGCUAGCCUUCUUGGGAGAAAUGAAAUGGGGGAAGAGGAGGAGGAGGAGAGAGAAAGAAGAGAGAGAGGUGUCAGUGAGUGUGCGGUGGUGGAGUAUUAUUGGUAGGUGAGGCACUAAUUAUGAGGAGGACAGGGAUGGCUACCUGCAUUGGAUCUGGUGAAUGCAUAGAUCCAUCCAUCCAUCCAUCCACUCCACUUCACCCUUCUCUUCUGCUGCUCCAAUUCACUCUCUCUUUUUUUGUUAAUUUUUUUCUUUUUUUUUUCUUUUUGAGGGCUCUCCUUGUUAUUGUUAACUUAAUUUGUGAGGGGAACCCAGAGAGAUGUACAUUGUACAUAGCUGCAUCCACUUGACAAUAUUGGAAGAAAUAAUCUGUCUCUCACAUGAUCACUCUCUUGUCAUUUGUGAACAUGUUUUAUGUUCAUGUGUGUCUAGCUACGUGCCUAAGUUGUGUGAUGUCAAUAGCAAUAUAAUUUGGCUGCUUGCAUAUGUAGUACAAGUAUAAUGCAUGGGUGGAUGGAAUCUCCAAUUGGGGUUCCCAAGAGAUGUGUUCCUCUCAUGUUUGGCGAUUAGGGGGCUAUCAUCAGGUACUGUCUGAAAGCACUGUGUAGGGGGACAAUCAGGAUGAGCCACCCUUGCUUAACGCAACGUGCAAGCGCCUAGGUAGUCACCACACUAGCUCCCUGGAUACGUAGGCAUGAUGUUACUAUAGUACACCUAUACAUCAGCAAAGCUGGUAAUAAGCUGCCUUGUGACUAAUAAACAAGGAACUUGUACAAAGGAGAUGUAAUGAGCUGGCUAGUAGGCGUUGAAACUUCAAUUGCCGCAGUUUAGGAUGUUGCUUUGCUCACUCGAAGCUCUUCCGAAAACAAUUAACAACACUAUUAUUUGGAAUUCAGGAUGUUGCUUUGCUUAGUGUGCGAUGACGCGAUGCUUCAGGUUGGUGCUUCGAAUGAAUAUGUUCCUUUUUCUCUCCCUGGAACUGAAAAGAACUUUAAAAUCAAUGAUGUGGCUUAAAAGGAACGGUUUCGGUCAUAGGCAGGCAACGCCCAAUUUUUAAUGUUUGGCCUUUCUUCCGAAACAUUUUUUUAAAAAAAAUAAACCUUUGGGGAAAUAUCCUUUGAAAGCAGUCCCCUAAAAAUCAUCUUUGGCGCUGUGGUGAUCUUGCACGGAGAGGUAAUUUUGAGAAAUUGUUUCUCUCUGGCUGCCAGUUUCUACCCUAAAAGAAAAAGAUAGAAAUGGUUAAAAUGUAAAAGUUUCACUUGAGGCAAUCACCCCCCGUGUUGGCCGUGUACCAGAAAAAGGUUGUCCACCGCCAUCAAUUUCUUGGGCCCCGUCCGGCCGGCCCGGCCCGGCCACGGACGCGGGCAAUUAAACACAUCUGCAGUCCGGCAGCCGUGUGCCGCUGCCGCUGCUGCUGUCUCGUCAGAACUAGGGUUUCGCUUCAGUUUUUCAACUGGAUCGGAGGCCAAGUUCCUCCCUCCCCCCCUCUCUCUCUCGAUCCACAGUGCCACGUAGUACGAGUACUGAAAGCACUUGGCCCCCCGUCGAUACUUUGAGCGCUGCGCGGACGGCGGCGUCACGCAUCUGCCGGACGAUCGAUCGAGACGGUGACGAUCUGCUCAUCAUCUGCACCCUGUUCUUGCGUUCCGUGGCCAAUUAGUGGAGGUGGAGUGCCUUGUUCGCUUGCCUGUGUGGUUACUGUCAGUCUGUCAUGGUUGUAAUCUCAAAGCGAAGAGAGAUGAACAUUCAGACGAAAGCGAUUGCAGAGGUUCGGCACUCAGGCACACGACGCACGGUGAUGUUUUCUGUUUUUUUUGCAAAGAACUGGAUCUUACAAUUUGAAAUUCAUGUGUCCACUUUGUUUGAAAAAUGAUGGUGAUAAAGUUGCAGUCAAAGGAAGGGAUCCUUGGCCUCGCAAAAGAGAGGAGGAACGGAGGUAACAACUGUGUCAGAUGCGGACUAGUAUGCAGUAAAGACCUGCCUGCUGCACAGAGAGCUUGUUGGCUCCCUUUUAGCAUGCGUGCGUGUUCUCGCUUCUUGGUGGCCCGGGGGUCUAUAAGCGGGAAACGGAUCAAAGUGACAGGCCCAUGUAGACUUCUGGCCUUCUCUUUUCAGGCAGCAAUUCAAUACUUCAUCAGUGGCAGUGCAAUGUUCAGUUCAGCACCGGAUGAGGAGCACUGCAGUGACUUAACGAGGGGUACUUGAUACUGGGUGCUAAACUUUAUCAGUGUCAUAUUGGAUGUUCGGAUGCUAAUUAGCAGAACUAAACAUGAGCUAAUUAUAAAACUAAUUACAGAACCCUAUGCUAAUUCACGAGACGAAUCUAUUAAGCUGAUUCAUCUCGCGAAUUAGACUCCAUCUGUGCAAUUAGUUUUGUAAUUAGCUUAUGUUUAAUACUCCUAAUUAGCAUCAAAACAUCCGAUGUGACAGGUGCUAAAUUUUAGUGGGGUGUAUCCAAACAUCCCCUGAAGCCAGCGAACCCAGCUACAGUUUUUUUUUCUUAAAACUUCAAAACCAGAAUACCAGAUUAGCUAUUUGAGAUUUUGACGAUGUUUUGGACCAAUACAUGUUACCACGGAACAAGGCGUUUCUCCAAGGAAUUCCGUUUUUGGCAGGUUUUGAGAACGAGCAGUACAAGAGAACGCACGGAGCAAGGCAAAGGUAUAAAAAAUAAUUGUACGGAGGGAAAAAAAAAGAGAGCAAAGGGUGUACAUAUGGGCCUCAGGAUUUUGGAUUGCGGUUAGUCGUCCUCCUCCUUGGGCCUGAUGUCAGCCACCUGCCGGUUCCCAUCACAAACCUACUUACAAAAAUUUGCUAAGGGUAUGUUUGGAUGUAGAUAUAUUGAGCUGUUGGAAUUGAAUUGGGUGCUAAUACCAAAUUAGUCUAGUAUUGGUAUUAGGUUGCAAUACCAAAUCUAUUGUUUGGAUGCAGAUGAAAUUGUCGGUUGGAAUUUCACGGGUUGCAAAUCCAAUUCACGUUUGGAUGUGUAUGUCCUAGAAUUGAGAAUUGAUCGCCUUGCUCAAAAAAAGAAUUGAUUGCUCCUCUUCGGAUCUAAAAAAAUAGCCACAUCUUCUCUCCAUGACGCUCUCCCAUAGUUGCUCUAUCCUCGAUGCGGGCACGAAAUCCCCCCCCUCUGCCUAGACCGGCCUGGACGCGGAGGUCUACCCCCGCCGCGUGCGGCCGCCGUUGCUCGCUCGGGCUGGAGCGUCGCUCAGGCCUCGUAGGAGAAGGCCGCACCGCCCGCAUCUGGGGCGGAGCUCGCCCGCACCAACCUUGCCUCAUUGGAGAAGAUGACAGGGAUCUUGCUGGAGAAGAAGAGGGGGCGGUGCAGCUCAUCGACAGAGGGAGCUAAGGAAAGGGUGGCGUUUCUUGAGCGGAGGAAGGAAGGGAGGGGCGGAGUAGCUUGCUGGCCAAGGGAGGCGGGAGGGGCCGCGUGUAGAAGAAGGAUGGGGAGGGGCGGAGCGGCUCACUAGCGGGGGGAGCUAGGGGAGGAGGGCACAGAUCGUGCCGACGCUAGCGGAGGUGCGACAGUCGAGAGAGAGAUAUGUGGGGAUGGGAGAGAAUGAUUCCAUCCAAUACAGAGGGGGUUGGCUCGGUAUCGUGGGUGAGCUGAAUACCUAGUUGGUAUUGAGGCUCAUUUCCAAUUCUGAAUUCUAGAGCAUCCAAACAGUCAGCAUUCGAAGCUACCACUACCAAUUCCAAAUUCUGAGGCUCAAUAUCUACAUCCAAACGCUACCUGAACGCCUUUGUGGCUUGGCUUGCACACACAAAAUCAUCUCUUCCUUUCUCAUUUCAACCUUUUUUAUUACAACAGGACAAGCCACGACACAAAGACCGGCGGUACUCGUGAUUAAGUUGUUAGAGCUUUACCUUUUACCUACUCUAAGAAAAGCUCUACUUACUUUUACUUUUUAUUAAAAAAACAUUUUUCGCAUCGCCCAGUCCGCUUCUUAUCUCCUUCAACCCCUAGAUGUCGCCGCACCGCUGUCUCGAAUCCGCUGCAUUCUUUGCUGAACCGUUUGUCAUCAUCCCGCUCCUUUGCUAAAUUUUCGCCAUCGCCGCCAUGUUUUUCGCCACUAGCUCGGAGUAGCUCUAACCGGCAUCAUAGAUUCCAUCUUUCUCCCUUCUUCACAAAAGAUCUAGGAACUCAACUUCUCCCAUCGAUGGAAGGAUCUCCAGGUCCAUUUGCUGAUGAUGUCAACCUCCUCGACCUCCAUGAUGGCACAAGCAACCAUAGGUACGCAGGAUUUCAACCUUUUUUGUUUCUAAUUUCUGAAUGCUUAAAAUUUAAAUUUUAAGUACACUUUGUUGUAGACAAAUCGAUGACAUACGAGGGAUUACAAGUUUUUUUUGGUAAUAUAUAGUCUAAGCCAUGCCACAAUACCAUACACAUGCACGAUUAGAUGUUGAACCUCUACUUGUGUUGUUCGAAAUAUGACUACAAAAUAUUACACCGCACAACUAUAUGAAAAUAAAAUGAGGAAGGACUUUUGUUAAUCUUAGGUAUAUCCUUCUAGUUGCUAUUAACUUAUAAAUACUUCUUCCAUUCCUGAAAAGUGCAAUUCUAGCUUUUUUUUUUUAUACAGGUUAGUGGUGGUGUGAAAAGAUUCCCAUACCAUCAUUUGUUGGCCACAUGCAGUUAGUUUUGUCAUGCAAAUCAAAUCGAAGCACUCAAUUAGGAGGGCGGUUAAAUCCAAUUCCUAAAAUUGUACUCUUGUGAUUUUUUUUAAACGGUCAGUAUUGCAAUUUUUUAUGGAAUGGAAAAAGUAAGUACUAAAUUUUAAGUUACCUUUGUACGAAGAUUGAACACUUAAUAAACACUUUUUAAUAGUUUCCUCGUAACAAGCAAAUAAAGAAACUGCUUGGACGAAAGUGUAAAAGACGCAAAUAAUUAAAUGCUCCAAAGCAAUCAUAUGCCAUUUUCUUGUUAACCCCACAUCUGUAUCAUGUCAAGCUAACGUUACCAACUCCUAUUCCAGAUAAGCCGUUGUCCUGCAAAUAACACAGAAGCCACCAAGUAUAAAUGCAAAAUCUUUCCCUGCACAAAAAAGUGUAAACGCUAAAUUUGAAUUGAUGUGCAAAUCCUUGCAAAAUUCAGCCAAAAUAAUUCAAACUUGGGGGCAGAAUCACAAGCGCUCGUGAAACAAAGCACGCCGCAAUCUCCCCUUCUCUUCCACCCUCGCAUCCGGCUCCUCGCCAAAUCGCCGACCACCUAGCGCCCCCGCACGCCGCCGCGCAGAUCUGGUGGAGUAGGUCCCGUGGGCUCCCAGCGCGCGGUUCUAGAAGCUUCUGCGGUGGCGGCGACGGAGGAGGAGUCGGGGGAGCGAGAGAGGUCAGAGCCAGAGGUGGCCGCGGGCCCGAGGUCCGUGCGCUGGGGUUAGGGUUCGGGCAAACCCUAGCCGCCGCGCCAUGGCGUCGUACAGGCCGUACCCGCCGCCGCCGCAGCACCCGCCGCCCCCGCCACCGCAGGGCGGCUUCCCGCCGCAGAUGAACCCGUUCGCGCCGCCGCCGCCGCAGCAGGCGCCGUACGGCCGGAUGCCGGCGCCGCCUUACCACGCGGGGCCCCCCCCGCCGCCGCCGCCACCCGGCCCGCCACCGCCGCACCAGCCGCAGUUCAAUUUCGGCCCCGGCCCCCCGCAGCAGCCACUGCCCCCGCAGCAGAUGUACUACCAGCCCCCGCCGCCGCCCUACGGUGGGAACAGCAACCCGCCACCUCCUCCCCCUUCGGUGCCACCCCCGCCUCCGUCCCCUCCCCCUGUGGCUCCGCCCCCGCCCCCUCCGCCUCCGGCCCAGCCGCCGCCUGCCCAGGCCCCGCCGCCCCGAAAGGAGCAGCAGCCUAAGGCAGCGCUGCCGAGGGCAGAGACCGAGGAGGAGCGUCGUGCGCGUAAGAAGCGCGAGUUCGAGAAGCAGCGGGUGGAGGACCGGAAGCAGCAGCAGAUGAUGCGCGAGUCGCAGGCCACCGUUCUACAGAAGACGCAGCAGACGCGCCCUGCGCAUCAGCAGCCAUCGCAGAGCCGUCACCACCACCCACCGGGUGGCUCUCGGGCAGUGGCAACUGGGUCUCGCCCAGCAUCAGCGCCCAAUGCUGAGAGGUUUGAGAAUCGGCUCAAAAAACCAACAACGUUCCUGUGCAAGCACAAGUAAGUCGAGCCAAGUUUUGGUGUUUGCUAGUGCUAAUCCGGGGACAGUUUUGCUCAUUUAGGUUUUAAGUGUGUGCGCCCGCCAAAAUUUCAAUUCCCAGCAUGUGGUUGGGUAACAUCUUGAUUGGCCAUGCAUGCUAGGGGUGUAGAACAUGGCCACGUGUGCAAUCCUUAAUUAGUGGGAGUGACACAGGCUGCGUGUUAGAAGUUUGUGCGUCAUCGUUGAAUUGUACGGCUGUUGGGAUUAAAGGCUCAUUCUUGUCUGAAUUUGUUUCAUAGCUUCUUUGGAUUUUGUGCUUCUCUAUGUGUUUGAAGAGAUAAGCAAUUCAGCUUACUUCUGGAGAACUAUUGAGAAUAUAGUGCUCAAAAGGUUGAUGAGUUGUUCUACUGAGCAAUUUCUUUGUUAUGACUUGUAGCAGGGCAGGCACAUCAAGACUUAGUAAUUGUAUGAAAAGUGUUACUCUGAUAAAAUAGCAGUUUUCUGUUCCCUGUGUAUCUAAAAGUUUCUGAAUAUGUACAGGUUUUAUAGAGCCUUAAACAGAUCCCAAUUUGUCAAAUAUUUAAGUCUCGGUGAUCUAUGUCUGUUUCGUAAUAAUUGUGCACUUGAAUGAUCCUCUAUUACCUUUUCUUAUUGGUUAACACAGGUUUAGGAAUGAGCUUCCAGAUCCAAGUGCUCAGCUGAAAUGGCUGCCCCUGAAUAGGGAUAAGGACCGGUAAGCAUUAUUAGUUGUCUACUCUCCUUUUUUCAGGGCUGUUCUGUUCUGUUGCUACUUUUAUACUAGUAACUGGCAUAUCUGGAACGGUACAAGCCAUAUUCCAAUAUUGCUUGUCUACGGAUAAGGAAAGCCGUUUUUGCUUGUAGAUCAUAAAGAAGAUAUAAGCCUACCAUUGUUUUUGUUUUCCGCUGGCUGCCAAUGUAUCCCUUAUUUUGCUGUUUCAAAUUUUUUUGGUCAUUUCAUACAUUAUGGAAUGGGUAAGAACACACAUUCAUCCCUGUUGCAUUGAUGCCUAAUCUAAUUAUUUGUGCGGGUGAUGGCUAUACUGAUUUGAAGAAUUAAUAUAGGCAGGUGGGUUUUAUACUGGGCUAAUAUGGGUAAGCCAUAUGCCUGUUGGAGGGUUGGUGCUACUGUUAGCACGCUCAUUUCACCUGACCAAAAAAUUGAAAUCAAUUGUUUCAUUAUUUCUGCUACUCAUACAUAGAGAUGGUACCAUGAGCUUAUUGCUUCACAGGAGAUGGUAAACUUACGUAUAAAGUCAUAAAUAUGACAUAAUUGGAUGUCCUUUGCCACUGCCACCAUGGCAUGUCUUUUGCGCUAUGCUGCUUUAUUAUUGUAGAGUUUUUCCCAUAGCUAUCUGCUUCCUUGCUACCUGUAGUUUGCUGUAAGCUUAGUAUACCUUGGAUCUUUAUGCUGCUCUCAAUUAUGCUUAACUCUGGCAUUUUAAAAGCUUUUCAAAUUAUCUUGGAGGCCACUAUGCUCACUCUGUUUGGCUGUGUACUGCCUUUUCAGAUAUACCAAAUACAGGAUAACUUCAUUGGAGAAAAAUUACAUGCCUAAAAUGAUUGUCCCUGAGGAUCUUGGGAUACCUCUCGACCUACUUGACAUGAGUGUAUACAAGUAAGGAUUAUACUAGAGUAACUUAGACCAGUUUUCACGAGUCUGAUCAGUCUCUGAGGAUUUAUUGUAGUAUCCCUAAUUCAUACUGAUCAUGUCCCAGCCCCCCUGCUGUUCAGCAGCCUUUGGCUCCUGAAGAUGAAGAGCUAUUGCGAGAUGAUGAGGUCCUCACCCCUAUUAAACAAGAAGGUAUAAGGAAAAAGGAGAGGCCCACUGACAAAGGUGUUUCUUGGCUGGUCAAGACACAAUAUAUAUCUCCACUGAGUACUGAUGCAGCUAAAACGGUAAAGCAUAUUGAGUUUUGUUUGUUCUUAGUUGCAGUUAACGAUAUAUAUUAAAGAAAUUGCUUGGUUAUGUAUGCAGUCCCUUACUGAGAAGCAAGCAAAGGAAAUACGAGAAUCAAGGAUGGGUCGCAAUGCUUUCCUGGACAACCUUAAUGAUAGGUUUGGUUCUCUUUCUAUUCGUGCUCCUCUUUGGUUUGUAAAGAUUAUCUUGUGCUGCAACAUGCAUACCUUGUGUUCUGUGUAGUCAUUCACACUAUGUUCCCGUUCAUGUGUAUAUCAGAGAGAAACAGAUCAAAGCCAUCGAAGAAUCCUUCAGAACAGCCAAAUCACGACCUGUUCACCAGACUAAACGUGGGAUGCAAGUUGAGUGGGUUAUGCCUCUGCUACCUGAUUUUGAUAGGUAUUUACUUCUCAGAUGUUGAUUUAUAUGUACAUUAUUCAUUUUUUAUACCAGAUGUGGUGCCGGUAGUUUACUGAGCUAUGCCUUCUUACCUCUUUAUUUGUGUAUCUAUGAAAAGAAAAGGCCCUUGCUAUAUGACCGGAAAGUUCAUUUUCUUUAACAGUAAUUUGUGAAAUUUCCCCUAUUGCUUCAUUACCCUUUUGAGGUAUAACUGCACAAAAGUUUACCUUAAGAGCCAUAUAGAAAGGUUGGAUAUUAUGUUACUCUUAUCUUGACCUCUGUUCACCUAAACAGGUACGAUGAUCCGUUUGUUAUGGCGAAUUUUGAUGGAGAUCCGACUGCUGAUUCUGAGCAGUACAACAAGCUUGAGAGAACUGCACGAGAUGAAUGUGAAUCCCGGGUUAGUUCCUUUUGCUCAAUUUUCUUCUGCCCUAGGAUUUCUUAUUCAAUUGCAAUCCCCUCUUGGAUAUAGGUAUAUCUAGAGUUUAGUGGAGGUACUGUAGUAUAGUUCAAAUUUAUGGCAUGCCCAUAUCAAAGUGAAUUCUAGAGUCUAGACCAAUGUUACCGGGGCCUGCCAUGUCUUUUGCUGUGUCGACUCGUAUUGCUGUGUCUCAUAUCAGACACCUCGGAGCGUAUCAAAGGCAAAAGCUGAAGGUUUGAAGCUAUAUGGGAGGGCCAGGGCUGGGAAAGAAGAGUGGAGAUAGAGAAGGGAAGGCAAAGGAUGCCAGUGCAGGAGACAGAGAACUGCAGCCAUGGCAGGGCCGUGCGCAGGGGCAGCCAGAUCCACUGAGAGGGCUGUUGGUAAAACUGAGAGCAUUGGACAGGCGAGGACAUGGGCUAUCAUUUUACGUUGCUAGCCCUUGUUGUUGGUGAUGGCUGGCAGCGAGCAAUUUAGAGUGGCCGUAUGAGGGUUUAGGGUAAGUCAUGGUUAGAGGUGGCCUAGUGGGCCGGAAACGGCACCCCUAAUUUAUUCUCUUUUAUUUUUUCCUUUUAGAUGCAUCAUGCAUGCUUGGGUCGAUCAAUGGCAUAUUUAUCAGUAGGACUCAGGAGUGUGAUAUUACAGCAAAUUCUAUAAAACAAUUUCUGAUUCUAUUUUCUGUUUGAAUUUAUUUAAAACAAAACAUAUAUUAGACAAACCUCUGAAUGCUCUUUUCUAGAGUUUGUGGAAUUGGACACCCGCACCCGAGUUGGACUUCAAUGCAUGCACAUAUUUUUGGACAUGGCUCCCAAAUGACUACACCUAGAUGACGGCCUUGCUUAUAUUUGAAACGUUUUUAUGUUUUCAUGGCAGGCUGUGAUGAAAAGUUUUAGUGUCAAUGGUUCAGACCCUACAAAACAAGAGAAGUUUUUGGCAUACAUGGCCCCAGCACCCCAUGAGGUAUGAAUUUGUUCGGGUAUAUUUCUAUUCAAAACGUUAUGCACUACGUGAUUCUGAUGGUGACUAUUGUUGUUUCAUCAGCUUGCCAGAGACUUGGAUGAUGAAGAUGAUAUACAGUAUUCUUGGCUAAGAGAAUAUCACUGGGACGUAUGUGUUGUUUUCCUACUUAUUCUUUGAUUGUGUCUAUUAGCUGGUGGCAUAAUACUUAUCCGUUCCACAUAUGUACAUACGUUUCUUGUUUCUGAUUCAGGUAAGAGGAGAUGAUAAAGAUGAUCCUACAACAUACCUCGUCACGUUUGAUGAGGAGGAGGGUGCAAGAUAUUUGGUAACUUGUUAUGUUCAUUCUCAAUUAAUUUUGUAUCUGAGAAUUAUUCUUGGCACAUGAGUGUAAACUGAUGCCAUUUUAUUGGUCCUUUCUGCAGCCUCUUCCUACUAAGCUAGUUUUGCAGAAGAAGAAAGCUAAGGAGGGGAGAUCUGGGGAUGAAAUUGAGCAUUUUCCUGUACCUUCCCGAAUUACUGUGAGCAGAACAGCUCAUGGUGGUACCAUGGAGCAUGGAGAAUCUUCUGGCAUGCAUGUAACGGUUCAGUCUUUCUUGUAGUUCAUCAUGAAAUCUCUCUUUUGAGCUAAAAAAAUUAUUAAAUCAGUUCUCUGUUUCUCUAAGUAUCUUAUGUAAGCAUUUUUCUCACUGAACCUUAUGUCUAAUCGCUUGACUUCUUGCUAUUAAUUCACAUUAUUGCUGUCACAAUCACUACCUUCAUGUGAUCACUAGAGCAUUAUUCGAUUUCUGUUCUCCUUUUUAUGCCAUGUUUUACAUGAGAGCACACUACUAAGAAAAACACGUGAUGAGCGCACCCCCUAUUGAAUACCAUUCUCUUCCUCUUGCUGUCUCAUAGACCAUUCAUUGUUAAUCCUAGUGAUCGAUGAACAAAAGGAUGCAAUCUUAAUGUAACAUACAUUGAAUGAUAUGGGACACUUUAUGCAAAUGUACAUUUGCCUCUUCAAAGUCCUACAACAAAUAAAAUAGAAUGUAUUGUCACUCCUAAAACAUGAAAUGAAAAGGAAUAAAAAGCAGUUGUUUUAUGCAUUACAUGUACCUUUUAAUUCAAGGUUUUCUUCGUUUAUAGGAGAAUUCGAAGCGCCGAAGAUCUCCUGUUGAUGAUGAUCUUGAUGAGCAUCCAAAGCAUUCUCGGGGAGAAGAUAUGGAGCAAUAUAGUGGAGAUGAAUAUUCUGAGUGAUUAUCUGAUAAAUCGUAAUUAUCUUGCACCAACAAAUUUGAUCAGCACAUAUGAAGCUCUAAAGAUCUCAUGCAUAUACUGUGGGGCCUUCAUAAGUGGUUUAUGGUGCAUGGUCAUGCAAUGAGAUGGUGCCUGACAGAGUGAGGGCAUUCGGGCAUUGAUGGUUUUUGAAGGGCAGAGUAUAUGAAAGAAAGCUGAGUGUAACCGGACUUCGAGACUUUGAUCUUUGUAGCGAUGGUAGAAAGUGAGACAUCAUUGUAAAGAAGUCGAAUCUUUAACUCUUGAAGUGGUUCUCAACUCUUUGUUUUGAUAAUAUAGACUUCCCAUUUUGCACAUUUCUUUUUUCCUCUUUCCUUCCCCAAUUGAUUGUGUAAGUACAAAACUUAUUUAUCUUAGACUGGACAGAUCAUAUUGUGCUUGCUGCCUUUUCUGGCAGUCCUGAUGAUCUGCAUAUUGAAGUUCAUACAUUUCUGCACUAUGAACAUCUAAUGAAAAUUGGAGAAGCAUGAUGAGAAGAAUAAACAGCUGGUCCACAUGUUCCAAGAUUGAGAAAUUCAUGGUCGUCUGGUAUAGUCUGUGGGAUUAUAUUCGUUUUAUUAGUAAUAUGCCUUCUUGCCCAAAAGAUAAUGGAGAAGAUAGAAGAGUAACUAUCAAACAGAUCUUUGUGGCCCGUGUGUUGCAAUUUUAUCCCAGAACAUAAUGGUGAGUUGUGAUGACUAACUGUUGAUAGUGUUUUAGUGGCUGUGGUAACAGCUGAUAUGCAGGAGAUGGCUAUUUAUUUCCAUUGCUGCGUUUGCCUCAGCUUCAGCGCUUAAAAUUGAAAAGAUUACUGGUCAUUAUCUUAGCAUGCAGGACCAGUUUCUUUGCCGGCAGCCAGGUAUCCCUUGUCCUUCAUCUAGUAUUAAUGUAUUAUUGAAUGUAUUUUGAAGUUUUUAUGAUGACAUUCAACAUUGACAUAUUUUUUCAUUUGCUGUUAGGUUUGGCGAAUUUUAUGGAUGCUAAUGUAUUGGAUUCCCAUCAAAUUACAGCAAUUGUGUUAUGUAUGACAUCCUGUUCUCCGAUGCCCUGGUUCCUUUCCAGCAAUCAUUUGGGGGCUUCAGUUCUCCAUGUGUUGUUUACAUCAUAAUUUGAUCCUAGCUGUUGCAAGGAAAAUCGCAGCUGUAGGGUGAACGGACUGUAAGUCACAUGUUCCUUUGACAUUGUUACCAGUUGUUCACUAUGGGAUUCUUGCAACCUCUGUAUUAUGCAGUCUUUUGAGAUACACGUUGCAUCACAAUGGGAUUCAAUUUCGUAUGGUCCAUGGAAGUAUAUUUAUAGGUUCCUAGAAUGCUGUCCGCGUCAUUCUAGACUCUCGGAAGUUUUGGAGUAUCUGAUACUUUCGGGAAUGUUCAUGUUUAUGUGCCUGAUUGGAGAAUUUACUUAUUACCACUUACCAGCUCCUUAAGUAACUUUUGCAGUUAAAUUUGUGCUGAUAGUUAUUGGCAUGGCUAAAGUUGCAGACCACAUAAUUUCAUUUUCCAUACUUUUUAGUCCCAGCUGGUCAUAUUUUCGAAAUUCAGUUGUGUAAUUGGACACACUGCUAGUUCCAUUUGGAUUUAGUAUCUGAAAUACAGGAUUAUUUAAAUGCUACUUAUGAAAUAUAGGAUUAUUUAAAUGCUACUUUGUCUCGCUAGUGCUUAUUGGCCUUUCUGUAUGUUUGCUGGAAGUCGUCACAUGUUGUUUUUGGCUACAUGCUCUGGAAAAACAAUCCAAUUUAUCAGCGGCAUGAGAGGUGAGAUAGGACCCCUGUGAAGCGAUAUGCACAGAAGUCAUGAUGUGUGGAGUACAUAAAAGAUGCAAGUACUGAUCGGUUUGAUGUUUUAUUGUUUCACUUGCUGGGUCACCCAAGUAGCAUGUGUAAACAACGAGAUAGUAACUUUAUUUUAAAGAAGACAUCAUGUCGUUGUAUCUGGACAGGAACUUUAUUCAAUUGAAUUGUCUUUUAUGUCAGCUAGGCCUUUCUUUUUCUUAUUUCCUUUUCCCUUUCAACUGUUUUUGAUUGGAUCACCAAGCAUGUGUAAUCAUUCGUGUUCAUCCUGCCAGGAAAAGAGUUAACAUCAUAUGGACAGCUUUGUUGCCCGCUUGUCUCGUUUAUUUCUGAUGCAACGAUUAUCAGUUUUAUUUAGGUACUAGAGCUUGAUGUGAUAUCUCCAUAGUUGAACAAAUGCGUUGCUACUUCUGUGGCCUUGUUGAUGCUACCUGGAAGCUUUUGCGUGUAAACUCUUAUCAUGCUCCUGGUUUGAAGAACAUGUUGUAUUGGGAAUGUUUGUGCAAGAAUGGUGUGAGUUUCAGGAACAAUGGGAAUAGUGCGUACACAUUAUAUCAUGCGAUUUUAUGUUCAUCAACAUUUUAGAACAUAACACGAACUGCUGGAAAGUGACAUGAGCUGCUGUCUGUAGAGUGUGUGGUGAUUGUAGUACCAUAGUCCUGUCCGUGGGCAGUGACAAGCCCCUAGAUUUCUUAAAGCAUACAAACCAAAGGAGAUAGAUACAACCUAACAAGAUGCAGAUAGGCUGCCAGCUUUUGCCACUACAAAUUAUUGAUCAAACUUGUUGUUUCACAAAUGUCCAAUGUUUUCGACGUCAGGGUGUCAUCAUCGACAAGCCAUGAGAUGAGAUGAUGAGGGGGUGGUCACUUGAAGUUCUUGCUGUUGCCUCAUGCCUUCCUCAUGCAGUGGAUACAUAUGCAAUCCUUGUUUGCUCGUGUUUACAUGGGAGCUAUUUAGUGGAUUGGAUCAGGGUUGAACUUGAGAGACUCCUUCCAUAUGAGCUCCUUGAUAGCUUCUUCGGUGAGCGAUGGUUGCUCAAAGUCGAAGCUGAAAGGCGCUGGGCAAACGGGUUCAUCAUUUAUCUCAUGAAGGGAUGCCAGGUACGGGUGGCAUAGAGCCUCAUCAACUGCAAUAGCACAAAGAAAGGAAGCAAUGUUAGUAUCUUUCAAGAGACUACUGCUUGUUAUCUUUUUCAUAAUGCAAUAAUGAUAUCUGCAUGAGUGUUUAGUUCUGUCAGAUUUUUUAGGGCAUUUGGGACUGAAACAAAUAAAGCAGUUAAGAUGAUAUUCAUACUUUCCUGUCUGGAUGAUGGUGAUUGAGAUAGGAUUUAGCUAAAAUUUGAACUAAACCCUCAAAAUCUUCCUCAUCCAGAUAGGUUUCUGACACAUUUUACAAUGCAGCAAGUUCAUGUAGGGCUGCAAGAUUACCAGUAAUCCUUUUGCUCGGAUCAAACACAAGCAUCCUCUCAAGCAAAUCCAUGGCACCACUAGACAUAGUGGGGAACCGCGCACGGAAGUGUUGCUUGGGGUAUUGAGGAAGGGACCUCACAUAUCUGCGGGCGUUAUCGCUUCGGAGGAACCCAAGGCUUGUGUCAUCAGGUGAGCCUACCAGCUUUUUGAUCAAGAAUGAACAGAGUUACAAAAAUAUAAUAGAGAACAAUUCUGAGACAUAUUAUCAUUCAGGUAUUAUAAGACUCUUUUCAUUUUUCAUCUACAUUGUGCCACUUAUACUACACUGAAACUGAAAAAUGUAAUCUCAGACCCUUAGCAAAUUCGCACAGAAGAUUGCACAAAAAGGGGGAGAGUGAAAACAAAUUCUUUGAUUGGUGAAAUUGGAACCGUACCUCGGUUAUUAGCCUCAGCUGAUGAACAUAAUCUUUUCCAGGAAACAGAGGCUCUCUUGUAACAAUCUCGCCAAGGAUGCAGCCUACUGACCACAUAUCAAUAGCCUGAGUGUAUUCUGAGCAGUUCAGCAGGAGUUCGGGCGCUCUGUACCACCGCGUAACAACAUACUCCAUCAUGAAGUCAGUUUCAGUUGUGGUCCUUGCAAGGCCAAAAUCCCCAAUUUUCAGAUCACAUUUGGCAUUCAGCAGCAGGUUGCUCGGCCUGAGGUCUCUGUGCAAGACAUUCGCCGAGUGGACGUACUUCAAUCCUCGAAGCAGCUGAUAGACGAAAUACUGCAAGAAGGGAAAUUAAGAGUCACAUUACUAGCUGCAGCCUGGGGCGUGCGAGAUACAGUGCGAAAAAAAAACCAGAAAACAUAAAACAAUUGACAAUUGAAAUUUGUGGGAACAAUAACAUGCCACAAGGUGAACUGCAUCUCGGAUCAUUUGUCGAGACAAAACGUUGUACCUGACAAUGAUCAUCAGUUAGUGGCUGGUUUGAUCGUAGAAGGUGAUGAAGAUCAGUGUCCAUCAACUCGUAAACGAUAUAGACAUCGUUGAAGUUCUCCCUCCUGGGUGGGCGUAUGAUGUCCUUCACUGAAAUAACCUGCAGAAAAGGGGGUAGAUGUUGUUACAAGUCACCAGAAGUACGAGACUACCGAGUCAUCAUUAUAUAAUAUCUAACAAUGCAUUAUAUCUCUAACUUAAGAUAAACAAGUUUCCAUGCCAUAAUUAGGAUUAUAAUUGCAGAGACCGAUGAUAUGCAAGGUGGCACAACUCCAAGCGAGUGGCAUAUUGAAAAAAACAAGUGAGGAACAUUAAACUAAAUAUCUUUAUAAAAAGAAGGGAUAUCUACAAAGAUAAUCAUUAUGGCAAACAUUCCAGUGAUUUCAACGAAUUAUUGGCAAUUUCUGCCUAGAUGAGAGAAAUGAAUUAAUGGUUUUGCUUCGAGAGAGAAUCACCAGAAAUUUUGGCAGAUCUCCUCAGACGGCUUACCUUUGCAAUGAACUACAGGGUUAACCAUGGUUAAAUACAAUGAAAACAUAAUUGAUAUGGAUCUUGAUCCGACAAGAGUGGAGCAUCUCAGCCACAUAGAUUGCCACAACUCACAAGCUAGAACCAUAGGAGGAGAAGAGGGGAUCACUUACAUUUUCAUGAUUCAUGUGCCUCAGCAACUUAAUUUCUCGCAAAGUGCGUUUCGCAUCGAUCUGAUUGUCGAACGCGUUACCGAUCUUCUUGAUGGCGACCUCCUCGCGAGUCUGCGCAUUGACAGCAGCACUGUGCAAAGGAAGGCAUGCAAUGCAAGCGUUAGAAGGUGAACGCAUGCUUGAGGAUAUAUAUUGUUAGAACCGAGGAUGAAGAAACCAUCAUCCAAACUUAUGAUUGCAAAAUGCAUUUCUUGUCUGCACUCUACACACUUGUUACCAUUGGAUAUUAAUGUCACAGAAAUUAAAAAAGGGUUGAUGUUUUCUCAUGUCACACUGGAUGAUAUUUUUUUAUCAGUAGCGUCUAAGACAGUGACACCUAAGCCGCCGGCCCUCCUGUGACUCAAACGAGCAGGACCCAUGUUUCAAUUAGGCCAACUUCAUGAUAGAGGGAAAUUAAAUUUGAUGUUUAGCAUAAUAUUACUGUAAUUGGUAACCCUUAAAUUCAUAUGUAAUAUGUGUGUGUGUGUGUGUUAUUUUUAGUUUGAUAUAGUAUCUGAAUAUCUGAUACUAUACGUAGGCCACGCAACACCUAGAUGCGAAAGUUAUUCUUAGUUGGGGAUGGUCGGAUGGAGAUGGAGCCCUUUGCUUCUUGCAUAGGGCGAUGCACUGCCACGCGGGUCCCAGUGCAAAGCCUUGACCAAGAAGGCAAGAAGGUUUCCAUGCAAAGCUUUCUUCGUCGUUCAGAGAGCUAGUUGAUGAUCAAAAUAAAGCUUAAAAACAAGGCAACCCGGCUGUGGAUCGAUCGGCAUGGCCGGAGAGGAAGAGGAGCUAGAGAUAGAUGGAGAUGAUGAAGAUGAACGCACCAGAUGAUGCCGAUGGCGCCGCGCCCGACGGGCCGGAUGGGCGGGACGUACUUGGCGGAGACCUCGAAGAGGUUGCCGUAGACGUUGUACUGCACGUAGCGUCCGCCGUGCGUGUGCGUGCCCUUGAUCUGCGCCUCGCCGCCGUGUCCCAGCCCCAGGCACCCUCCCACGCCGCCGGCGCCGCCUCCGCCUCCUCCCGGCCCCUCCAUUCGCAUCGACCACUGCACGUACCUCUCCGAUCUAGGCUCUGAUCCGAUCGCCGGCCGGCGGCGCUCCUCACCCUCCCUCUCCCUCUCUGAGAGCUAGCUAGAAAGAAACACACACCAAGCUCGAUCGAGACGCCGGCCGCGCAGCAGCAAGCGAGGACGGCAGGAAGAGGACGGAAGCUGGAGGGGAGCUGCCGGCGCGUGCGUGGUUGGUUGCGCGGAGGCCAGGGAGGGGGAGGAGAUAAGGAGGAGCGUUGGGGAAAGUGGAAAAGGCGGGAGCUUUUCGUCGAGCGGAAAUCGAAGUCCCGUGACGCCCAAAGAGGAGUUGGUUCCUGUUGCUGUUGCUGCUGCUGCUCUCGCUCCAUCGCUCCCUGCCUGUGGCUGCUGCCUGCGCACGCCACGGAUGCAGCCAGGGAUCUCCCUCUUCGAUCUUCCAGGCCAUUCCUCUCUCCUCCACCCAUCUCUUUCCUCCUUCUUCGCCCUUUGCUAGCACAGCAGCUAGCUGCCUUUUUAUUCACAGCAGUUCGCUGCUGCAUGGCCUGAGCUCCAUCUAUCUGUGGUCUGGUUUCAUGACACCGAGAACAUGCAGUCAUGUAUGAUGCAUACUGUAGACACUAUGCAGGACAGCAGGAGUGAGCUAGCUAGAAUGGUUAACAUGUGGAGUUCUUCUCUUAAAAUGUUCUCUCUUUCAAAGAACAAAUAUAGUACAUGUGUUCAACCUGUAUACUCAGCUGGAGACCUGAGCAGAUUGGAAGAAAUGUGACUGCGUGUCUGCACUCAUAAUAGACUUGUGCACUAAUCAAAUGACCCAUCCAUGUCAGACCACGAUGUUCAAAUCCAAGUUGCAUUUGCAGCCUCGGUACGUACGUGUAAUGCCCCUAAUGCAUAUGGAGGGAUAUCAUGCAUAUAAUUCAUUAAGGAUGUCCCACGCGGCAGUCUCUCAUGUAUUAACACGCUGUGGGUGGCUUAAAAAUUAGAGAUGCCAUCUAGGUCCAUAAACUUGCAGAUUGCUUAUUAUGUAAACCUUAAACUUAUCUUGAAGUGCCAUCUAGAUCCAUCAUCUUGCAAAAACAUCCGUAGAAGUCCUUGCAGUGUAAGGUUAGACCUCUUCAUCAUUUACCACAUUAAAAAUUAGAAAACUACAAUGGUAGUGUCAGAAUUGUGGGGGCAUAUGCCCUCCUUAAAUAAACUAAAUAACAUAGGUAGUGCUUCUUCCUUUUUAUCGUGCUAAUAGUGAAAAGCUGAUCGUGUUAAUAAUACUAUGAUGCAGAGGUUUGGAGUCGGGAUGAUAAAGUAAAGAAAUUACUGACCAACUCCUUUCCAAGAAUAAUUUUAAGAACAUAAAUGGAAAUUUGGAAAGAAAAUAUUUUGAAAUGGUAAUGGAAAUAUAAGAUCAUAUUUCGUGUUGAAUUAUAGAUGUACCAUACUUACAUGAUUUGUUUUCCAUUUUUUCACAAAAAUUUCGAGUUAUCAGGCCCUAGUCACUCAGCUAGUCCAGCUAAGCUAUGUCAAAUCAUAUCCUUCUGCGUUUAUAUAAAAAAUAGAAUCGUGUUGAAUGAAUUGGUUUAAUACUAAGAACAGAUACUUGUGGUACGUAACUAACAACUACGAAUGUUCAAACCUAUGGAACAAAAACCAUGAUUACGUCGUUGUUUAUCCCAUCACAUAUAUUAUUUGGGAGUUCUAACCGAUUUUUAUAUUAUUUUCUUUACCGACCUUACCGUUUUUUGGGGGAAAUAUGGUUUAGAAAAUGAUACUACAAAUUUUCGAUCAUUUCCAACCGUUUUCACCUCUUUUUGGAAAUGCGCUUGGGAAAUCCAGAGCGUGCAUAAGCAGGUGGAACAGCUCGCCACGCCAUGUCAGGCUACGUGCCUGCUGGAUUUCUCUGAAAGCUUCAGGUAUUUUGCUUUUUAUUUUAAUUUGUUUCCUUUUUCUGAAGAGCUCUGUCACCUCUAGCAAGUAGAGGUGGUACAUAUUUGAAGAGUGUAAUAAUUGAAGUAAUGAUGUCAAAUAGUAGUUCCAUUUGUGCACAUCUCAUAAAAAAUUAGGGCCAACGGUGCAAGUACAUAAAUGUUUUGAGCACUGACUUAACAUCUAGGGCAAAGAAAAUGUUCAGUUUGAAAAAACUAAUGGCAAUUUGCAAAAUAAAAAGGGCCAAAACAGUGAUUAGAGCGCAAGUUUGGGGCAAUAACAUGAUCGCCCAAUUAAACAAACAUAAACAAAAAGAUGGAACACUUUAGUUGCUGAGAAACAUAAACAAAAAGAUGGAACACUUUAGUUGCUGAGAAAAUAAGGAGAAUAAAUAUACAACCGAAACUAAAGAGGAAGUCCGUCGCGGCCCAUCACUGCACGUAGAAAAGGAAGCGUUCCUCAAACACAUGCACAGCCUCAAACCAUCAGACAACAUAAAAUGGAUCAUUUUAGGGACUUCAAUGGUUCAGCCUCAUUUACCGAGAAAGAGACAAAAGCAACCGAAACCUAAACAAGGUUCAGGACGCAAUAAACUUCUAAGGUCUCAAAGAAAUAAAUCUGCAGAACAAAAAAUUCACAUGGAGCAACGAAAGGCGUAGACCGACACUCGUUCGGCUUGACAGAGUCUUUUGCAACCAAACUUGGGAUCUUGACUUUGAAAACUGUCUCCUUCACACACUAUCGUCUUCACACUCAGACUACUGUCCCCUUCUGCUAACAAACCAAGCAGGCCCGAGACACCCGACGCCUUUCAAGUUCGAAAAUUUAUGGGUACGACUGCCUCACUUCUAGGAGGUCGUCAGCAGAGCUUGGAAUGCUCCUACUCAACACACUGAACCAUUCCACAAGCUGGGUCACAAACUCCAUACAACAUCCCAGGCCCUAAAGCAAUGGAGCAUUUCCAUGCUCUCUGAGGUCAAGAUGAAGAUGCUUAUAGCUCAGGCAGUCAUUCUUCGCUUGGAUGAGGCACAGGAUGUGAGGCCCCUCUCACCGAAGGAUUCAUGGUUGCACAGAAAACUAAAGAAACGAGUCAUGGGAUGGACAGUUAUUGAAAAGGCUAGGAAAAAACAAUGCUCUAGAGUAACGUACCUGAGGGAGGGGGACGCUAACACGAGGUUCUUCCACUUAAAGGCAAAUGGAAGACGUAGGAAGAAUUUGAUUCAGCAGCUGCGCAAAGACAGUGGUUGGGUUGUCUCACACAACGAUAAACAUCAAGUCAUACAGGAACAUUUUGAGAGCAUCAUGAAGGAACCACCACCUCGUUCGAAAGACCUCAACUGGUCAUCGUUGAGUUUGCUAGCGCUGGAUUUGUCCUCCUUGGACAGCCCUUUCACAGAGGACAAAGUUUUGCAAGCAAUCUCUCAAACACCAAAAAAUAAGGCACCAGGGCCGGACAGCUACACCGGGUUGUUCUUCAAGCACUAUUGGGAAAUAAUCAAACAUGACCUAAUCGCGGCCAUCAACUCUCUACAUGCCUCCCACUGCGCGGACCUAAACUUACUCAACAAGGCCAACAUCAUCCUUAUCCCAAAAAAAAGAAGGAGCGGAGGACAUCCGGGAUGUUAGACCAAUUAGUCUGAUCCAUGCCAUAACAAAGAUUAUAACAAAGAUUCUAGCCCCGUGCCUAGCUCCGUUCAUGAACGAGCUCAUCUCGCUCUGCCAAAGCGCCUUCAUUAGGGGUCGAAGCAUACACGACAACUUCCUAUACGUGCAUAACCUUGCGCGUUGUUUCCAUAGGAACAAGACACCAGCCCUGCUCAUGAAACUCGACAUAUCAAAGGCCUUCGACUCCGUGCGAUGGGACUAGUAGAUCUUGCUACAAGAGAGAGGAUUCCCAACAAGAUGGAGGGACUGGAUUGCGGCCCUUCUCACCACAUCGACAUCGCAUGUCUUGCUUAAUGAGAUCCCCUUGGACCCGAUACAGCACGGCAGAGGACUGCACCAAGGCGACCCGUUCUCACCGCUGCUCUUCAUCCUAGCAAUAGAUCCUCUACACUGUCUACUCUCCAUAGCAACCGAAAGAGGGCUUCUUAGCAAGCUAAACGGCCGAGCAGCAAGAUUGAGAGUACCAUGUAUGCGGACGAAGCGGUAAUCUUUGUCAAGUCAACGAUGCAUGAUGUAACCAAACUAAAAGACCUGCCACUCAAAUUUGGGGAAGUAACUGGUCUAAGCACCAAUAUACAGAAAACAAGCAUCACACCCAUCAGUUGCACAAACAUUGACCUCGAGGCCAUACUAGUCAACCUUCCAGUCGCACGGAAAAACUUCCCUCUCAAAUAUCUCAGGUUACCGCUAACGGUCAGAUGACUGAGGAAGUUGGAUUUCCAGCCGCUAAUCGACAGAGCAGCCAAUAAGCUUUCAAUUUGGAAUGGCAAGAACUUGACCUAAGUGGGACGUGUCAACCUUACCAAAUCGAUGUUGUCUUCACAACUGGUGUACCUAUUGAUGGUACUCAAAAUGCCAAAUGAGGUUUUGGAAGAGAUAGACAAAAUUCGCAAACGCUUCUUGUGGGCUGGUGACAAGGAGCUCUCGGCGGGAGAGGGGGAAUGCAAGGUUAACUGGACAAGGACCAAUCUACCAAAGGAGCACGACAGAUUUCGAGAAAUUUGCAAGGGCGCUGCGUAUAAGAUGGUUGUGGCAUGAAUGGGUAUCCCCGGAUAAGACGUGGAUUGGAGCUGAAACACCAUGUGACGACAAGGAUCGGCUGCUCUCCGCCGCAUGUAUGACAAUCGAGCUUGGAAAUGGAGAAAGGACUCGGUUCUGGUCCGAUGCAUGGAUACAAAGAUCAAAAGACAUUGCACUCGACCUCUACGCCUGAUCGAAAAGAAAAAAGAGGACAGUGGCUGAGGCGCUGUGAAACAAAAAAAGAGGACAGUGGCUGACGCGCUGCGAAACAACAACUGGAUAAGAGACAUAAACUACUGCUCAGGCUUCACAACCGCACACCUACACGAAUUUGUCACGCUAUGAAAUCUAACGUGAGCAUGUGUACUACAGCCUGUACAGGAAGAUCGCAUCACAUGGAAACUCACGCAGAGCGGGCAAUACACAACGACUUCAGCCUACAAAGCAUAGUUCAUCGGGUGCACCAAAGCAUCCUAGAUAGCCAGCAUUUGGUAGUUGUGCCUCCCCCUCAAAAUGUAAAUUCUUUGUAUGGCUAAUUGUGCAUAACAGGGUGUGGUUGUCAGACAGGCUAGCAAGAUGAGGGUGGGACGACAGCCUAACUUAUCCACUUUUCAGAUGCACGAUGGAGACAGCAUACCACCUCCUGGUGGAAUGCCGAUUCGCCAAAUGUAUUUGGACAUUGGUGGCAUCCUGGACCUCACAGGUGAAUCUUGCGCCGGACGAAUGGCCUCAAAGCAUGACAUGCUUGGAAUGGUGGUGCAAUAUUACAACAACACCAGGAAUCUCACGGAAUGUCACACGAAGCAUAUCACUCCUGAUCAAAUGGGAGAUUUGGAAGGAAAGGAAUGCAAGAAAGCCCGGUUGUCUUUUUUUGGUUGUCUUUUUUUUUCUUCUUUCCAUGUUUAUUGGUUUGUCGGCUGUAACUAUCCCUCUCUAUCAAUGAAUUAGGCAUAAUCUCGUGCCUGUUCGUUAAAAAAACUAAAGAGGAAACAAGGACACUGAAUAGAUGCUUUAAGAUAGAGACGAUAUGUAGAAAGAUUAACAGACAACUCUUUUUUUCUAAAGGAGAUAAAAAAAAUUAGAGGGCACACAUACACAAACCAUGUUUCUUUUCAUUUUGGCGAGGAAGGCCCUGGUUUGUUUCUUUUUUUUUUCGAGAGGGCCUGGUUUAUUUCUUCUAACUGGGCAAAUCACAUGGGCUUGUUCUUUUGAUGGGCUAGAAAAUAAUAAUGCGGGGCUUUUCGUCGUCGGGCCCUGUGCAACGUUUUUUUUUCCUUUCUGUCAUGUGGCCCGACGACGACGGCGGACGGGCAGGUAUAGAGGCCCAAGCUACUUCCGACCAGACAGACCAGAAGAAGAGAGAGACCCAAGCUACUCCAAGCGGAGCCAGAGCCCAACCCAGCCCAGCCCAUUUACCACUGCCCGCACCAGUGGCGGCUCGCCUCCGCCGCGAACCGCAGCGCCUUCAUCGAUGGCGGAGGCGGAGGCGGACGUGGCGGCGGCGUCGCUGUUCGGUGCCGACCGCCGCCUCUGCUCCGCUGACAUCCUCGCGCCGGCUGAGGUCAACGCUUUCUCCUCCUCGCUCGUUUCUUCGGCCGCCCUCGAUCGAGUCGAAAAUUUUGUGGUCACUGACCUGUCCUCUUUGUCGUCGGUAGGUCCGGGCAAGGAUCGAGGUGGCGGUGCUUAACUUCCUCGCCGCACUCGCUUCGCCCACCUCGCCGGCCAUCUCCGUCCUCCCCCUGGUACGCUAGGUUCCAAACCGAAACCCCCAUUCCUUUCUUGCUGCAGUAAUUGGUUCUGCGUGCUUCAUCCAUGGGAAUAAGCACAGGGUUUCGAUUCCCUGUCAAUUAUUGCAAUUCGUAAUCAAUUACUGCGAGCUGUAGCAUUCCGUUUCAUAAUUUCAGAUGACCAUGGCAAAAUGUGCUGGGAAUAGUAUGUUUACCACUGAUCAGUGAUCAAUUCAGUGUGCAACACUGCAACUGCAAACCAUUCUGAAGGAAUUGCUUUUUUGCACGGCAGAUUAGCCGGAGCUCUGCCAACUGCAGCCUGCGCAGCGGGUUGCUGAGUGAUGUUUCGUCGAUUUACCUCUCAUACGCCUUCUGCAAGAGGUCCCUGAUGAGAGAAAGCAAUGGAAAGGCGUUCGUAAGAGGUGGUCGAGUACUCCUUCAGUGUCUUGGGAUACAUUUAUCUGCUUUGCCAUGCCCAUUUGUUCCGCUGAAAUGCUUGUAUAUUUUUCAAUAGUAUGGAAGGUCAUGGAGAUGUGCUACAAGAUCUUGGGGGAGGGGAAGCUGGUCCACCAACGGGAGUUGUUCUACAAGCUCCUCUCGGACUCGCCCAAGUACUUCAGUUGUCAGCGUCAUGUCAACAGAGCCAUUCAAGGUCAACAUUUUGCCCCACCAAUUUGGUUCUUGCAUGAUCGACGCAUACCAUGAUCCUAAUCAGAUUCCAUACCUUCUUCUUAUGCAGAUGUAGUUUCCUUGCUCCGGUGUACAAGGCAGAGCCUAGGAGUCAUGGCAUCAAGCAGAGGGGCACUGAUUGGGCGCCUUGUGUUGCAUGUGUGCUCCAUGAUAUAUUUAAAUAUGUCCUAAUUAUUGGAAUUAUCUGCUGAGGGAAUACAUGAUAAACUCUUGUUUAUCUUUUCGCAAAGCACCUAAACUGCAUGUUUAAACUACCUUAGGAACCAGAUGAAGAACAAAUUGACUGUUCUAUUCUUGGAGCUUCAGGACAUGCAAUUACUGGAGACCUGAAUGUAUUGAGCAAAUUAAAUUUGUCUUCAGAUGCCCGGUAUAUCAUUGUAGUGGAGAAGGUACCAAUAUUGCUUUUGCAGUCUAAUAGUGAUUUGUCUCUAUCUGCUACCUGCUGAUAUGUCACUUGUUUGAAUAGGAUGCCAUAUUCCAGAGGCUAGCUGAAGACCGCUUGUAUAAUCAGCUUCCUUGUAUCCUGAUCACUGCAAAGGGAUAUCCUGAUAUUGCCUCAAGGUUCUUUUUUUUACCUCGAAUGUGCAUGAGAGUUGCAUGUCAUUGAAUUAGAGAAAGCAUAAGAAAUGCCAGUUUGUUUACAAAGACCCUAGAGGCAAAGAAAACUGGAAGAACAAAGAAAAAAAGAAGAAGAAAAACAGCUCAUCUAGUAGAGCACAUUUUCUUCGAUAUAAUCUCCAUCUUUUUGUUGAUAAUAUUUGGUUAUUUGGUGUACUUAUUCCAUUUAUCUUUGCUGUUAUGAUACAGGUUUAUCUUGCAUCGAUUGAGCCAGACUUUUCCAAAUAUGCCGAUUUUCGCAUUAGUGGAUUGGUUAAGCCAUUUCCUGUGCUGAUCACUAUAUAGUAGAGAUGACAGAUAUUCCUUUAACCAUUUCAGAUAACAUUUAUUUUCCAAUUUUCAGGAACCCAGCAGGGCUUGCUAUUCUGUGCACUUACAAAUAUGGAAGCAUAUCAAUGGGUUUGGAGUCAUACAGAUAUGGUAUGGUACUUUCUCUGAGUUAUCAGACCCUUAUGAUGCUUAUACCACUGAACAAUAUGAAUCUUGUUCUCCAUUUCCAGCUUGCAACGUGAAAUGGCUUGGGCUAAGAGGGGAUGAUCUGCAGCUUAUCCCUGAUCGUGCAUUUCAAGAGCUGAAGCCACGUGAUUUGCAGAUUGCCAAAAGCUUGCUGUCAUCAAAGUUCCUACAGGUGUGUAUUUGGCUCCUCAGACUUCAAGUAGUGUAGUGGUGCUGGAAGCUGCGUUUUUUUUUUUUUUUUUUUUUUUUUGGAAACAAACCAGCAGUAGUGUAGUGGUGCUGGAAGCUGCAAAAUUUAAAAUUAGGUACAAUUGGUGACACUGAAGUAACAUGUACAAAGGAGACAUUUUAGCAUCAAUUGGUGCCAUAUAGCUGCAUUAUGACUUUAUGAGAAUUACAACUUCUUGGUUUGGCCAAAAGGUGGCAACAUAAUUUCUGUAUAAGUGGCCAAUGAGUGUGGCUAGUGCAAAUUUUGUGUCAAACUAUGACAUAAUCUUGUUAAUGUUGGCAAUGCAUCCAUUACCAGUUACCUGAAAGUUAAUCAGCUAUGGGAAAGAAUAAAUUCCCAGUUUUUUUUAAAAAAGAAUAAAUUCCCUGGAAUGUUCUGUUUGUAGCUGACCAUUCUAAAUAUGAAACUAAUAUGCUCAUGUGGAACAAUGUGACAUGUUUUUGCAUUAAGGAUUACCUGAGAUCGUUUAAAGAUCUUCUGAUCUUCAUAGUACAGCUGCUAAUCCCUGAUGCUUGAUCAUUUAAGUUGAUCUUGUGACUUGAGGCCAUAAACUCUUUCUUUUGGUGGGAAAGUAUGCUUAUAGCUUAAGGGGCUAUGUGACAUCUAAUUUAUGCUGGUUUUUGGCUGCAGGAGUCUCACAGAGCUGAGCUGAUGCUGAUGGUGGAGACGGGCAAGCGUGCGGAGAUUGAGGCCCUCUACUCACACGGGUUCGAUUUCUUGGGGAAGUACAUUGCGAGAAAGAUUGUACAGGGCGAUUACAUCUGACACUACCGUGUGCCAUGUUGUUUGUUUCUCUUUUUGUACUGAGCGCUGAAAUGUUAGCAUGGUUGCAUGGUCUGCAUUAACUAACGUCCAAUGCCUGUAGAUUGAUACAAUGAUGAUAUUGAACUAUACAUAAAUAGAAAAGAUUUUUGCUUCUUCUUGUUACUCCUAGUCCAAUAUAUACUUGCAUCUCCAAACAAACCAGCUUGUUGUUGGAGGCUUAAUAAGCUUGCGAACUCCAGACGCUGUUUUCUGCAGACUCGUAUGAAAGCUGCUAGUCUGUAAAUCAAGCUCAUCUGGUGAAACGGUGAAAUCUGAAUGAAUUUGAAGAGGCUGGUGACAUGCAUUCAUAGGCGGAUUACGUGCUGGUCGGUUAUGAACUGGAACUCUGGCUCGGCUGUUGCGGCCCCUCUCUUGAGUUUGCGAGUAUAAUGAUUGCUUUAGAUUGGACCAGUUCCAUGGUCCAUGGCUGUAUUUACAGGCGCUUUCGUUAUGGGUAUUGACAUAAAUUACAUAACAUAAAAUAAUUGUACUUACAUAAUACAUGAACUACAUGUCGAUGGCAUUUUGCAACUUCUUGUAAUAUAUCCCACCACAAUCCUGACGAUCAACGACUUACAAACCAACAAGGUACAGAAGUAGCACCCUUUUAUAUUUUUUCACCGCCAACCCCAAACAGAGGCUGCAUUUUAAGAUAACAGAAAUGGAAACUAGUUUGUGCAUGCAGAAUUUUCUUUGCAAAAUUUCACCGAGGAGCAUAUAGGACUGAUACCACAGGUGGAUCUGAAAACUUGGACUCACCAACUUGUACAGUGACUGCAGGACUUAGAUCGAAGAAGUUGUAAUCCAAGUUCGAUUCCACACUCCUUUCUCCUUCCAUAUCCUUCACAACCAUUGACAUUGCAGGCCUUCUAUUUUUAUCACUCUGCAAACACCACCUUGCAAGCUUUAUGGUCUCAAUCACGUCUUCCUUGUGUAAACUCAUGUCAUCACUGCUCCUGUCAAUCAUAUCUUCCAGGAGAUCAUUCUUUGCCUUAUCUUGUAGCACUAUGAUGACUUGGACACUACUUUCGUGCUGGGAGUAGUCAAGGUUCUUCCUUCCACUGAUGAUUUCCAUUACCACAAUGCCGAAGCUGCAAACAUCAACCUUCUCGGUGAUUUGUGAUGUCAGCCAUUCAGGUGCCAUGUACCCCGGUGUUCCUCUCAUUCGAGUCAUCACAUGACUUUCACCCCUAUCAAUCAGUUUAGACAGUUCAAAAUCCGAAAUUUUGGCAUUGAAAUUUUCAUCUAGAAGGAUGUUCUGCGGCUUGAUAUCUAGAUGAGCAAUCCUCUGUCUACACUCCUCGUGAAGAUAAGAUAAGCCCCUGGCAAUGUCGUUGAUGAUCUUGCGUCUUGUGUGCCACUCAAGAGGAACAAACUUAUCUCUCUGAUAGAUCCACUUGUCCAGUGAUCCCCUGGGCAUGUAUUCAAAUACCAACAACCUAUAUGAUUUCUCUGAGCAAAAGCCAAUCAACCUCACCAGAUUGAUGUGAUGAAGGCUACCAAUUGUUUGGACUUCAGCCAAGAAAUCUUUCUUUCCUUGACCAGCUCGAUCCAAGCAUUUAACUGCAACUCUUUCAUUGUCUAACUGUCCCUCAUAAACUGAGCCAAAUUCUCCUUGCCCGAGCUUGUUGCUGAAGUCCUGGGUUGCCACUUUCAAUAAUUUGAAAGCGAGCCUCGUAGGCAUUCCGGCUACAUCACUAAAAUCAUUAUCGUCAUCAUUUUUGUGGUGUCUCCUUUUAUCUGAUACUAUUGUAGUAAAGGUUAUCAUAACGAGAGAAAACAUUACCCCUGCAAUUAUAGAACCCAAAAGCACCUUGUGAUUUCCUGAGGGUGGUGUGUCAGCUGCACCUUCAGGUACGCACCAGAUUUAAAUCCUGCGUUUGCCUGUAGUGAAAAGACACGUGUGAGCAAGAAGCACCUAUUAAAAUUACCAACAAACAGAGCAGCUUUGCAAGAGCAGUUUCUCAAGCAGGCUAGCUUGCAACUCUCUUCAUCGACCUGUAUUAGCUCUCCUGCGUACUCUCGUAGGAAAAAAUCGGCAUCUAUUAAUGAUACACCUGGAUUAUCAUAGCAAUUCCUAUGAGUUGAUGGUGAUGUAAAGACUGGCAAGAAAUUGGGUUCAGCAGUGUGCAUCCACGAUCUGGUCUCUGACUGACAGUCUGGUUGAAGUAUGUUGCACCUGUAUCGCUUGUAACCGGGCAGGAACACUGGCCAUUUGAACAGACACCAUAGUCCCCGCAGACAUUCGGGUAAUCACAAGCAUCCAAUGUGAAGGCGUCCUCUUUCAGUGACCACUACUGCUGGUCAUCCUUCCACUCAUACAACCUGAGAUGCCCAUCAGACUCCAACCUCAAAAACUGAAAGGACACAGCCGGUGUCAAGGUGAUCAUAUUUCUUGGUUCUGUAAGAGGGGAAACAAACCAAGUUAGACUCCCAUUUAUAAGAGAUACAUAUGGCUGUCCUUUCUGUGUAGUGUUUUCAACAUCAAUGUAGUAAAAAUAGUAUGGUUGAGGUGGGUUAGAUCCAGCAAACGCGUACAAACCAUCAGAAAGAACAGUGAGAUAAAACAGAUUGCUGGCAGUCCAUUCAGUGGCAGAUGUGUUGGGUGUUAACCUCAUACCUUUCUCUAGCCGCUGCUUAGGAAGAAGGAAAUCCGUUGGAUGAUCAAAUGACUGCCAGACUGAGGUGUUACGGUGGUCGAAGAGCACUAGAUACCCGGAGUUAGUGAGCUUAAUUCCAGCAACAGAUUGACCUGACGUAUUAGUGGACCACACGAGGUUCCCAUCAAUGUCCUGCAACAGAAGAUUGCCGUCGGUAGUAAAGUUGAGGGUGGCAUUACUGUGGAGGAGGUGGUCACGGUUUGCAUACCAGAAAACUGUGGUAUAAUCCACGUACUCCAGGUCACUGGAGUAGAUAUUAACACUUUGUUUAAAAAAAAAAGAGUCAGGAGAGUUGCGGGAAAGCCUGACGAGCAAAACAAAAUGAAGUUAUGUACACUCACAUCCCCAGCUAGGAUCUAUGGGAAGGGAAACAAGCGACACAAUAGACAAUUAAGCAUGCCUCACGACCUCUAUUAACCGCCCUAGCUGUUUAGCCCCUGCCGCGACCCAUGUAUUUGCCUCCUCUUUUAUCUUGUCCACUAAUCGGUUAAGUGAUUAUUCCUGGUGUUGGAAAAUUUGUGUAUUGCGCUCCUUCCAUAUCUCUCACAACACGAGGAUGAUCAAUGUUCUCAAGCCUUUCGUAUCGACGACUUACCCGCCCGUUAAAGUUGACCACCAGUUGUGGAGCGUGCCGUGCGAAAUCCAACAGUUUGGGUCCAAAACGUCGCACCUUGUCCAUGCACUCACCCGCGACUAAAUAGUCCUCGCGAAACUACAUUGAGUGAACAGGUGAAUUCCAGUCUCCUGAGUCACGUCGCAGAGAAUGCAACGUGGACUACUCGACCAUCCCGGCGCAAGAAGAUAUUAACACUGAACACUCCAAAGAGAAUGCGGUCGUCUGGGUAGUUACCGGUAUGGUAGAAUCCUGCAGCGAAGGCUAGACUGGAAUUGCCUGGGAACAUGUGGAGGAGCGCAACACUCGAAGGAUAAUUCCAGACUGUGGACAAGUUUGCAGUGUGGCCAGGCAAGCUGAUGGAGCCGGUUUCGAUAGCUAGUUUGGCUAUGGUGAGUAUCAGUAGAAAGCUUGCCACGUCCAUGCAUUAGGAUUCAGGAUCGGAGGGUAGGCAGGGAGAGCACUUGGAGAGAGUCUGUGUAAUUGUAUAACCUGUUGGUUCAUUCAUUUGCCACUUGUAGCAGCACUUAUAAUUCUUUGAUCCACAGGAUUCCCUCACCAUCAUGGCAGACUUGUAGGCCUUCUUAGGUGAAAUGCGUGCUGGAUUUUGCCGUCAAAAUGGACACAGCAUCUCCUCUUGAUAGGAUGAUAACUGUGCCUUGUGGGAUACGGCGAGGACCAACAUAUGGUUCUUAAAACACAGCCACACGGUAUACCUAUCAAGAAGUGAUAGACGCGGAAAACUAUUGACAAGGUGGCUCAGCUAGCCAGAUUCGUUUGUCCAGAGUCCAGACUGGAGGAUAGUGGAAGUGGAACUGGUCAACUCAAUUCUGCUUUGUUUUUGGCUGCAGGAGAGUCACAAAGCUGAGCUGACGCUGAUGGUGCAGGCGGGCAAGCGUGCGGAGAUCGAAGCCCUCUACUCCUACGGGUUCGAUUCCUUGGGGAAGUACAUCACGAGAAAGAUUGUAAAGGGCGAUUACAUCUGACAUUGCUGUGCAGUUUGCAUCUCUGCUUGUAUUGAACGCUGAAAUGCUAGAAUGGUUGCACGGGACAAAUAGCUGCAUGAAUUAUGUCCAAUGCCUGCAGAUCGAUACAAUGAUGAUAUCUAAUUAUGCAUAAAUAGAAAAGAUGUGCUUCUUCUUAUUACUCCUAGUCAAAUACUGAUAUAGAUGACUGAAGGGAAAUGAGGUUGGUUAGCUGCUAUCAUCACCACAAAAUGAAUAAAUAGAAUCGCUUGAACAGCAAUAGAUUACACCUUCGCUCGUGCGUGGUGCAACGGAGGAUUUGUCAAAGCCGAGUGGUCCAUGUAGCCAAUAUCAGAGUAGUCAUAGGGCUUGACGAAGUGUGCAAAUAAGCAGCACGUCUAUAUAGAAGUCCAUACGUUCGGGAAGAGUAACCGGUAACGGUGUGACGCUAGCACUCGACAUCAAGCUCGGCACAGCAAAAGCGCCUACAAUUCCCUCAUGCAGAGCUUGGCCAGCCACGCACGGGCACAGCAGCCGGCGGCCAGCACGUAUCAAUGGCGGCGGCCAGCUGGCCAGGAGGUUCAGGGUGGCUUUGCUAGGUGUUGGGGACCGCCCCACAACACACCCUGAACGAUGCUGGCGGGGACCUUCUCUCUGGAUCGACUCUAACCUCAUCGCUUCCCCCUUUUUACGAAGCUAAUAAAUAAUCGAAGUUAAUUAUCACGAAGGUGUCCACCUUGUUGUUUUGUAGGCAAGGACUCACGAAGUCAAAUCCCCCAUGGAGCUCUCAGCGAUUUGGCUUCGGAAAGACUCCGAGACCAGAAGCCGAAGUUAGCUGACUUCGACCUCAAGAAGACGGGAAGUUUGCAGAAGUUCACUUAGUUUCAACGAAGCUGAAGAGUAAGGAGGAGGAUAGUCAAGACGGUCCUGGAACCACUUAAUAGCAGGACAACUCCAUAACAAGAAUCUAGUACGAGGUUGGAUAUGUAAUUUUACCGUGAAAGCAACAUCUUGAAUAGGAACCAAGUUACACGGAAUAUUUCUGGGAUGUAGUGGUUGAAUAUGGGUAUAACGGGGAUGCGGAAAUGUAACUUUAUGGCCCUGUAAAGGGAGACGAACCGUCCCUCCCGGGAGAACGUUAAUCAUCGAUAGGACAACCACUGUAAUAUUUGUCUGAACGGUUGUUGUCUUCGUUCGUCAUAACAUUCCUACUAUUGUUUGGGGAUCCCAACUAGGGUUAAUCAGGUGAUUGGCGCCUGACCGGGUGAUUAUUUUAUAUACGAGCUACCUAAUGGGCCAGCCUCAUGGGCCAUAUGGGCCGGACCUGAUGCCCCUGGGCAUGACAUGUUGUUGGGGGCCUGUUUGCAUAACCAAAGAAACCACAAGCUGCUUGCUGUAAUAGGCCUAAUUUACGAAUGGGUUGUGAACUCCAGAGGCUCUCUCUUUUCUACUGAGUACCGACUCAUCAUAUAAAAAGCUGCAAGUCUGCAACCAAGCUCAUCUGAUGAAACGGCUUGAAGAGGCCGUUGAUGCUCAUUCGUCGACCAACAAACCGCAUGCUCGAUCGGGUGCUCGGGGAGGGGCUAAAUUUAGCCCCCGUUGCAUCGAAGGUUCGGACACUAAUUAGGAGUAUUAAACUUAGAUUAAUUAUAAAACUAAUUAUACAACUUCUAGGUUAAAUCGCGAGACGAAUCUAUUAAACCUAAUUAGUCCAUGAUUUGACAGUGUGGUGCUACAGUAACCAUUCACUAAUAAUGGACUAAUUAGGUUUAAUAGAUUCGUCUCGUGAUUUAGCCUAUAGGUUCUGCAAUUAGCUUAUGUUUAGUCCUCUUAACUAAGUAUCCGAACAUCCGAUGUGACAGAUGUAAAGUGUUGCACCCUCCUCCCAAACACCGCGAUCGCUGAAGUCACACGAGCCUCGAUCUGCAGGCUGCAGGUAUGGCGCAGGUUCACAUGGCCGGAUGCAGCUGCAGUGAUCCCCUUCUCCAGAAGCCGCUGCCCGCGUGUCGCAUCCGCGAGUGGAUGCAUGGCCGCCGUGGUCCGUGGGGCCACGCCCGCGGCGCCACGUUGUGCCACGUCGGCGCUUCCCGCAUGCACAUGUGUCUGAUGCUCCCAGGCGUCGCCACCAAUCACGCUUACGCCCCAGCAGCAUUUCCCAGGGGCGAAGAGAUUUCUGACAUCCAAAUCCAAGUUUUCAUCCAGCUUCUGCCAUUUCUCAUCCUGCUCGCUCAUUCGAGAAGCAGAAGUUAUUUUUUUAUCCUUUUCAUUGUAUGGUCCUGCUUGAAAUUAUCCAUAUUCAGUCGGCAGAGUAGUCUCCUGCUUGCAUUAGUGUUAAUGUUGCUUUCUCCUGCACUCGAUGCAGCUGCAUGAUCACAAACAUGCAUAGAUGAGUGUAUUAUAUAUACUCAUCCUUGCACGAGUACACUCACUGACACAGCUGCUGAAGCUGAGAAGUGCAGUAGUCGAAGCUUUAUUUUGAUCGACCAAUCAGGAGAGAGGAUUCAACCGAUCAAGAAGAAGCAGCAGCUUUUUUUUGGGACUUGAUUGAAGAAGAAGAAGAAGAAGCUAGGAUGUCGUGCGGCGGCGUGUCGAUGUCGUGGCCCGACGUGCUCACCAUCUGUGGCCUGUUCGCCGUGCAGUGCAUCUUCGGCCUCUACAUGAUGUUCCUCAACGGCCUGCUCGCCGCCGGCGUGCCGUCGCUCUUCAUCAUCGUCGUCGCCUGCGCCGCCUCCUCCGUCGUCGUCCUCCCCUUCGCCGUCGUGCUCGAGAGGUUAGCUUUGUCACUAGUAUUAUUAGUUGCAAUGUAUUAUAUUCCUUGUUCAGCUUUGGUUGAUGUGUUGCCUUCUUGCUUUUGCUAAUCGCCUUCAGGAAGAAAUGGCCCAAAGUGUGGAGCCCCAUGCUGGUUCUUCAGCUCGUUAUCAUUUCGCUAGGAGGGUGAGACACUUUUUUGCCCAGUGAAAAUGUUUUUCUAAUGGUAUUGGUUUAAUUUAUUUUUUAAAAUAAAAAUGUUCAGUUCCUGUUCAUUACUGUUGCAUUUGCAUCGGUAGCUUGGUUAGCAUCUUGGAAUGCCGUUGAAUCCUUGUGGCACAAAUUUUUAUGAACUCUACCAACACAUAGCCGGUUCGAUCUGUUUACCUGAAUAUCUUGAUUGAUCAGCUCGGUGCACGUAUAGGUUCCUCAGUUCAUUACACGGUGAACAAUUUUAACGCGAGAUGCUGCAAGCAAUUCAUAAGCCAAAUCCCUUUCCAUUGUCUAGAGUGUCCAUAUAUCAAGUCUUCAUGAUGCUCGGUGUCGAGCGGACCUCACCGGCGAUCGCCUCUGCUAUGCCUAAUCUUGGCCCUGCCUUCAUCUUCGUCAUUGCAGCCUGCCUGAGGUACCGAGUUACUGACACGAUUACUGAAACACAAGAAUAAAAAUCAGUUCACAAAUUAUAUGUAUAUAUGGUGCUCAUUUAUCGAUCUCUACAGAUUUGAGAGGUUUAAUUGGAAGUGCCAGUACACGAGAGCAAAGAUCUUGGGCACAUUGGUGUGCCUCAGUGGGGCAAUGUGCGUGAGCUUCUUGAAGAACCCCACUCCCAGCGUGUCUCCGAAGUCCGUUCCCGACGAAUUAGAACUCUCCAACGGCAAAAGCAGGAAAGAUUGGAUCCUUGGAUGUUUCUACCUUCUGACAGGAGUCACAAUCUUCGCCUGCAACACUGUCAUGCAGGUUACUAAAUUUCAUAUGCUGUGAAGUGUUAUUCGGUAAAUUUGUCAGACAUUUGGGGUGUCUGAAAUUUAGCUUAAUCUGAUGCUGGUGUAGGCUGCGGCCCUGAAGAGAUUCCCUGCGCCGUUGUCCAUCUGCUCGAUCACCGCCAUGAUGGGGUCCAUCUUCAGCGCUAUCAUCCAGGUCUUGAUGGAGGGGAAGCUCACUGCAGGGACCUCAGACAACAUCACCAGGAUCAUUGGUGAAAUUGUGCUUGUGGUACACUACAUAUAUCUAUAUGCCACAUUCAGAAUUUUCAGUUGGUGAUGUUACCAUCUCUCAACCUGCAUUGCAAUGGAAGACUGAAUGAAACUCCUGAUCCUCCAGGGAGGCGUGGUGAUCGGCCUGUGCACGACGUUCCAGGUGUCAAGCAUUGGGCGCAAGGGGCCUGUCCUCGUGUCGAUGUUCAGCCCAUUUCAGACAGUGUUCUCGUCGUUCAUCUCGCUCAUCGUCUUCGGACAAUGGAUCGGCCUAGGAUGGUAAUGCACUUUCAUUGCAGGAAUGCUACUGCAUCCUCUAAAAUUCGCUGAGUUCACCUGAUCUGAUGAACACAUUUAUUGACACAUAAGAGUGUUUAUAUCACUUCUUUGCUGCAGCUGUGUCGGGAUUGUGCUCAUGUUUGUUGGACUCUACGUGGUGCUGUGGGCGAAGAACAGGGAGGACAAGAUGUUCACCGAGCUGACGGUGCCAUCUGAAACUGAAUGCGAUAUAGAGGCGCCAUUGCUGCAAUGAUAAGUCAGGCAAAAUCUUGUGACCGCGCUACCAUGGGUGCAAUGAUCUUUUAGUGUCAAAUUGCAUCUGAUUUUGUUCGUGCUUGCAAUCAAAUAUGCUUGGAAUGGAUUUAAUGAUGUUUUUAGAUUGUUGGUAGUUUUUGUCGGAUUUGCUACAGUUUCUUGCUUUUACUAUGCCUAGCUAGUCGAUGAAGUGUUUGGAAGAAACUCCGGCAAAGCUACAAGUUACAAACCUAAGCAUCUGGGCUAAAAUGCUUGUUGGUACCAAGAGUUCCUCCAAACACUUCACAUUGGUAUCAGGCUAUCGCUAAUACAACGUAACGUGAAGUGCUUGAAGGGAACUCUUGAUAACACCAAGCGUAAUUUCCGUUAUCAGCAUUUCCCUAUACAGCCUUGAAACUAUUGGGUAUCAUCUCUGGAAUUAAACUUUGUACAAUUGCACUAGGGUCUAGCUGCUUGUGAAGUGUUUGGAGGGAACUGUACAGCCUUGAAACUAUUGGGUACCACCUGGAGUUUCCCCAAACACUUCACUAGCUGGAAUUAGACUUUGUGCAAUUGCACUAGGGUCUAGCUGCUUGUGAAGUGUUUGGAGGGAACUCCAGAGGACAACCAACCAAGAACUCAAAACCCUAAAACACUCACAGAACUUCACUUUGGACGAUGAAAACACAUAGGUGAUGUCUGCUAUUUAUAAGAUGGAAUAGCAUCUCACCAUCUACACAUCAUUCUUUUCGUCGUACGCUCCUGGAGGCACAUGCAUUCGUUACGGGAGGAGUUUGAUCGAUGGAUGCACCUUGCCGGGAUUGCAGCAGGAUUAAUUCCCGAGGGAGGUCAAAGGCAAAGGAAUCUUGGGUGUGCGCGUGGAGAUAUAUCAGAUAGUGCUGUGAGAGCUUGAUCGAAUCAUAGAAAGUUCAUCAAUACUUGUGGAGGGAACUUUGCUCCUCCUGUUGUAACCACGCACAGUCCUUUCAUAUCCAAAUGCACUUCAGCACUUGGGCAAUAGAUCAUCAUCUUGAUGGUUUGGUCUUUUAGAAAAGAAAAGGGAAAAUUUGAUGUCAAUGUCAGAUUUGUCCAAGUGUACUAUUGAACAAUUGAAAGUUUGAUACACAUGAAAACUCUUCUUAUGGAAGGAACAUGUACUGAUCAUCACCACCCAUAUAUUAUUGUUAUUGAUAUUUAUUUGUUCUUGCUAUUAUCACUGUGAAUUGCCUUUCAGCCUGCUAAGCUUAUGGCUGAAGUAAAGAAAACAUGUCCAGGUUCAAUGCAUAUAAAGAAAGUGACAAAGAAGAGAAGGUGCCAUGUCCAGAAUAUAUAGCUAAUCUGAAGAAUGUUCACAAACCACAUCGACAAACAAAAGGAGACUAGAAGGCGUCCAGGUUCUACUUAUAUACAACAGCAUCCACCAUCUAAUCAGGCAUCAGACUCCAAAUAGCAGUGAAGCAGUUAGCCUGGAAGACUAUAAGAACCGCAUCUACGAGAUGAAGAUGUAUAUCGUGUAUAUCGGUAAAUGUCAAAGGAUUAAUUCAUGCCAUGAUAAAGAUGGAGUUCUCCUAAGCUAGUUCACUUCUCCUUUUUUUAAUUCUGUAUUGUAUUUUAUUUUCCUGGUACCUCUUACUGCUUUCAGUGGCUCUUGAGGUGUUUUCUAAAUUAAAAGGACAACAGUGCGACUGGCAAUAGAACGGUGACAGUAACUGAAUCCAAUAGAACGGUGACAGUAACUGAAUCCAAUAGAACGGUGAUAUAACUGUGCGACUGUCUUUUUUUUAUCGUAGAGGAAAUCAAGAUAACUUUACCAUUUAUGGAAUUGGAAUUUCAGGUACACGCAACGGAACUGUUUAGAGGGAUUUGUAUACAAAAGUGCUUAUCACCGCUUAACCCUGUGCUACCACUUUUAUAGCUACUCAUUCAGGUCAUUUCCACGCUCUGUUCUGGUCUAAAAUCGACUUGGUGACACACGCGUAUGUUGGUGAUGUGAGAAUGUGUGCUGAUUCAUUGACCGUGUAUAUGCAUUUCACACCUUAAAAAAACUUACAAGCGCGCGCGUGUGUGGUGCAUUUGCGUGCCCUUAGGUGCAAGUGUGAGCAUAGCAUUUCCACUAUAGCUUAUACUUCAAAAAUACACUUGAUCUUAUCAUUGUGUGUAGGGCAUAUAAUCGAAGCCGUGUGGCGCUGGAUGUUCUCUCUCCAAAGGAGUGUCGGAGUGUGUCAGCCAAAUGUUAGUGCUUCUUAAGUUGUGCAGAAGACAUUUGCCAUGCAACAUGCACUAGGUGAUCCGCCCACUAUCAUGUCAAGCAGCAUGCAUUCCCCCCUUAUCAUAAUGCAUAUGCGCAAAGAGGUAGAGAACAGUGUUCCCCGUUGUCCUCUCUCCACCACUACCAAGAAUUGAGCCCUAGCACGAGUGGCAUUGCUCGUAUAUACAUAGACACUUCGGAAUAGCGUGAUUCACACACUUUCUAUCUAUGGAUUAAUGUGUUUUACACUGGAAAAAUGAGCAUUGGUUCUAGCCCUUAGUAUAGGUUAGUUUUUGAUCUGGUACUAAUGUGAGCAUUAGUACCAGGUCUAACGGCUAGUCCCCUAGGAGCUCCCCGUGACCCCCUUUAGUACCGGUUGGAGCCCCCAACCCGUACUAACUUCCCUCUUAUAAAUCAAGCGUCUUCUUCCUCCUGCCCGAGCCAUUUCCUCCAGCUUGAGCUUCAUCCAUUCAUGGUGAAAUAGGGGAGGUGUUGCCGGAUUUUUGACAAUUUCAUGGGGAUUUCACUCAUUCAAGUGUUCUAAAGGUUAGAAACUUCAUCCUCCCUUGAUACAUGGCUAGUAUACUAAGUUUUAUGCUUUAGAGCUAGAUUAAUUUAUGAUUUUUAGAAUAAGGUACAAUGGAGAAAACUUUCAUUUAUAUGCAUGUGUUAUUUAGAGCUCAUAUUUGUCAUUUUUAGAAACAGCUACAAUUUUUAGAAACAGCGCACGUGGCCGAGGCCAAUUUAGUACCGGUUGGUAUAAACAACCGAUCGUAAAGGCCCUCCUUUAGUACCAGUUAUUUGACUCGGUACUAAAGGACCUCCCUUAGUACUGAAGUAGCAAUACCGGUUGCACAACCAAUACUAAAGAGGGUUAGGAACCGGUACUGAAGGUGCUUUCCCAGCAGUGCACACAUACGUGUGCAAGCACAAGGAAGCGAUCCUUGCCGGCUAUCAUAGAUCAGAUAUAAUAUUGUGAAUGUAGCGUGACAGGAUGAUAGGUGGCCAAUCACCUAGUUGCUCUUUUUUCACAUGUUUUCAUAUUCAUUUGUAUCAGCUCAUAUGUGUCCAAUAAUGCACUAGGUGACUGAACAUUUGUCAUGCAACAUUAGGUGAUCCGCCAGUUGUCAUGCAAAAUUAGGUGAUCCACCACUAGUCAUGCAAUAUUACGUGAUAUGCCACUUGUCAUGCAACAUGUACCAGGUGAUCUGCUACUUGUCAUGUCAUGCAGCAUGCAUUCCUACAAGCAUCAUUGUGUUUGUGAUCUAAUACCAAUGCUUCCAGCUCUUCAUGUAUAAAAGGCACAUAGGGCAACAUUUACUUGAAAAUAGCAAGUAGUCAAAGGGAAAAAAACAAUGAGUGAUAAGAGGUUCAAUGGAGAAGGAAGACGACUAGAAUAGAGCUCCAGCUCCAGCAGUCACCCCCGCCAUCAAUGUACUGCAUGUGGUCGUGUGUUUGCAUCUAUCAACUUUUUUUUUGAAGGCACAUCUAUCAAGUUGCUCACACUGCAUAUGCAAAACAAGGCAGUUGUCGCGCUUUGUGCUAUCCCAAUGGUGCCCAUGGAACUAGUUGAUGAGGAUCAGUUAGAGGGCAUAAGUGCUUAGAAAAAGGUCAUGGAGAUCCUUCUAUUCCUCUCAAAGCAUACUUAAACUCGGAUUUGUAUCAUGGCCAUGUGAAGUCUCACUGUCAUGGGUAAAACCUCAAUAGCACGUAGUGUCACCAUGAUAGUAAUAAGAGACGAUGCAUGUGCAUAACGAGGUAGAGAACAGUGUGCUACCCGUUGUCCUAGCUCCACUACUUUACAAACCCUAACCUCAAACAAUAAAACUCGUCAAAAUUGAGCCUAUCUCGAGUGGCAUUUCUCAUAGUGGACAACACACACGGACACUUUGGAAUAGCGUGUUUGAAACACCCUCUAGAAUGAAUUCUCCAUAUCUAUGGAUUAAUGUGAUUUACACACAUGAGCGAACACAAGGAGGUGAUCCUCGCCGGCACGUGGCAUACAUAAUAUUAUUGUGAAUGUAGCAUGACAAGUGGCCAAUUACCUAGUUUCUCUUUUACCACAUGUCGUCACAUUCACUAGGUGACUCAACCACUUCGAUCCGCCACUUUCCAUGUAAUAUUAGGUGAUCUGGCACUUGUCGUGCAAUAUUAUGUGAUAUGCCACUUGUCAUGCAACAGGUGAUUUGCUCCUUGUCAUGUCAAGCAGCAUGCAUUCCUUACAUGCAUCAUUGUGUUUGUGAUCUAAUGCCAACGUAUCCAGCUCUUCUUCAUGUAGAAAAGGCACAAAGGACAAAAUACACUUGAACCAUAGCGAGUAGUCAACGGAAAAAACAAGCAGUGAUAAGAGGUUCAAUGGGGAAGGGAGAUGACUAGGAUAGAGCUCCAGUUCCAGCAGCAAUCCUCUCAGCCAUCAGUGUAUUGCCUGCGGAUGUGUGUUCCCAUCCAUCAACUUGCUCACACUGCAUAUGCUAAAUAAGGCAGUUGUCGCGCUUCGUGCUAUCCCAAGGGUGCCCAUGGAACGAGUCGAGGCUCAGCCAGAGAGCAUAAGUGCUGAUGAUGAGGUCGUGGAGAUCCUUCUACUCCUUUCAAAGCAUACUUAAACUCGGAUUUGUGUCCUGGCCAUGUGAAGUCUCACUCACACUAGUAAAACCUCAAUGACAUGUAGUGUCACCGUGAUAGUAAUAUAUAAGAGAUGCAUAUGCCUAAUGAGAUGGAGAACAUUGUGCUCCCUUUUUCGUCCUUUCUCCACCACUUCCAAAUCCCAACCUCAAACCAUAAUAAAACUCAUCAGAAUGAGCCCUAUCUCGAGUGGCAUUGCUCAUAGUAGACAACACACAUAGAAUGUGCUUUACACACGUCAAGCACAAGGAGGCCAGUACAAUAUCAGUACAUACACAACAACAAGAGCAUACUCACAGGAGCAUGGCAUGUAUACAUAUGCACAAUAAUAGGGAAAAAAAGCAUAAAUGUUUUACAGUUUCGGCUAACUUGCACAAACAAAUCCAUUUUCUCUUUUUCUUUCCUUUUCACAGUCACCCACCCGUCGGAUAGUGUAUGUGUACAUUAGAUCUAAGAUAUCAUGAAGGGCUAGAUGAAACGGGUGGAUCUCUUGGUUUCAUUUUCUAGGACAAGUUUUUUAUUUGUUUCUUACGCAUCCCUAUAUAGUAUCGGCAUAUGUUAUGUUUUUCUUCAAUUUAUAUAAUUGCAUACUAAUUUCUGUUCAAUCCCUUGUGAAAGGUAAAUAGCUAAAUUAAAGCUUAUCGGGUGAUUCAAAGCCUCCCAUCAUCAUGGGUAUUUUUGACCCAAUCAAUACAUGCCAUGACACGAUAGUGAUGUUUGGGUUCUAGGUUGGGAAGGGGGCAUAGGAGGAGGACCAAGGGCGGCAAGAUGCUAGCACUAGUGGCAGGCGAGAAGGCAGGUGGUGCUGGGUAUCCGGUUGGACGAUGGAGGCAGCAGGCGUAUCGAGCUUCAAUUGGUUAGCCUCGGUGGCGUUGCAUCGAGGGAGGCGGGAGGGAACCUGUGGUAGUAAGGGAGCUUAGCUGGAAGGGGACUUGUGGCAGUGAGGGAGCUUAGCUGGGAGGGUACCGGUGGUGAUGAUGGAGCGUCGUCAGUGGUGUUGCGUCGACGGAGAUGGGAGGGGACUAGCAGAGGAGUCAUGGCGAUGACAGGUUAGCAUGACGGUGGUGGCGAAAGCAGAUCCGGGGAUGAGGUUGGAAGGCAGCAACCGCGACUGUGAAGAGUGGCAACAGGAGGGGCAUCUAGCAGCACAAGGAAGAAGAAAUAGGUUUAUGAUGGGAUGAUUAUGGGUCGUUGGAUCAACUAAGUAAAUGGCCAAAAAAAUUGAGUGAGACACUGGGUUAACUUGUGGAAAAAAUUGUGGAGAUGGUCCCAAAGUACCCACAUGCGAACCUGCCCCAGAUUCUUGCUGCGUGAUGACUCAAGCAAACUGACAACUGCUCGGGUGCACGCUCAAGUCGGCUCUCUCCAACAGCCCACUGCGCGGCUCAGCUCCCAAGCUGAGAUGAACACCGCAGCUUGGCACCCAGAGGAAAUGCACCCUUAUCCGCUCGUUGUGGCCUCCAUCAUCCAUCGUCGCAUCCUCCGUCAUCAACCAUGGCAUUCCUCAUCUAUCGGUGCAGUUGCCUCAUUAUGCACCUCUGUCCGCCUCAAUUGCUGGUGCCUAAAGCAGGCGUGAAGCUCAGCACUCCUGCAUGUGAUGGAUCUUCAAUCUUUACUUUAUGCAUCAAAAAAACACUAUGCCCCCAGACCAUUUGUGCUCAUAGUCAAAACAUAUUUGGGUCGAUGGUUGAGGCACUCACCAGCAACCUUGUGCCAGCAGGAAUGAUGAUUUUUGUUGUCAAGUGUCCUACCACCAGUGUAAAUCUAUUUGUGCUCGUGGUCCAUUAGAGCUUGUUUGUUUGAGCUGCAACUAUUGGAGCUUUCUGAAAAGUUGUUGAUAGCUUUUUUUUAUUCUAAAAAGUCAACGAUAGCUUUUAGAAAAUGUAUUUAGCUCAAAAAAACUACUUUUUAAUUUUCUGUAUAAACUCAUCUUUCACGGGUUUUUGUACUUUCGAAAAAGUUAAACGAGUUACGUGGAGAAGCCAAAUAAACAAGACCUUAGAUUGUCUGCUAACACAAAUAUUUAUAUGAAACGAAAAAAAUUACACGGGCAGCGACAAUCUCACUAUCGUGCUUCGUCUGUAGCGGCUGCAGUUUUGUGUUGUUGUCAUUCGCCUGCAGCCCCACGCCGCCGAGCCCUUUCAUCCGCCUGCAGCGCUGGGAUGCCAGCAGGUUGCAACGACACUCGUGCUACCUCCACGACCGCAACGUCACCCCGCACCGUCGCGCGCUCGUGUCGUCCUGCUCACGCCGACCACCGCGCUAGAAGGUUCGCUACGUCGAGCCCGCGCUAGCAUGCCGCCCGGCCCGCAUCAGCACCAGCGCCCACCCGCGCACCUCGGGCCUCACGCCGGCUGCUAUGAUCGCCGCUCGGGCGCGUCAGCCCUAGCGCCCGCCCAGAGGCCGCUCUCGCGGGGCCACCCGCACCAGCCCGCGCACACGGGCCAGCCGGCACACGCAAGCAUGCCGGCCGGUCACUGUACCUGCUACCCAGACGUGCCGGUCCUAGUGCUGGCUGGCCGUCCGCACCGGCCCCACGCCCGCAGACAAGUCACCGCACCACCAGCGCCUACAGACCAGCCGCACUCGCCGGUAAUUAUUAACAUUGUAAUUAACAUUUCCGUUAGAGGUGGAAGGCUCUCUAGUUUAGUGGUUAAAACACUUGAGUAGCAUCUAGCAAGUUCGGGUUCGACUUCCGUAAGAGCAAAUUAAAUGAAUAUAAAAUAAAAAAUUAUAAAAAAAAUAUGUAGGGGUUCCUGACUUCGGUAAAAAAAAACAUUUCCGUUUGAGAGCAAUGUAUAGUCCACUUGUCUUAAAACGUAUUGAAAUUUUUUUAUUUGAGCUUGUGCCAUCAUAAAAUGAUUUAGAUAUUAGCAAUUUAAAACGUAUUGAAAUUUUUUUAUUUGAGCUUGUGCCAUCAUAAAAUGAUUUAGAUAAAAUUGCUAAUAGAAGUUUGAAUUAUCCCUACCAAACAUGUGAAUCUUUCAUCUAUUUUCAUGAGUUGAGCUAAAGUGGAACAUGGAUCCUUAAAAAUAAUAUUUCUACAAUUUUUAAAUCAUAUUUAAGAUAAAUGUAGUUCAAAAAAGUAGUAAUUUUCGAUAGGCACAUAUAAAUUCAUUUCAACUAUUGAAACAGUAAAUCAAUUUGAAAAUUAUUGAAACCCUUAUACAAGAACAUAUAUGUAGUCUAUUACAUGUAAAAAUAAAUCAGGAUAUACAAGUUAAAUGUCUUGGCAAGUUACUUUAAAAAAUUGGAGCAUUUGUGCUGGUGGUUCUUUAAGGCGUUAGUCUCGUGGUCUUUUGUGCUAGCGGUUGGUAACUGGAUCCGUCAGUAUAAAAAAUAUGUAUCAGCACAAAUUACUUCUGACAUACUGAUAUAGACCCCAACAGAGAACUUUUGAUGCCCUGGAUUCCACCAACACACUACAAGAAAGACACAAGUAGAUUUGGUCGAUGUGGCAACUCCUGAGGUUCCAAGAUAAAAGCUCAAGCCAUGCUCGUAACCAUGAAACUCCCUUGGCCCAUGCGAGCACUUCAAGUUUAUCAGGCCACAAUCGACCCCUACCGAUGCGAGCACGUCGUGCAUACGAGGCAAAAGAUGCCUCGGGCUCAUGUGAGCAUGGUAUGCCUCCCUGUGCUGUUUGGCCCGUGCGCAUUGUUGAUUGCAGUUAACGUGCCAAUUCGUGAACCGUAAGUGUAUGGAUCACUUGUAGCUUUUUUCUUAGAGUAGUCCUCCAAGAUUUGUCACCACGAAUUCGGUGAUUCCAUGAUUCAAUUUAUAGUAGGUUGUAACAAGUGUCGAAUCUGAAUUUUGCAUCUCAAAGUCCUAUGAUGAUGGCAUUACUAACUCCCCUAGUGACUUUUAUUCGUUUUCCAAUGGUGUGACAAAUAGAUCCAUCUAGACACUGAAAAGAAAAAUAAAAACAAAAAAAUCUACACAAAAAUUAAGUAUUAGCGGGUUAGCAAAAUCAAUACAAAGAUCAAACACAGCAAACUGACUUGUUCCCCGUCAACAGCGCCAGAAAAGCUUGUUGACGGCAGUUAGUGUGCCAAUUCGUGAACCGCAAGCGCACAUAUCAGUUGUAGCUUUUCCCUUGAAGUAUUCCCCCAAGGUUUAUCAAUCCGUGGAACAAGUGAAUUGAUUGCUCUCACUUUAUACCAAUCUUGCUAACGAAACUGAGUGUAUGUAUUGUGUAGAGAGACAAACUAAACUAAUAACAGAGAUUGAGAUAAUAUAGCAAAGGUUAACACAAGAUAGGAGAUAGAGAUAGAUAUAAGCAUUCCCUCCCUAGGAUCUAGGUUCACAAGAAUAUGCAUCUACUACACAGAUGGAUGCUGCCCUCACUAGCUAUCACAGCGGUUACGUGCUCGCUCGGUCUUUUUCCCACUGCAUACUAUCACUACUCAGGGAUAAUCAAUCACCUCGCUCACACACACUAUAUCGAAGCAUCCACAGAGUUAGCUAAUCACCACGAUUACCAAAAAUUCUACUAAGAACAUAUGUUGUACAAGAUAGAGAUCUCACAUAUGUAAAUGAAGCAUUGCAACGAUAUAGACCAUGAUGCAUUAAUGGGCAUAAAGAACAUGUAGCAGUUACAUAUCAAGGACCAUAUCAACCCUAGGGAUGAACAGAGGAUUUACCCCAUGAUCUUACACGAAUAAAGGGGGUAAGGAGCACCUGGAGAACACCCUAACCGAAGACGAAGACGACAGGAGGCACGAGGGCCUCAAGCCGAUCGGCCUGGGGCACCCUAGGACGAUCGGCCUAGGGAUUUUCUCCCUCCUUUGCAGGUCCCCUUCAACGACGAAGCUCCUAAUCAGAUCUAAUCCCUAUUUUUUUUCUCUUGUGGCGCCGGCGGCUAGGUCCAAACUCGUUGGGAUCCCUCUCCUUGCUUAAUAUCCUGGGUAUUUAUAGUUGGCAGCGUUGGUUUGGGUGCCUUUGAAGCUAAGUUUCUGGAAAAUAUCCCUGGGACGUUGUGGGCAACCUCCUGGUGAAAGGGCGCGAUGAUCGGAGCCGAAAACGGACCAGGCCGAUCGGCCUGGACCCAUGUAGGCCGAUCGGUCUGCCCUGUUGGCCUCCAAUGCCUAAACGAUUCAUAUGAAAGUUGUAGAUCUCGUUGAGCUAUGCAAUUUUCUUUAUAAAUUCUCCCCAAUCGGAAUUCGAAUGAGGAAAAUAUGACCUAUGUAAGUUUCAGCUCCUCCUGCAUGCCUGUAGUUCAAUAUUCGUGUUUGGACUUUCCAAUAUCCAAAGUCUGGGCUCAAAUCCAACUUGCAGGAAAAAAAAACCUUUAAUUAUACCGUAUUAUGGUCCAAAACACAACACGCGAAUAUAACGUUAUUUCAGGUGCCAGGUGGCGGGUUAGUACAAGAAUAUACCUAAAAACACUAAAAACACUAGUUAAAUGGUACUAAAAGUUUACCGAUAACAAGCGUUAACAAUCCCAUGCUUAAAUUGAAGUAAGGCUGACCACCUUUCUGAUUGGUAAAUAACAAGCGUUAACAAUCCCAUGCUUAAAUUGAAGUAAGGCUGACCACCUUUCUUAUUGAUGCUUUCUGAUUGAUGGUGUGUGUACGCUAAGAGAAUUCGCCAUGUGUAAAUAAAGAAUAGAACGAAUGAAGUUUUUUUUAACCGAUAGGCAUGCUUUAUUCAAAAGAAAUGCGAUGCUAAACGUAACGAAAACUCAAAACAUAUUCACAGUUAUGUAUGACGGGGUUAAAUAGACCGGGAUCACAUGAACAAGGGCAAAAUAUAUGACAUCCUCAUAGCCAAGCGAAAAACAUUCCACCGAUCUUAAGUUCCAAAAGUUAAAAGGAUUCGCUCAAAAUUCAAUCACUCACAUCGAUCUGAUACUAGCACUAGAACCAGGAUUUCCAGAAACCACGAGAAAAUUUCAUACUGAAACAAAUUCGAAGAGAAUUAAACAUGGUGGCAAAUGCCUAUUGCAAUUGUGACUAGCUCUUGGAGGCCUUGUCCUUGGUCUUUUGGAUUUUCAACACCUUCUUCACGAUCUUCUGCUCCUCAACCAAAAAUGCCCGAAUGAUCCUGCAAGGUAAGAUGGCUUAGUUCAACAUUAAUCAAUGCGACACAUGAACAUAUGAGAUAUGAAAAGAGUAAUCACCUCUCCCUAACUGCAGUACCAGACAGAACACCACCAUACGGACGGUUCACAGUCCUCCGGUUCCUUGACAACCUGGACCUCUUGUACUCAGCAGGUCUGAGGUGUGGAAUCUGCAAUUUAAAGCAUGUGCAAUAUGAGGACACGUUCAUACUGUAGGCUUGAAAUGCCGCUUCAUACAAAGCAAAUGCAACAAAAACUUGUGAUCCAUGAACUUAGGGCAUAUUUGGAUUGUGCCUGUGUCUGCCCCGCCAAAGCGAGGGCUUGCCAAUUUGGCGCAGGAAUUCACCACCAUCGUUUCGCCGUCGCGAGGGUGCAGAAAACAACUACGAGCGGCAGCGGGCGCAUGGGCACGCCAAAAAUUGGCGCCUAUCCAAACACGCACAGAACAAGCAGUCAACUUCCAAAAAAUUGGUAGGGCGCCCUAUCAUGGGUAGCCAUCCAAACAACCCCUUAAACUGCCUAUUUCCAGCAAGCAGAAUGUGGUACAAGCUACCCAUAUAUGCCAAUGUAGCAUGCAGCAUAAAGCUAUUAUGGCUGUGAAGCCGGAGAACAAUUUUGUGCAAAUUCCACAGAUGGAGUGCAAAGGGCAUUGUCAAAUCUUUAAAAUAACACGUGCAGUUGAUGUAACAAAGUCAACAACAAGACAUGCAAAUCCCCCGUGUGCCGAGUGAAUUAUAAGAAUCCCAUCUUAAGAUUAAAAAAAGAUAAACUUCCUAAUCAGCGCAUGUUCUUGGGAUAUUGUGGUACACAAGUAUCCUCUAUGAUUAACAUGCAAAAGUAGUUGGUCAGAAGGUUGUCAGUUAGGAGCGAAAGACAAUUCAGUGUAAUCAUAGUCAUUACAAAUGUAAUCAUUUGAACUAUGCAACUGAUCAUCAUCCAACCUCGCCACCUGAAGAGUGCACAACCGAAGAUAGCAAAUGCAAGGCAAUAACAAAGGAGCAAACAGAUGGACUGCACAGUUAACCUUGCAAUUCAAAGAUGAAAACAUGGGGGAUAAUAUACAGAUGCGAAGGGCCUCAUAGAGAAGAUUAGGCUUCAUCCACAUGAAAGUUUCAGAUAUAUGCUUGUCUUGUUUUUAAGUAAUCAUAGGCCCAGUAAUAAAACAUCAGAAACAAAAAGGGUAGCAAAUGGGUUGAAACUAGAAAGGCAAUUUUAGAACUUAACAACAGAACAAGUUAAAGAUCAAAAUCAACAAAGAAUAUCUCAACAACCAAAAACACCCAAGGGAUCCAAAAAUUGUGUUCCAACAUUUCACAAUAACCAACUUACAAAAUCACUUCCAUGCCAGUUCAUAAUCACUAUUCCUAGCUAACAAGCAGGUACACUCGGUAAUUAUACUAGUUGAUGCUAUGAACCCGAUAAACAGGCAUCCCAGCCACUUCAUAACAUGAACUAGGUCAGCAAUAUAUAAAUCCCAGAGCAAGAGAAAAGGAGUGGGCAUCACAAUCAAAAUAUAAAAUUCUAAGAAGUAAUUGGCAUCAGAUUCCAGAUAGCAGUAUCUCUGCCAUCCUGACUUGUUCUAUACAAAUUGCAGACGAUGCUACAAUCUUCAUUCAAUGAUGACGAUUGUGUGCUCUGGCAGUCAUUUAGAACAAGACAAACAGCAUAUCCAAUAUCAUAAUCUACCGACAUCCUUCAGCAUGCAAACAUGCAAGUCUCAGAUCAAUUCAUCCACUCUUAAUCCUACUGCCAACUCCUCACAGAAUUAAUAAACUAUAUAGUAAAGGAAAAAAUGCCAGCUCUUUGGGGAAGAGAACUACAGAUAUCAUAACUAAAACAAAAAAGUCCUCAGAGAAGAUUAAUAUUAAUGAACAUGAAACUUCAGAAAUAUGCUUAUCAUUUAUAUCACUAUAAUCAUAUGUCAACAAAAUAUAUCAAAACAAAAGGAAAUGUAAAUGUGGAGCAAAGACCUCAGGAUCCAACCAAGUUCAAGAUCUCAGGAAAACAAGCACAACACAAGAUGUUGCAACAAGAACAUGCGCUUGCACUGUGAAUAAUAAGGCAUACAACAGAUACAAGCAUUUAUAGAUAUGAAAUGCAAACUAACCUGGAAUAAUAAGACAUACAACAGAUACACGUAUUUAUAGAUACAACAUGCAAAUUAACCAGAUAUUGCAGCACGCUUUACAACAAGCUAAAGAAAAAAUCAAUGUAAGACCCAGAUAAAAACAAACCUACUAGACCUAUGGUCCGAAACUACUAGGAAUAUUCUACAGUUUAAUAAGAGUCCAAAGCAUUUUUAGAUGUUGCCAAGUCGGAAUAAAGCAUUUUUUUAGAUGUAACCAUGUCGGAUUAAAGAUUAUUCAAGCCAAGAGACCAAAGCACGAUCUCAUCAACAAACUUUAGUCUCCCGUUUGUAAUCACACUUCAUUAGAAUAUGAGCAAGACCAGAAGCUCCCACAAAACUACGCCAGACAUGUUCCAUCAGGAACUGCUAGGUUGAAUCCAGUUGAUCAGGUAGUGUUCAAAUGAAUAAUAAUCCACCUAUAACAACCGGCACAACCCAAGAUGUAAAACAGAAAGGUGGGCGGCACAUACUCCUUGGAUCUUCUUCCCGGUGACCGGGCACUUCGGCCCACUCGCGCGCUUCUUGGUGUACUGGUACACAAGCCUCCCACCUAAAUCAACAACAGCACGAGUAAGAUCCGAGAAAAACAGUGCCCAAAAUUAAACGGCAACAGUGCGAUAUCUGACGAAUCGCACGGCGCAACUAAAAAGAUACUAAUUUCCACCCGCAGAUCCAUCUAAUUCCCAACCCAAACAUGAGCGGUGCGGCGAAAAUCCUAUCUUCACAGCCCGCAAGAACAGGAAGAAACAAAGACGCCGAUCCUUACCAGGGGUCUUGACGACGCGGGUCUGGUUGGACUUGGUGGCGUAGCUGUGCCGCUUCCGGUACGUGAGCCGCUGCACCAUCUUGCCGCCGGCCGCCGCCUUCUCCCGGGCUUCCGCUCUCCGCGCGCGCUCUUCCUCUCUCAAGCGUGGCGGCGGGGAGGGGAAUGUGAGGGUAUGGAGGAGACGUUUUAUAGGAUGGCCGGUGUGCCGGGUGACCUAAAUCUGACGGCAGAUAUGCGAUCUGGUCGGUGAGCGGACGGUCAGAUCCGUUCCGCCGAUUACCAGGCUCGCUCGAGAUGAAUAUUGGUUGGGCCGAAUUUGGUUUACGGGGCUACUAUAUAUGGUUUGAUUCUCACUGGACGGACUUUGGUUUUUGAUUCCAUUGUAUUUUCUUGUCUGUUGUCAUUUAGUUUUUGGUAGGUCUACGUUUUUUUGUCUUGCCCAAUGCUAAAUUUAAACUCGUGAUUUGUUUCAAGAGAUACAAGAUGGAUUUUUUUCAACUUUGUGGAAAGGAAAUACACAACAAAGCUCAAGCAUCAUUACAUGGAACAUAUACAAAUUAUUUGCUUCUCCCUUUUUCUUCAAAACACAAACACUUAUGCAGGUGCACACUUGACCUUAUGGUAUUGCUCUGUUUUAGAUUGACAUUGUUGUUGAGUAGCAAUACUCAAACAACUAAAACAAAAUUGCUUAAAGAAGCAACCUAAGAAAAUCUUUUAAAAUCGUACGGUUCACAUUUUUUUUGUGAAAUCUAAAAUGUUCAACUAAUUGUUUCUUUAGAAAAAUUCAAAUUAUUUGUAAAAGUCUAUUAUUGGACAUCCUAGAUGCGAACGAUUAGAGAGGGGAAGAAUAUUGCAUCAUUAGGCAUGUGUGUAGGGAAAAUAACCUCUCCAAUAUAAGCGGGUGCAUAAAUAGGCUCAAAAACUUGUUGGCACACUUUAAUCACGCACGGCAAUCUUAAGCAUAUUGUGCUUUUUAUUGCCAAAUUUCCAACCAACCACGAUACAUACUCUCCAAAAAAAUGUUUGAGCAACCGCUUCUACAACUAUGGUUCAAAUUGUGCAGGACUCAAAUACAAAAGAUGAUGAUUAGGAGUAACAAGAGAAAUUUAAUAAUCUAUACAUAAUAUUAAAAUGCAGUUCUUUCUUCCAACCAUCGUGGUUAUUUUUAAAAAAAGUCUCUCAACUUUUUCGUAAUCAACCUGCAGUCCUAGGAGUUAAACUGCCAUAGUUCAUUGAUGAUUUGCAAAAAAAUCUCUCAGCCUUUUUUAAUGGCUGCUGAGCGCGAGGAUGGGGACAAAGUAGCAGUCGAGCGCUUGGCGGAGCAGCACGGUCAGUGCAGGCAUGGCCGGUGCCGGGCUCGAGGGCUGGUCCUGACGCAGCUACACCACCGCACGUGGGGAUGGGGUGCCGCAGCUUCCGACAAGGGUGGAUUGGCGGCUUUCCUGACGGUGGCGCUAGGACCCCCCGCAGUGGUGGCGCAUCGCAUUGCCAUCACCCUUUGCUGGAACUUGAAUCUAACCCCGAUGGGGGAGCGUCACAGGCAUGCAUAGUGGUGGAUGAGCUCCCCCAUGACGUGCAGCAGAUCUCGCAUGGCCAUAGUGAUGUAUGCCACCACCCACCAGUGUGGAUUCGCUCGCAUGCCCAGCAAUAGUUCUCAACUAGAGGCAGCGCUAGCUGAUGUCGUCUUCGUCAGCAACACUCACCGCCACCUGCCAGAAGAGCUGCCGCUUCGGUCUCAGCAAGAAGCUCCACUGCCCACUGCUGCAUCACCAGGAGGGCAAUCCACAACUGGGAACCAUAUGCAUAGGAUGACGAGCAACUAGGCCAUGAUGUUAGGCUGUCAAGGUGUAUACACUCAGGCAUGAAUUGUUGAGUAUAUUAUAAUCAAGGACUGAGCAUUUAUUUUAGCCUCGCAAUUUUUUUCUUUUUACAGGCUGAAAGUUUCGUGGAGAUUCUCUUAUAUUCAUAAUAACUUGUAUAUUCAUAAAAAGGGCCGUUUGGUUCCCAGGCUAAAAUUUAGCCCCUGUCACAUCGAAUGUUUAGAUACUAAUUAGGAAUAUUAAAUAUAUACUAUUUACAAAACCCAUUGCACAGAUGGAGGCUAAAUGGCGAGACGAAUCUAUUAAGCCUAAUUAGUCCAUGAUUUGACAAUGUGCUGCUACAGUAACCAUUUCCUAAUGAUGGAUUAAUUAGGCUUAAUAGAUUCGUCUCGCCGUUUAGCCUCCAUCUGUGUAAUUAGUUUUAUAAUUAACUCAUAUUUAGUCCUCCUAAUUAGCCUCCGAAUAUUCGAUGUGACACGGACUAAACUUUAGUUCAAGAAUCCAAACGCCUCAAAGUUAAGAUAGGAAUUGCAUUAGUGCUGAAUCUUACCUGAAGCUUUAAUGCAUGUUUGAACUAGUCGUAAGACAAAUUACAUAUGUAUAAAAAUUGAGAUUCCACUGUUCAAAUAGGUAAUGUAGAAUUCAAAAGAGUUAUCUUCUUAUUAUCAGAGAUGUAUAUAAAUAUUAUGAAAUAUUCUGCACCCGAUUAGGAAGUGAAACAAGUAAACUAGAAGUUUGUAGAUGGGAAUUUAGAAGUAGGCAAGAAACCGUAGCACCGGACAUUUAUGCUAGUCCUGCCACGAGGAGAACGGAUACCUGCUGGUAUUACGAAGACCAAAGCUGGAAAACCAGAGCCAAAUAAAUAAUUGUCUUCUUCUCUUGCCCCUUCGUGUCUCUCUCUCUCUCCUCACCCACCCGCCCCGAGAUCUCCCCCCUCUCUCUCCUCGCGCCCGCUCUCUCUCUCUCUCUCUACCUCUUUGAUCCGGCAAUGGCCGCCUCCGCCCCUGCCACCGCCGGCGAGCUGCUACGCAUCGACCCUCUCGAGCUCCGCUUCCCAUGUACGUGCGCCUCCCUGUCUCCCGCUCUGUUUUUUCUUCGUUCUUUUUGUGGGGAAAAAAUCCCUUUUUUCUUGUUUCUGCCGGCGUGGAUCGAUAGGCUCGUGACCUUGUUGAUGUUUUCCCCUGAGCAGUCGAGUUGAAGAAGCAGAUCUCGUGCUCCAUGCAGCUGUCGAAUCUCAGCAACGACUACAUCGCCUUCAAGGUCCGUUUGUCCUUCGCUGUUUCUUUUUCCUUUCUUGGAUGCUCUUUCCCUUCCCAUGUGAAUUAUCUCAUCUUAGAACCCUAGAAACGGAUUGAUAUCAUGUUGUUUGGGCCUAUGGUGCUGCCUGAUGGGUUUGUGGUUGACAUUCCUGCAAGUCCGUUUUACAUGAAUUGAAACAGCGAAUUUGACCCAAAAAUUGGGGCCCGUUAUAUUGGUCUGUGAAGACGUGCCUUCAAUUUGGACGGUUACUGCAUCAAAGGGCGAUUUGCGCGAUUCAGAUAAACUUUAGAUUGUUUGUUCUCUUGGUGCUUGCUUUUCUGUCGCUCACACUUCUGAGGUAUUAGAUAGCUAAUGGUAUCAUUAUAGGUUUGGGUCAUGGAGGGGUCAUUAUUUUCCUGUGAUACCCAACUGUUAUAUGAUUGUUAAACGAUGUAGUCUCUGCAGUGAGGUUAUUCUUUAUUUACCUUGCUUUUCUAACAAUGGUCAGUGUAGCGCCCUUUGUAUUAUUUAACUGCCUGUAGUUAGUCGAAUAGUUAAGGCUAAUAGCGAUGCAUUAGUGGUUUAAGGCUAAUCUUGAAAAGGCAGCAUACAUUCAAGGAGUUCUUAUUGCAUUUUAUAUGACUGUUUUCUUUGUUGAUUCAGGUGAAAACUACUAGUCCAAAGAAGUAUUCAGUGCGACCCAAUACAGGGGUUGUCUCACCACGGUCUACUUGCGAUGUCGUUGGUCUGUGAUUCUUAGCAUUUCCCAACCUUAUUUAUAUAUGGGCAAAUCAUCAUCUAACCUUGUGCUGUUUAUUUGUUUAUCUGUGCUGUUGCAGUGACAAUGCAAGCACAACGGGAGACCCCCCCUGACAUGCAGUGCAAAGAUAAGUUCUUAGUCCAAAGCGUUGUUGCACCUGCUGGUAUUAUUACUAUGAAGGAUGUCACGGCGGAUAUGGUAAUAUUUCUUUCUUAAUCACUUUUUACAAAGAAUCUGAUGAAACAUUAUAUACAGAAGGGAAAAGGCACGAGUUAUGAACUCGUUUUUUUAUGGAGAUAUAAUUUUCCAUGUCUUUUAGCACUCUUUAUCCAAAUUGACUUUAGAGUGCAGCUAUGAUAAAACUUUGGCAUUAAUUGUUGUGCUGCUGGCUUGACAGUUUACAAAGGAGUCAGGGAAUAAGAUGGAAGAGGUCAAAUUGCGAGUGACCUACGUUCCUCCUCCGCAGCCACCCUCUCCAGUUCCAGAGGAAUCUGAAGAAGGUUCACCGUCUAGGGCUUCUGAAUCAGAAAAUGGAGAUGGCCCUGCUGGGGGAUUCACCAGAGUGAGUUACUAUAUAUUUUUUUCAUUUUCCAUUUUGUUCAUUGGGAUGAUAAUAUAUUUUUGAAAUAAUUGCAGGCACUGAGAGAGCGCAUGGAGCCUCAAGAAAAAUCUUCAGAGGUCUGUUAUUAUUUUGAUUAGUAUAAGAUUUCAUAAUAGAGUUGGCAUCUUUUGUAUUCUGUUUCCUUUAGUUUUGUAUUUUUCUAUAUUCUCUCUUAUACUCUGGGAGUGUUGGCAUUGCAGGCUGGAGCUUUGAUUUCCAAAUUAACUGAAGAAAAGAACUCUGCGAUUCAACAGAAUCAUAGGCUUAGACAGGAACUUGUAAGUGAAGCAUCACAUUUUAUCUUUCUAUCCUAUUGUACUACAGCUUCAUACUGCGAAUGCUGUAAGUUCAUAAAAAAAGGAAUUUAUGUCGAAUAAUCCACCUAUUAGAUGAUAAUGCUUUGAUCCCUUUUUCGUUAUCUCAUCAGUACAAAAGAAAAAAAAUCACAAAAUAGUUGUGGCGGUAAUCCUUAUAUCAUAGGAUAUUUCACUUCAUGCUUAAUUUUAUGAGAGAAGCAACAAAGGGAUUUUCACUAUGGUAAUUUUUUCCCUCUGGUGAUGAUUUGAGUGGACUUGAUUACUAUAAUAAUAGAUUAUGAUGAUACCAUAUAAGCAAGUGAGCCCCAUAUGCUGGUUUGCACUUUUCCUUUCACAUGAAUCUACAAGCACAACCAGCAACAUGAAAAUUCAAUGGCACAUGAUUGUUAUGCUUUCGAUGCUAAUAACCAGCUGUAGGGUAGGGUGAAUAUAGACAAGGGAUCUAUCUCUCAAUCUGUUUGAACUAAUGUACUUGUUUAAAUUAAGUAUAAAAAUUAAGAUCCCUAUUGACUAUGUUUUAGUGUUAAAAUUUUAUUGCCAUGUAGGGCCAAUAGGUCAUACUCACAAUAACAGAUUUUGACAUGGUUACAGUCCAAACUUUAAAUGCUUCCUACUUUACCAGAAUUUGUCCAUACCCUAGUUUUGGCCAUGCCCAAAUUUUGGCUUGGCACACUAGAGUCACAAAUGAUGAAAUGAAGGAUGGGCCUAGCACAAUGGUAUGCUGCCUGUUUCCUGGGUUCUAAUUAGCCUCCUUGCAAAAUAAGCAUGGGUAAGGCUGAAAUUGGCCCCAGGCUCCCACCAGCACUGGGUGCACCCUUUCUGAAACAAAAAGGGCCCUUUAAGAACAAAAUCAACUUCGUUUGUGAGAUAUAACAUUUGACAGCGCAAAAAAAUACACCACACACCUUUUUUUUUAUAUUUUUCAUUGUCCUUUCCUUCACUCUGUCAUUUUAUAUUUCUGAUAAAACAAGGUCUAGUAUGACCCUGAAAUUUUAUAUGCUUGCCCAUCACCAAUUCUCUACAUGUACGAGUUUUUCAAAGAAAAGUCUUCUAAACAUGUUUAAUGAAGGGUUUUGCACAAUUCUAACAAGGGGGUGGUUUCCACUGAGUAUAUCCUUAUAAAAUGCAUCCACGUCAAAUACCAAUCCAAAAUCAGCUUUUCAAAAGCCACAAUCCAGAAUUAGCUUUCCCAAGAGUCAGAGCUCAAAGAAACAGGCCCUAUGGUCAAAAGAAAGAAAGAAAAAGAAACAGGCCCUUGGUCAAUCUACACUCAAAUGUUUGACAUUGGUGUGUCCAUGUUAAUGCUAGCAGCAUGAAUGCAUGAUGUGCUCCAUCUGUUAAUGAGCUUUGAAAAUGCUGCUAAUCUUUUUUUAACUAAUUCAUGAAGCAAUAUUUGGAGAUUGUUGUUGUGUUGCUUGCUGAUGCUACCAUAUACUAGCUUGUCAGUUCAGUACUAGUUGGCCUCCACAAGCUUCUUGUACUGCUUACUGUUUUGCUGUUGCUACUGCCUACAAUAUACAUUUUUAUGUUCUAGUUGCUCAUUAACUUUUGUAAUUUUGAAGCUUGAAGUUGUUUCCAAUUUGUAUUUGAUCCAAGAUGCAUUGAUUUUUUUUCUAACAUUUUUUUUUCAAUUCACUGAUUCUGCGUGAGUCUUACAACAGAUCCUAUGUUUAAAGUUCAUGUUUUGGCCAAUGAUCUACCUAGUAAAUUGCACCAAGAACCUCCUGAUGAACAAUUAUUGUGUCCUAAAAUGCAGUAAUAUCUAACCAUUUAGGCUUAUGCUACAUCUACUAGAGAGUAGAAACUAGUCCUUUAUCGUCCUUCAUUUCUGUUGAAGCUGUAAUUCAAUGUUGUUUGUUUCUGUUCAUGUGGCAGGAUUUGGUUAGACGGGAGAUCAGCAAGAGGCGAGGAGGCGGCUUCUCCUUUAUCAUUGUCAUAAUUGUUGCUUUGAUUGGCAUAUUCCUGGGUUAUCUGAUGAAGUCGUAAUUCUUUCAGCCAUAUCAAAGACAUUCAUGCAAGUAAUGUUUGGGAACUCAAAAGGACCAUUCAAGUCAGAUGUCUUGCAGUUCUCCGUCCUGUUUUGUCGAUAUAGGAGUGCGUAUGUGAGGAAUGAUGAGCCAGUUUAAGCUUUUCUUCUUUUGUUGUUAACUUUCAUUGGGUGGGUCGUGCGCAUUGCUGACACUGUAACUUGGAAAAUGCAUCAAUUGCUUUUGUUCACCGUUUAUGUUGUCAAAUGCGGUAACUGCCCAACCUUGAAUUGUGGCAUUACAUAUGUGCUGGAGUUGGUGAUCUUUUUUUGCCACAAAGUAAUCUACCGUUCCGUUACUGAUGCAGUGGAUCAGAACGAACCAGUAGAUAUACAAGAGGCACACGAACUAGGCAGAUAAAACUAGAUGAAAUUGUAACUCACAAUUCCCGUCUAGUGGUCACUAAUGAUAGUGAGUAAUUUUAUUAUCCAAAACUGUUCUCCUUCCCAAAUCUCCUUACAUACAUAUACAUACAUACAUAUAUAUAUAUACACACACACGCAAUGCCAUUAAGAUAGCAGCUGAAAAGCUUAGAACUGAUGCAUGUAGGACUCUUAAGUUUUAUUGGAAAAUAAAUACUAUAGCUACUUGCCCAAGGAAAGUAACUGACACAUUAUUUGAGUUUAUUUGUCCGCAUCAGUUACCUGGAAGAAUAAUAUGAUUUUGCCUCGUUUAGGAAAAAAGAUGUUCAUCAUGCAAAAGCUUUGAACAAAUCUCAUUGCACUUAUUGCCUUCAAUGCAAUUUCAAGUUGAUAGUAACUUGUCCCAAUAAUUAUUCUGCAAUGAAUGCUGUUCAGGAUAGUUGCAAAGAUUGGUAAUUGGCUGUGCGACCACUGCCCAACGUGCAAUGGUGUGAUAAAUACCAUAGCAAAUGAGCGCUGAGAACUUUGCUAAGUAAAGUAACAUAAGAGAAACUGAUAACUGAAGAAAUAUGUACGCCAAUGUUUCUUGAAUCAGCACUUCCCUAGAGCUUUCAAUCAAAAUUUUCUGAACCUUCUUCACACGCUGUUUACACGUACAAAAGGAGGCCAACGUUCCCAGUAAAUGCAGAGUUGGCCAUUCCAGUAUCAUCUUGUACAGAAGGGAGAUUCAUCCCUUUGAUCUACCCUGAUCUAAACAACAAUCACAUACAGUUAUAUAUCUAGAAAUGCAACCAGCACAGGCCUGACCUUAUUGCCCAAUAUAUUUACAAGGCGCCUAAAAUGUGGCUAUAUUUGGGCUCUAGAGCUUUUGAGGUGUUUUCACCUUCUUUUAAACCUGAAAACUAACCUACGCACACACUUCUAUGUUCUGCUGCCUCUAUACCUGAACAUAAGAAAACUAUCAUCUGAAGCUGCAUUUGAGCAAGUCACUCAGCAACCACAUCUCUUUGCCUUUUUUUUUUUAAGUAGAUCCGAAGUGACCGAGAAAGGUGGUAGGAAGCAGCAAGCUGCCAACUUCAGAGCAAGCAUUCACUGGAAAUCUGGAACAACUUCCAUGGUGAAACCAGAUUGCACUUACACUUCAUUUGAGUAGGUAUCUUGUGCAUCAGUGGCGUCCUUGCUAGCAUUGGAAGGCACUUUUCCUUUCAGCUCAGCACAUACAAGCUUUGUCAAGAGGAGCCCAGCAAGGAGAGCUGCUGCCAUCAGCAUUGUGAACACAGCACUCCAACUCUUCGAGGAGAUGUAUCCUGUCAGCAAAGGCCCGAUGGCAGCUCCGACAGAUCCUGUCCCAUCAAUGAUUGCUGUCACAGUGGCCAGUGCUCGGGAAUUGCCAUUUAAAGAGCUGUGGGUGCCAAGGUCAGCUGACACUGCAGUUGUGAUCAGGGCAUAAGGUCCGUUGACAAACAUGCCAGUGAUGAACAUGAGGCAGAUAUUCCAAACUAUCGACAUGCUUCCAUAUGUGCGGUACAAGAAUAGGGCAGGUAUCGCACAAUACAUGAAGCUAGCAGCUGUGAUUGCCCGCGCAUUUAAGCGAUCGGAGAUGUGACCAGCAAGAACUCCUCCCAAUACACCACCAACAUCGAAGAUUGUCGAUAAGCUACCAGCCAUAGCAUCAGAGAGGUACUCACCACCAAUACCUGAAACAAGGGAAGGCUUUUUAGGAGGCACACUUCUAAGAACAGUUCAGUUAAAAGAAAAAAGAGGAUUCCAAUAUGUACUGAAUCAUCGAAUGAGAAUGAUGUCACUCAGAUUUGAAGAUUGAAUAAGACUUACGUGUAUGGCUGAUGUAGAAUGGUAGCCAAUACAGGAAGGUAUAUGCAACCAAUUUGGAGAAGAAGAGGCAGAGAGCAAAUGGUGCCACUCCAGGAAUCCUCCAUGCCUCUAAGAAACCUACUGCCUUAUGUUUCACUUCUUGGCCUGGUUCCAAAAGGGGCUCCUUCACGGUGUCUUUCACACAGUUAGAUUCACCACUGUCAAUGUCUAUUUCCAUUACCUCAGGAUUAACUGGCAGGAAAAUAUACACUAUCAACCCAACAAAAGCCAUUAUCAGGCUGGGGAUGGCAAAUGACCAACCCCAGCCAAACUUCAGCAGGAAUGCAGCAAGUAAUGAGCCAGCUAUGUUCCCAAUAGACGUGUGUGCAUUCCAUAUACCCAUGAUCAACCCCCUCUUGCUCUUCCCAAACCAGUUUCCAACAACUGCAACCACUGAAGGCCACCCAAUUGAUUGAAACAGACCAGAAAUCAUCUGAAUAACCAAGAAGUAGUAGAAGCUGUGAACAUUCAGCCAGUAACCAGCACCAAAGAGAGUUGUGAAUAUGGCGGUCCCAAGCAUGCCAAUUGUCAGAAAGAUUCUUAAAUCCAUCCGGUCACCAAUAUGUCCAGCAAAGAACAUUCCAACAGAAUAUACGGCAAGGAAUGCAACAUCAAUCUCACCAAGCAAUGCUGAGCCAUCAGCAGUGUUAAAUGGCAACCAGCCAAUGUUUAAGCUGUUGCUUGCGUGCAAGCGUCCCCAGUGUGAAAACCCAACCUUCGUCUGGGGAUCAAGUGCACUCUUGACAAUGCUUGUGAUCUUCCUAGUCAUAUGAAAGCAUGUGUAUGCAAAGAAUGUCAGGACCAGGACAAGGGUUUGGUAUGUUCUCAGAGAACCAGCACCUCCAAAUAACCGAAGACCAGGAGGUCUCCUGCUCAUCAUGUCAUGAGACUGAGCCAUGAGAACACAAGAUUGCUUGCAGAUGUCACAGAGCAGUUAGUGCCACAGCAGAGACACACUUUUUUGAUACAGGAAUAACCACCACCUGAAAACAUCAAAGGUCACAGAGCAGUUAGUGCCACAGCCAUGAGAACACAAGAUUAAAUGUUAUGUGAUCAUGAAGUAGAAUACCAAAACCACGCAACAAUUGAUCCAAUUGCAAUUAUGUACUAUUUUUCAGUCCCAAGCAGACAAACAUGGGGACAAUUGAAGCAUCCAGUGACUUAAACCCCAUCUAAGAAUAUUCCGUGAAACAAACUGAUUCAUUUGUUUACUACUACUAAUCCAGCUCAGUGGUCAGAUAGUGCACUGAAAUAGUUCCCUACAACAACAAAAGCCACGCCAAAUCAACCUUGAGUCAGGCACAGGCUGGUCAAUUUUGUAUGUCCAAUAUCACGACAUAAUCGAAAUUUCACCAAAUUAAUUGGUCCUGUUAAUCGUCUAAAUUAGUCGAGCAUCCCGUACCAACCAAUCAACUUAGACCUCACUCCGAAGCAACACCUUACCUUUUAAAACCUGCACAGGAAAGAAGUUUCCGUGUGGAUGCAGGUAAAAAGGCGAUCUUGACAUUUCGGGCUCCAAUGUCCGUGCAAAGGUUUCACAAGUCCAAUCACAGAAGCCACCCCGCUAUUUCAACACCUAUAUGAUGUCACAUCUGACGCCUCCCAAAUCAGGGAGAGAAAAAUCGCACCUUCUCCCAUCAAUCCCUGACGAACACCCUCCCUCAAUUUCCAUCCAAAACCUCCCCCGAACCCAUUACAGUAGUAGUAGUGCACAAUAACACACCACCGUACAAACAAAAAUCCGAUGGGUUUCCAGAGGCAAGAAUCGACACAGAGAUUAAUUAAGAACAGAAGUCGGCGCUCGAACAAAAGCACGGACCUUUAUCCAGAGCGCCGAGGGGGCUCCCGGUGUCCCGCCGAUCUGCGGCGGGCGGCGGGUCGCCGGAUCGGAGGCGCGGCUCCGGCGCGGGGACGGAUUGGACGCAGCGCAAAUGCGCACGCGACGCGGCGGAAUCACUGAAUCACGCAAUGGGGGGAGGAGGACUGCAGGAGGAGGAGGAGGAAUCAAUGCGUUUCUUCCUGGUGUUAAGCUCGUUUUGGUUGGAGCGGAGUCUCAGAGCGAGGGCGCAUUUAUUAGAAGCUACGUUGAGUUUUCCCUGGGUAUUUACGUUGCUGCCCUUGACGAAAGUGCCCUUUGCUUCGGUGCUCCUUUGGAAGGAGACAAGUGGUGGCUGGCACCACAAAGAAAAUGCUUCGAACUGGCCUCAUGAUCCACGAUGGCAUUAGUUUAGCACCGACAGGUUUUGCUAAACCGAGGCCAGGGCAAUUUGGUAAGAAUACAGAAAGCUAUUAGCAAACGGGUUCAAAGUCAUUUUUUUGAAGCCUCGCGACCAGCGUGAUUAUACUGAUUUUUCAUUUGUUGCUUUGUCAUACCUUUUCUUUUGAAAAUUCAUUGCGACUUUGAACAUUGUGGGCUACAUACACGACCUUUUCUUUUGUUGCGCAUGUUUUAGAGUGGUGUCAUUCUAAAGAAACCGUGGUUGCUAAGUUUUAAACAGCAAGGUGUAACGCUUUUUAAUUAGCUUGAUAUAUAUUUUAUACUACCAUUUUGUAAACACAAUUUUCUAACAUUAGCUAUUCAACCAUGCAAAGUGAACUAGGCGUUCUCUUUGGAGAAAACCAACUAGAAAGGACCUAUUGAAACAAAUUGUGCAGGAGGUGGUCCAUAUCUCACGACACGUAUAGCUUGCAGUGCACGUGAUGCCUAAAACUCAAAGAUUAAUUGUGGAGAACUGGACAACAAUCCUAUACGAUACAAAUCUUGCUAAAAUGGUGAGCCAACCAUUGCAAAAAGUUAAAAGUUUGAAAGGGACACACUUUUCAUCUUCGGAUGUAAAACAAAAACACCGUGGGACACUUGUCCGAUCAUUCUAGCCAUCAUUUUAUUUAUGGAUAUAAUUUCUACGGUGCUGCUAGCGUCCGGACGUCCGAUGGAAAAUAUUUCAUCGGACGCUCCGACGAAACAUUAAAAUUAACUAGUGCGACAUCAGCUAUCACUAUUUGCAACAUGAAAAAUGAUGUGUAAACGUGACUACGACGUUCGAUUUAGAAUAGAAAAUUUCAGCCGCAACAUGAACACUAUAUUUCAUGCAACAUUCAUUGUGAAACAUGUAGAAACAGUAGUUGCAAUAAUCGAUGCUUAACCAUUGCAAUAUAGAUCGAAGCGUCCGAUUUUUUUUAAAUUCCGGAAGUCCCAGUGUAUCAUCACCGUAAUUUCUAUUCCAAUUAUAUGCACCGCGAGGUAGAGGAGGGCAACGCAGUAAUAAACCGCAAAAGGGCGGGGUAGCGUGAAGGCAAGAGGAGGGUUCAGUCCACAGCCAGACCGGCGCGGGGGCGAAGCGCUCCGAAUAUUCCAUUCCCGCCACGGGAAUUAUCCCUCGCGUGCCGUGCGGGUCUUCCCCCUCAUAGCCCGCCGCCCCGCCGCGUCAAGUGUGUCCGCCCCCAGCGGGCCGCCGCACCACCGGCCACACGGGCCCCGGCCCGCACGCACCGCGCAAGUCGGCCGACUCGGGUUGCGCCGCUGUUUCGCGAGCGGGCCCCACUUCAUCCUCCGGUGCGAGACCUCGACGGUUCCUGCCCAUGGCGGAGGUGGGCCCGGACGAACUGUCAUGGAGACUGGGAAACGAGGCCGUAGCUUUCCGUUCGUCGGAUCUUCUGCGCAGCGCAUGUCGAGUCGUCGACCACGCGAGCGGCGCCACAAGUUUCAGGAUCCGCUGCCUGGAGUAUAUUCUGGGAAUAAUCCAAGAGAGAUGCGUUCAACCACGCAAAUUCAAUAAUUGGCAGCGCAGCCCGUGCUUUUCAAGGAACUGGAUUUGUAAUUUUUUUAAAAAAAAUUGUAUUUGCACUGUGGUACCGAGGCUAUUUCCAGUGGCGAUCCCACCGGUGAGUUUCAUCUCGUGGUUUCCAAAAUUAAUAUGUCACCAAAAAAGUUUAAGUUGAUGAACAAAACCAAUCCCCCAAUGCAAGGCAUGUGAUUAGAUAUAGUUAGAUGAAAUAAAACUCUCUAACCCCCAAUGCUAGUUUCAUCAUAUUUUAUAGUUUUGGAAACAGUGCAUACAUAGUUUCAUCUUGAUGAAACUCCUUCCCUCUCUCUUCAUAAUUAUGUUGCCAUGUCAUCACAUAUGCUGACGUGUCACCGUAUUUAAUAUCCAUAGAACAUCUAUGAAACUCCCACCGAGAUUAGCCUUACAUCUUGUUGGCUCGGAUGAGAUCAUGGAAUGUUUUGGACAAUAGCAAAAGUGACCACAUGGGUCGGGGGGGGGGGGGGGACUGUUUGGUUUGGAGGUCGAACUGGGUUGGAAUGGGUUCGACCUACAUUGACCCGCGUUUAGUUGAAAAUGCAUCUGGGUUGGGUCGGACCCAGGAAGGAAUAUUCCUCCUAUAUGCGGGUUGGUCCAAAUUGGUCAAACCACGCCGACCCAGUUCCGUUGGCUCGUCAUUUCCUCUGUUAGUGGCACGGGGGAGAUGAGGAGGAUGGUGCGGCGUCGGCCACCUACGGGAGCACCGCGGCCAGCUGGGCAGCGCGAGCUCCACCUAGGGGAGCUCUGGCCCCGGCCGAGGCAGCGCGAGCUCCACCGCUGGGACGGUGGGGGUUCCGGCAGGGGUGGACAACGCCGCCGGCGAGGAGCAGAGGCGGGGUCAGCGGGGAAGGAUGAGGCGGGGCCGGCGGGGAAGGAUGAGGUGGGACCGGCGGGGAAGGAUGGAGCACAGGAGAGUGGAGGCUCGGGUGGAGAAUGAGGAAGAAGAUAAGGUAGAGAAGAAAAAAUAAUACAAGAGAAUGACAAGUGGGGCUCACUAUUGACAUGCGGGCUUUACAAUUUACUGUAGCUAAUGGUGUUAAAAUGGCAUCCAUCCUAACCCUCUCAACCCCUCCAACCAAAUAAAAAACUGGAACGGACCCAUCCCUCCAAAUCAAAUAAGAGAUGGGUUGAACCCAACCUAAAAAAGUAGGAUGGACCUAAUCCAUUCCACUUGGUCCCAAAACCAAACACAUGCUUAAAUUUAUUGAAGUAUAGUGAUCAUCUUUUUUCUGGAAAAAAAGAGAUAAAUGUAAACCAAAACUUGAAAUAGAAAAUUGCGAGAGUAUGCACCUAAACUAUAAACCGAAAACUUGAAACAGAGAAUACGAGAUUCUAUCUUAAUCUUAUGUGGCCAUGUCCUUCCAUAGUCUUCUUUUCCCGUGGCCUUGGUCGUACAAUUGUUAGCACCAAGGGAACGGGGGUACCCGAGAAGGCGCUGACAAGUAGGGCCCGCCUGCAGAAAGAGAUUUCCACCACGCAGAGCCCAAUUAAGAAAGGGUCAGGAAAAUACCACCUCUACAUUAUGGGACCCACCGAAGGCUCCCUCAAAGGGAGCAGGACGCAACCGAGGAGGCCUCCCGGGAAAGUUUGCUUCCAAGCUAAGCAAGCAAUGGCACAUCCUGGUGAAAGAAAGGCGUGAUAGUCGAGGUAGGCUGUCAGCAGGCGUCCCGUCCCCGUAAAAACACCAUCAUUACGGUUGAUGGGAUGCGCCUGGAUGCCUCGGGGAAUGACAGCCUCACCUGUCCCAUCCAACAGGCGGCGGACGCCGCCCACGUGUUGAGGGCGCCCGCCUGGCUCCAGACUGCCUCUGCCAAAAGGGUGGGUCCACUGCGUGAACCCGGGAACUCUACUAGGAGGUGAGGCCACCUCGCAGACCCGGGAAGAGGAGAAAACCUCCCGGGAAGGAUCUCAGGAGCCAGAUUCAUCGCCCACUAUCCCGGGAUUAAGGGUUCGGACUGAGAGAAGCAAGAAUUACCAAAGUAAGAUGGUAAAAUGUGGUGAUUGACAUACAGAGGACUUGGACGGGGUGCUCCGGCGCCGUGCGUACCAAAGCAGGAAGGCAUCAGGGCAAAUGGAUGGCGCGUCAGAAGAACUGUAGCAAGGGGGCGGCCAUUAAGCCACCGCGUUCACAUGAGCAAUGUAAAGGGAUGGAUUGGGAUGCAAGGCUCGCCCCAACCAGUCCCCCCCUUAGCCCUAGCCUAUAAAAGGCUAGUUCUUGUACAAACAAGACAGACAACUCUAGCAACACAAUACACAGGACGUAAGGUAUUAUGCUUCCGAGCGGCUUGAACAUGUCUAAAAACUCUCUUAGCAAAACCAUAUACUAACUCCCCUAAACGCCUCUCGAAUCCCUACAUACGAACUAACCCUCAGGUUGGAUCUCUAAAAGGGGUCCCUCCGGAUCCCUGCUCUCGAUGCUUAACCACCGUCAACAAUUCUCGACACCCAAAACAUUAGAUAAUUGGAAAAUCCCAGAUCCAAACACAUCUAAACCACAUCGGCAGUUGCGUCGUGGAGUAGGAGCAAAUGCAACAUCUUCAACUCUUGACUUGUUAAGAUAGAGGCCUGAUUUCCUCUACAUGGCCAUUUGACGGAGGUGGUGGAUGACCCAAACUUACCUACAUGGGAAGUGUUCGAGAGCACAAAUCCCUUCAUGUAGAACAAAGAUUUAUUUCUCGCCGAUGAAAUGAGUAAUGACAACAAUGGUGACCUCGUCAUCGGGUAACAAGCUCCAAGGCUGAACAUCGAUGAUGACUCUAAUGAUGAUUUACUAGGACUAAAAAUCUAAUGGAAUACUAGAUUAUUUGUACUAGAAUCUAAUGGACUACUUGACUUAUUUGAGGGGUGAGUUCCCGCUCCUUUGUUGCAGCUAGUGAGCUCAUUCCAAGGGAAGAACUAGAGGGUCCUAGUAGGUGGUGGCGUUGGAAACCUAGGAACGACAUUGAGCCUAUAAGGCAUCCUUCUCUAGUAAUUAGAUGCGCAGAACUAAUUUAAUGGUUUUGCUUGUGAAUAUCCAAACUUUGUAACAAUUUCAAUUCUAUCAUAAUUUAGUGUCAUGUCACAAAUAUGUGCCAGGUUACAUUAGCUAAAUAUUAUGAAGGAACAAUAUACGUUGAUGACCAUUGUGCGCUCAAUCUUUGAGGACCCGUUGACUUCCUUUUUUGAUAAUAUUUUUUGGAUGACUUUCUACUUUUAGAAAGUUGUAACUUGUUUACAUAACUUUCAUAUAAAACUGUUCAAUCUUUGAAUAACUUAUGGAGACAACUUUUCUCAAGAACUUUUUAAGGAAAAUUAUAACUGCUCGAGUAAUGUUACCAUGAAUGUUCCUAGAUAAGUUAUACAAACACAUUCUGAGGGAAAGUUGAUCCCAAGGAGCUUGCCCUAGGAAUGUCGAUCCAUGUUCUUAGAACACCAAUCUAGAUCCUACCAAUCUAGACCAUUCAUAUGCAAUAUUCCGUUUCUUGACUUGAUUAAUAGCGCAGUGGCUCCUUCAUUUCCUCAUUGAAUGUCACCUAAAGGCAGCCUCAUCCAAGAUGAGUGUCCGAAGCCAAUAAAUCUAUCCAAGUUAGGAUUUCCAUGUGGACACAAAGCUAUCCUAAGAAAAAGGUCCACCUUCCUGUGCCGCCAGCGUGGAUCGGCCAUGUGAAAUGACCAUAUUACCCCUGCAUCUAACUCACAGAGCUAGUACAUUGCUCUCUCCCUCCUUCUACCUCUAUGACUUGUUGGACCCACCCAUCUUCUUCCACCUCCAGCCAUAUAGAAAAUUCAAUCUAUUCUUGACCUUUUUAAAAACUGACGUGCAAACCUUUCAAUUUAAGAAAGAUAUUUCUCCAUUUAGCCCCUGUUUAUCCGGAUCCAUCGGAGAAUGUGAAUUUUUUUCUUUUUAAUAUUUACGGGCAAGAAGAGAGGGAGGUUCUGGACAUAUACGAACAAGGAGAAGAGGCCGAUCGAAAAUCAAAGAUUGGUAGCGUACCGAGCCGGAGCCGCAACACGUAAACAGCGACGUGUUCCCCGAUGCGCGCGCACCGGAUAUGGCGUGUGCGCACGGGGUUCGUCGCUUCUCGCCGCUGCCUUUCUUCCAUGGACGGAAUUGAAAGCUACAGCUACAGAAGAUGGCAAUUUACAACGGGGACAAAUUGCCCGGUGCUACCUGGACAGGCAGCCCCGGUAGACAGGGACGGAUGGAGGCGUGCAGUGCAGGCAGAGUCCGCGCCUCAUCUGAAUGUGAUCCAUCACGUAUAGUAGAGACACUGGAAACCCGGGCGUAAUGCAUGGCGCACACGUAUGAGCAAGAUCAGAGAAUUUUUCCGAGUCGGACUGUUACGUGACAUCGCUGUAGUUCACCGGCCAAAGACUAGCUUAUUGAAGCUCGAUUGCUCGAGAGUGAAGUGUGUGAUCACACUUGACAUUUUCAGAAAAGCGCGCAGGACAGGAGGAAAAUGCUGCGGCGAUAGAGGUCUCGUGUAGGUGUGGCCGUUUCGGAAAGUGACUAUGCGGGGAGCUGAGCUGACCGAGACAGGCCACGGACAGUCACGGAUCGUUUCAUCUUCGUAUCCGGGUGCAGAUAAUGGACGAUUAUUGAUUGCACGUCGUCGUAUCUGUCGCCGGUUAUACUACAGCAUUGAAUACUGCUUCUUCUUCAUUCUUUUUCCGGAUAAUAGUGGGCUAUUAAUUUUUUCCGGAUAAUAAUAGGCUAUUAAUUAGGGCCUUUUUGGCUGACAGGGGCUGUCACAUCGGAUGUUUAUACUAAUUAGAAGUAUUAAACACAAACUAAUUACAAGCUAAUUGCACAGAUGGAGCCUAAUUCGCGAGAUGAAUCUAUUAAGCCUAAUAGUUCAUGAUUUGACAGUGUAGUGCUACAGUAACCGUUUGCUAAUGAUAGAUUAAUUAGGCUUAAUAGAUUCGUCUCCGAAUUAGCCCAGGACUUUUCAAAUUAGUUUUAUAAUUAGUUCAUGUUUAGUUCUCCUAAUUAGCCUCCGAAAUAAGAGCCAGCCUUAAUACUGUAUACGUAAUGUCGCUGUCGGUGAUGAUUCGCACUGUCGCCCUGUUGCAUCAUGCAUGGCGUUAAGUUUGAUGAGUGCACCGGUGCUGUGGUGCUUUCUCGUGGUGGCGUCCGAAGGAAUGGUCAAUAGUGAUUGCAUUACUAGCCCUACAGUUUUGAGUGAUGUCCAGGACUAGCUCAGUCAGGAUCAGGAGUCAGGACGUACGGCUCCUCGAUCGUACAUGAUAUGAUCUCUGUUGUUUCCGCUUGCAGAUAUUGAAGCGAGGUCAAGGCUUGCAAGGCUCGCUCGCGCGUACACGCGCUCGUCGAUCUCUGUUUCAUCCCGCUUUCAGAUAACGCACGAUCGGAUUUGCGCGGAACGUGUUGCUGCUGUCGGUUCUCUUCUCCAUAUGUUCUUGCAGAUAAUGGGCUAGUUGUUAACUGCCACGUAAUAUCAUGUCGCUGUCGGUGAUGGUUGCCUCCUGUGCAUCCUACUGUAGGAUCGAUACGAUGGAGCGAUGUGGGGUGCGCGUGCUUGCUAGCGCUUUCUAGCUCGUGGUGACCUGGCAGGCGUCGAUGGUGAUUGGGGAAGGUAACGUUACGUGGCGACUUGACCGGAGAAGAAGAAGAAGAAGCAAAAGAGCCUCGUUGGCCGGGCCAGCUAGCUAGAGGUGAACUUGGCCUUCGUUUCUCGGGCUGUCGUCGACCACGCUGACGUGGGCAUGCAGGGCGAACACUACCGGCCGGCGGGUGGAGGAGGACGUGGCCACCGACCGGAGAAGCCGCCGCUAGCAUCGGUGGCCACUUGGUUAAAUUCGGCAUGCAGCAGACGGUUUUGGGACAGGGUGAUUCAGCUCGCGUUUUUUGAUCCGUCGGUCGAGCUCAGCCAAGCCUUCUUUUGAUCCUUCGAUUUGGACUGAAUACUUGGAUAUAUGUGUAUACGAGCAAAACAAGUGGGCAGCUACAUGGCAGCAGGUACAGAUGGAUCGACGCCCAGCCAAGAACCAAAAGGUAGCGACUCGCGAGCGGGGUUUAUUUUCAUCCGCGACUAGUGGCUGUGCACGCAGCCAGCUCCUAUCCGAUCCUCCAUGGUGUCCUUGUCGAGCUUUCGAAAACAUGUUGUGACCGGGAGCCAUCGAGCUUCGCAACAUAUUCUCCUGUUCUUGUCAUCACCGUUCUUGCCUUUGCAUGGUUGGCUGUUAGUUCUCGGUUGGAUCGGCCCGCUGAUGAACGAACCCAAGGACGACGUACGAAUAGUCCGUCACGUUAUAGUGCAUCCAAGAUCCAACUGCACCGGCCUGUUUUGAAGCCUCUCUGAUGCUCCCUCUCGGUCAGUCUCUACAGUGAAAUGAGGCCACGGCUACACAACAGAAAAAAUCAGUACGGGUGUGCUUGGUUUUUCUUGCAUGAGAGAGCGUUUUGGUUGUCUGCACGACCCUAUGCAACCAACCAAACAUCUGUUUUGGGAUUGCAGUAUUCAUCCAUACAACCAACCAAACUUUCCUAUUUUCGCGAUCAUUGCACGGGAGAAACCAAGCACACGUACGCUGACAUGAUGAAAUGGAUUAUUAUGAUCUGUGGCCGCAUUCCAGAAACAGCUGCUAUCAAUCUUUCUACUUGCAUAUAAUGUUGAUACAUAGAGUAGGACACUAUGACCGAUUGUCCGAAUGUGUUUGGUUGCGUCGUCGCUGUGUAAUAUUCUAUGCUAGCUAGUGCGUUCUUGGUGGUGGCGGCCAUGGUCGAUCGAUCAUGACGAACGCUACAACUUUUAGAAAAGGAGCGGACUUUGCGUGUGGCCACCAGCGAGGCAGCUGGUGCGGAGUGAUUGAGCGCCCGUUUUCUGAUCCGGACGUCGAUCUCAGAUCAGCCAGUUUUGCCGCUUUUGAUUCUUGGAUGAUCUCGACCCAAUGGUUAAAGAAACCGAUCGAGAGCAGAUAUAGGAUGCUCGUGGCUGGGCGCCUUCCGAUCCAUGGAGGUCACCUUCAAUUCGCUCCGUCUGCAGCUUUUCCGCAUUGGUUGUCCUUGUGCCCAUCGUUAACAGAGCAAGUAGAGAGCACGAUAGCCUGCAGCCCUGCUGCUUGAGGUGGCGGCACUCCGGCUCAUCGUGCAGCUGACGAGGGACGAUACUGAUGUUGCUUAGCUUGGUCGCGUAAAGGCACGAUCCAGAGCAAAAGCCGGCCGCCUGGGAACUGGGACUAAUUUUUAGGAGCAUACGUAUGUGAAAAUGCGUUCCACGCACGGAGAAGGGUGCGCGCGCGCAUCAUCUGAAAGUGUUGAGGAAGCACAUAGACCCACCAAGUCCAGAACCUGGUGGGAUCAGUCAUGUACAUUAUGCAUUUGAUAAAAGUAGUCAUAUCAAGAGGUGUUGCUCGUUAAUUACCAGUGUUUGGCCUACCAUUUUCAGUCAAAACUUCAGAGGAGGCCAGUAGAAUCUGAAGAUAAAGAAAUCAGACAAAAUUUAAUUUCGACAAAACGUUGACCCUGAAUUCAAAUUUAAUUUGAACGGUUUUUUAUCACAUGGUAUAUUCGAAUUUUGCCGAUUUCGACGACUCCAGUCGGAAUUCCGAAUCCUACUAAUAAUUACAAUAUGGCAAUACCCAUAUUUUUUUUAAACGGACAGCAAGAGCUAUGCCGAAAUUUUAUUAGAAGGAGAAAAGGGAAACAAAAACAGAACAAACAAUGACGAUGACAACAACAACUCGACCGGGCUCAGAAGAGCCCACAACUCGCGCCUACCAAAGAGCGGAAGAAAAAGAAGAAAACAGAAGACACAACAACUAGAGCGUAAGCUGUCCUGAGGUGUGUGUCACCAACUGGAAUUGUUGAAAAUCCUCUUUGGUGAGGUAAGCCACGGAAUUGUUGGAAAUCCUCUUUGGUGAGGUAAGCCGCUUCUUUGAUUGAUUUGCUCUCUUGUGGAAGGUUCUUCUAUUGCGCUCUUUCCAAAUAUUCCACCAGAAGUAUUUAAUGAGGCCAUCUAAAAGAGAUCUUCCUUCUUUAUCUAUGAUUCUUCUACUUUUCUUCCACCAAUGGUGUAUCGAGGUCGUCGUUACGAUGGCAAUACACAUACAACUGCUUAAAAUAGAUAAACCUGCGUUUUAGCUGCCAAAAUAGGCAACAACGGCUUUGGUACGUGCUACGGCGGUGUUAAGAAUUGGCCACCGCGGAUUCCUGUAAAUUUACAAGGUUGUCCCGUAGCCACGACUUAGAAUUAACAGAGACCAUAAGGUUCUUCCUUUUCAACUGGAUGGUAAAUCAUAGAAUUAUCUAAAAAACAAAAUCUGUCAUGAAUCUUGAAUACUUCACUUACUUGUUACGGCUAGAAUAGUAACAUCUGCAGGCUGAUUAGGGGUAUUUGGAUACUAGGUGCUAAACUUUAGCAGUGUCACAUCGGAUGUUCGGAUGCUAAUUAGGAGGACUAAAUAUGAGCUAAUUAUAAAACUAAUUGCAGAACCCCUAUGCUAUUUCGCGAGAUGAAUCUAUUAAGCCUAAUUAAUCCAUCAUUAGCAAAUGGUUACUGUAGCACUACAUUGUCAAAUCAUGGACUAAUUAGGCUUAAUAGAUUCAUCUCGCGAAUUAGACUCCAUCUGUGCAAUUAGUUUUGUAAUUAUUCUAUGUUUAAUACUCCUAAUUAGCAUCCAAACAUCCGAUGUGACAUGUGCUAAACUUUAGCAUGGGGUAUCCAAACACCCCCUAAGGUUACCUGGGCCAUAGAAUUGCGCAACAAAAGCCAAAGACUCGACAAAAGUGCAAGGUGAUGUGGGGCGUUUGGUUCCUCGAGCUAAAGUUUAGUCCGUGUCAUAUCGAAUAUUCGGAGGCUAAUUAGGAGGACUAAAUAUGAGUUAAUUAUAAAACUAAUUGCACAGAUGGAGGCUAAACGAUGAGAUGAAUCUAUUAAGCCUAAUUAAUCCAGCAUUAGCAAAUGUUUACUGUAGCAGCACAUUGUCAAAUCAUGAACUAAUUAGGCUUAAUAGAUUCGUCUCGCUGUUUAGCCUCCAGCUGUGUAAUAAAUUUUAUAAAUAAUCUACGUUUAAUACUCCUAAUUAGUAUCUAAACAUUUGAUAUGACAGGCGCUAAAAAUAAGUUAGAGGAAUCAAACGGCCCCGUACUGAGAUCAAUUAAUGGUCCAUCAGCGUUGCCCCCGAUCGUCGAUUCUCACGGAAGAAAGGAACACGCACGUACGCGGAACCUACGAGCAAGUGACCAACCUACCUAGGGAUGCAAGUUGUCCCCCAAGAAAAAAAAGGAGGAUGGGUCCGAGGCCGGAAUGCAAAGCAAACGGGUGGCGUAGGGUGGUCGGCGGCAGAAAACAAAGCUGCUAGCGCUAUCCGACCGCUGGUAAAGAAGGCGAUGCGUGACGUGACGCGCACCGGCCAGCGGUGGUCGAGCUAGGUAGCCUUUCCGCGCGCGGGGUGGUUUGCUGUGGUGCGUCGAGCUCCGACUCCGACCCGCCGCUAUCUAGCUAGGCAGGUAGCUACAAGCGGCGGCCCAUGAGCAGCGAUGCCGCCGGUGGUCCGCCGCCGCCGCCCACCACCGCCCGGGAUGGAUUAUCAUCGGAGGCGGAUAGGAUUGCGGCUGAGAAUUUUCAGAGACCCAUCCCGGAUCGUGCGUUUUUUUAUUUUUUUAAUUUUUUACGAACCCGCGGCUGCGGUUGCACGCCGACCGCGGAACCGAACCCGCAGAUGCCCUGUGUCACUGUCACCCCUGCUCCCGAUUCAGCCAUGGCCCCCGUGAGGGGAGGGAGGCAUUCGGGGGGGGGGGGGGGGGGUUCGAUCGGAGCUAAAGUUUAAUCCGUGUCACAUCGGAUAUUCAGAUGCUAAGUAGAAGGACUAAAUAUAAGCUAAUUACAAAACUAAUUGCAGAAUCCCUAAGCUAAAUCGCGAGACGAAUCUAUUAAGUCUAAUUAAUCCAUCAUUAGCGAAUGUUUACUGUAGCACCAUAUUGUCAAAUCAUGAACUAAUCAGGCUUAAUAGAUUCGUCUUGCGAUUUAGCCUAGAGGUUGUGAGAUUGAUUUUGUAAUUAGCCUAUGUUUAAUACUCCUAAUUAGUGUCAAACAUUUUGUGGCUGGCUCUGCGAACAGCGAUCCGCAGCGGUAGAUGCAGAUACCCACGUGAAGAUGCCCAAGUGAAUCCUCUUUCCAUGUGCUAUAUCGUGCAGUCCGUGCACGUGCUUGUGCUCACGUGGGUGCUGUUUUGUAUAACUUUGUAUCUAAAGAAAUCCAAUGGAAUCAGUGCUAAACUCUUCUCUCUCCCUUCUGUUUCUGGUUGAAGGAGUUUGUCCUGCCAUGAAUUCAGAAACUUUUCCUUUUAAUCCAUCUGUGUUCAGUGGCCCAACAAGAGAUAUCCAUCAACUCAAUUAAGUCCAGUUUAGUUUCGGCCCAGCAUACAACCUCUUGCGCGCACAAAGGAGCACGAGAGAUAUCUAGGAAAUCAACUAAGCCCAAUUCAGUUUUUUUUGGCCCAGCACGACAGCUCUUCUGCGCAUCAGAAGAAAAAAAAAUGUCAACACUCCCAGCUCCCUUCUCCGAAAGAAGAUCGAAUCUGUCUGAGAACAAAUCAACUAGGCGCAUGAAUGCAGAAUGCUUACAUAUAAUUAUCGGUCCAACUUAUACACACAUAUAAAACCCACAGUAUAUACACAAAUACUUCAUUCGUUUGAAAUUGUAGAUCAUUUUAUACAAUUUUGAACGGAAGAAGUAGACACUAGCCGUAGCAAGUUAACGAAACCUGAUACAAAGCAUCGUCCGUCCCCGAGCGCGCAGUUGGGGUGAUGCUGGGUUGCUGACACACAUACUCUUGAGGUUCGAUCACAAGCUACCUCUACUCGUCGUCGUCGUCCAUGUCGACCCGCGCGACGGCGGCCUUCUUCUUCCUGCCGCCGCCGGUCGACGACCCAGCAGCAGCGCCGCCGGCGUCAUCAGAACCGCCGCCGCAGCCCGGCGUCUUCUUGCGGUAGGCCUCCUCGUAGCGCCUGGCGUCGUGGACGCCGCGCUCGGCGAGGCCGCGGAGGUUUGGCACCUUGUAGUUCUGCGCCACGUACGCGCCCACCGCCGUGCCCAACAGGAACGGGAACAGACGCCGGCCCAGGCAAAACAUCUUGCCUUCUCAAAUCUCAGCUACUACUUCUAGUUCCUUAGCCAGGUAAUGGCACCAACCGAUCGACUACUAAUCCUUGUGUUAAUUUCUCGAAGCACCUGUCUUCAGCUCCUAGUCAUUGACUACUGUAUCGCAACACCAGUGGCAGUGCCAGUGAGUGAGUGAUGGAGGAGAGAACCGGGUGCUUUAUAUACUCUUACUCAAAGGUUGGGUUGGCUUGCCAUGACGUGACAGGAAGCACUCGCAGCCGGUUCCAUUUCUUGGACAGGGGUUCAAGAAAGAACUAUUGUCCGUAUGCUUUCAUGGACACCAGUGGAUACGAAAUAACCUGCACGUCUUCUUCUUCCUAGAUACGUGGAAUUCGAAUGGAAGGGUCCAAACAGAAAUCAUGCUGUACAAAUCAAAUCAAACCAAAUGAUCUCAAAAGCUUAAUUUGUUUUCACUACAACCCAAAACUGCUACUACCAAAGGCUUCAUCCACCACAGCUUCACCGACUUUCCAUACAACACUGCACAUGACAUGUGUACAUGUCCUGAUUAUUAAGAUUUAAGAGUAAUUUUUUUUCCUGUGAGUGAUUAUACAUUAAAUGGUAAGUGUGAUUUGUUAGGAACUACAAAACCAGCAGAUUUUCGCCAUAGAUUUUUAUAUACAAAGAAGUCAAUGGUUUCUUGGUAUUCAUGAUGAGGUAAGAAAGAGAUUGGGAAGGAGGUGUUUCGUUGAAAAUUGAAUUGUUGACAGACAUAUAAAUUAUACUCUUGUAGUAAAAUUGUUAGCCAAUUUGUUAGGAAAAAUACUAAAUAAUACUAAAAAUGUCAGCCACUCGCGGAUAACUGUACAGGGAAAACAACUCUUGCAGUGAGACGUCUCGGAAAAAUAUCAAGAAAAGAAAUUAAUUCUAUUCACCUUUUGCGCUCGUGAUUGGAUACCGAUGAUGGUGAUGAGAAAGACAUGAAAAGUGCUAGAUGGGCUAGUUUUCUUGAGAUCGAUAACAAUCUUUAAUUCUUGAUUUAUUAUUCAAUAAUGAGCAAAGCUAUCUAUCGACCAUCGACAUAUAACUUUUGGGAAAAUUAAACAUCUACCCAGUUUUAAUUCAUGCCAUGGCAAGGGUGGCAAAACAGAGAGAUGCAUGGGUUGUGUGAAAUUGGGAGUUGGGAGGAACCCGGUUCGUCUAACUGUUAAUUCACAAAUCUGUUAAUUCACAUCCAGUUCAACAUGGCGCGUGCAGAACAAAGAAAUGAAAUCUUCAUUCACCAAAAUACCCAAUUAUUCCCACACACUACAUAUAGUACAACACUGCACCACAUCUUUGGUAAUUAAGCUACAGCUAGCUACUGUUCGUCGUCGUCAAUGUCCACCUGCACCACCCUCUUCUUCGUCCUGCCGCUCCCGCUCCCACCGGCGGCGUCGCCCGCAGAAGAGGGCUUCUUGCGGUAGGUCUCCUCGUAUCGCCUGGCGGCGUCGACGCCGCGGUCGACGAGGCCGCGGACGUUGGGCACCUUGUAGUUCUGCGCCGCGUACACGCCGACGGCCGCGCCGGCCAGGAACGGGAACAGCCGCCGCAGCAAGCAACCCAUGGCUUCUUAGCGCAGAUCACGACACACACGCCCCGGCCGCUACCAGUCUGAUGAGCUAACAAAUCUAGCACGAGGCUAGAGUCAGUGAUGUGAGAGCUCAAUUCGAUGGCAGCAGAGAUGAUUUGUGUAUAUAUACAUAUACUUGCAAUUAGGUAGAGUCUGGCUUGCUUUCGAGCUGAAGCAUCUACUCGAUCUCGUUUCGUUUCUUGGACAAGGGUUCAAGAAAGAAGGGAAUAGUCAGGUCGUUCAGUUCCGUGAUCGAUGUGAAUAUGUGAUGUGCAGUGGCCAUGCUUCCGAGCGCUAACUUACUUUGCAAGUCGUUAUCACUUGCAACGGACUCACGCGGUUUCAAUAAUCCCAGUGGUAGGCAGGCAGAUGAGGAGGAGAUCGUGAGCAACUUCUUCUCCAAGGGUCAACGGUGGGUGGGCGUGCGUGUGCGUUGCACAAGCAACCUGCUGAGUCCUUUUUUUUUUCCUUCUCCUUUCUUCCCCCCUUUCGGUGAACCCAAAAUAUGAAAAAUUUUGAAUGCCACCAAAAUGGAUGAAUUUUGGAGAAUUCAAAAACUUUGGUCUGGGAUUUAAUUAGUUGUUUGACCAGUCAACUAAUUUACUUUUAAAUAAAAUGUGGCUACAGUUGAUGGAGCACUCAUGGAGAAGACGGUGGGGGAGAAGGAGAACUAGGCCCUGUGAAACAAGUUGUGGAAUCCUGCCCGGCGUGAUAGGCUACGGUGGGUGCGAGCGCUGCAGUCUGAACAAUCAGCAGUGCAGCUCGUUCGGCACUAGUAACGAUCGAGAUCGGUUAUGCUGACCGCCUGACCCCAGCAAAAUGGCAGGCAGGAAGGCUGGAUGCCUGGACGGGUGUCCCCAUCGCUCAAACUUUGAAAAGAAAAGGGAAGCGUGGCCAGCUUGUUAACACGUACUUCAAACGAACCGGAUUCUCAUUUCCAUGAAUCCGACUCCCUGUACCCUUGUGUAUCCUUGUGAUAGUAGCUAUCACGUACACAAUUCGUCUCAAUAGAAUAUCAUUUCCAUACAACGAAAUCAAAGUUCAAUAUUGAAUAUUUACAUCUGAAAUAACUUGGAGUACAAGUAUAUUACAAGCUCCUUGGGCUAAACAACAGGUAGAAGUCCUGCGUAGCAGUAGCUAAGGCUUCAAGUCUUCAUCUCCGGUCUUCACCACAGGCAUCCUUGAGCGAAGCAACACAACCCCUUUAACUAGCAGGAUCAACUCGAGCUCCAAGACUAAAUCUGCAACCCAUGAACUGUCCCAAGGAAGUGGGACAUGUCCAUGUCACCAUCCGUAUAUGGCAAGUUUUAAGGUGGCCUAUAUACUAGUAUAACAAAAUAUCAAGGAGUAUUGUCUUGGGUUUCCUAUGCAGCUACAGGAAAUGAAAGAAUAAAUCUUCAUCAUCCCAACUAUAUCACAACACCACAGCUGUCCUAUACAGGCCUCCGUUUCAAUCUCACCUCCAUGUCUCCUCGCGAGUUGAUGGGAAAGCUACCACCCUUCCCAUCUCAACGGCCAACGCCGGAUCCUACUCCUGAACUAGUAGCUCUCAACCCAUCCUAUAGUUUUAGAAGAGGGGGAGAUAGAAAUCCCAAAACAUAAUCAAUGUAACAGAAUGUAGGAGUGUAACAGAAUGUAGGAGUGUCCAUGACCGAGGAUGUGGUUAUACGUAUAGUUUUAACUCUGCAGAGUGUGUACACCUGGACCCACUCGGGCUGCAGACGAUGGCCGCUGUCUUGAGACACAGCCCACAACCAAGACUCUCUAGCCGGAAUGGUACCAUCCUGCAUUCCCGGAAUUGGACCCAUUCAGACGAACCGAACGGCCCGGGACUGUGAACCUCCAGCCAUAAACAUGGUGUCGAGGGACUCAGAAACUACGGGCUAGAAUAGCUAGGUCUCGGGCAUCCUGAAACAGCCUGGGCAUGCCCAGAACGACCCAAUCCUAACACACGACUCCUGCAGAGUUGGUACCCCCUAGCUAGGGAAUGGCUGGAACCCCCCUCAUAAUAGGUAAGUGGCGUGCACGUUCGACAAAUUCCCGCAAAUCAUAGUUCCACUGAUACAUACUAGACCAGAGCAAGCAAGUCCCCAAAUGCGUAUCCACCAAGUGGUUCGCCAAUCGUCACCCAUUACAGGCAUGGCCGCCCAACUCCUCAAAUCCAAUAUCAUCACAAUCUCAACUAAUCCAUAACCUGUACCCAUAGGAGGUGUCCAAGAUCACCUCCCAAACCCCGACCCUAAGGUCAAUUAAUGUUUGCUCACUCCAGCCGGGGGUUCGAAACUCUCCAAGUUUUCCCCAACCAAGAACUCACGCCAAGAGGUUUAAAAGCACAUAUAAUCCCAACACAUGCAAGCACAGCAUAGCAUAUCUUUUAAAGUGGAGUAGUGGGUUGGCAAGGAUAACAGAUAUAAAAUUAAGGCUGUGUAGGGGUUUAUAGCAAUCAUCCAUGCGAUAAAGUAAAGCGCUAGCAUUUCUACUUGCAAUGCCUAAUAGGAAUUCAAAUCGAGAUGAGCGUGGACCUAGAGCAUUGUCCCUCUCCUCCACUUCAACAUAGUCGAAGUCGUCCGAGGUCAUUGAAGUAGUCCGGGGUGUUCCGGGAAUCCUAUUAUGCGGAUUAUAAAUAAAUAACGAUAUUCUAAUAGCAAAUGAACUCCAAAUGAAGAGCAAUAAAGGAUCAAAUAACCCCAAACACUACCCUAACUGGUGCUCUACGAUUUUAGAAAAAUAAUGAAACUGGUUUCAUAUUUUUCUAAACUACGGUUGAUUUAUUAUGAAUUUUCAAUGAUGUAAAACAAUUUCUGGGUUUUAACUAAUUCCGAAAAAGAAGGGAAACUAAGGCCACGUGGCAGCUUCCUAUUCGAUCUGGUGUGGCAGACUUGGAACCGGUGUGGCUAGGCUGUUGUGGUCCGAUCUGUGAACUGGGCUUCAGCUUGCACACAAGGUGCUCGACGAAAGACCUCAGUAGCCUGCGUCGUUCGGGCGUGCGUUGCCGCUCCAGAGCAUGGGCACCGGUGUGUCCAGGGGUCUAGGCAUGGCCGCAUGGGUAAGGCAGCAGCGCAGCGAGGCUAGCAGGCCACGGCCGAAGCAAAGGCUCGGCCUUGCUGGGAUGGACGCACGCGACUUGACACAUCAAUGCAAGCAGAGAACAAGGCGACGACAACUGCAAAAAGGACGGCGGCGCGGCGGUCCUGGGUUGCACGAGCGCAGGCAAGUGGCACGCGGGUCCAGGGUGCUCCCUGGCCGCGGUCGGCGAGGUGGCGAGCUCGUGGGGCAGUGGCUCGCACCACGCCCGUGGCGUUCGGAUUCUGCAGGAAAACGACCGGCGCGAAGGCACGGCUCAGGCAAGCUGUAAAGCGAGGGCUCGGCGACGGCGAUCCAUGGCGGCGCAACGGCCGGUCAGGCAGGUAACAAAGACAAGAGGCGGCGGCUCACGCGGUGCUCCGGCUCGGGUGCACGCGGGGCAAAGGCAUGGCCUUGUCCGCGGCGAGGGCGACAGCAUGCUGCAACCCAGCAGGUUGUACAGCAGGAACAUGUACGCGGCUCGACGGUCGGGCAACACAGUCAACGGUGGCUCGCCAGCUCGAUGGCACGACACUCAGGCAGGCUAAAGGGGAGAAAGGCGACGGCUUGGAUGGCUCACCGUGGGGCUCGUCGGAGGUCAAGGCAACACGGGUAGCAAGGCGGGGCCGUGGCGAGGUGACACAAGCUCGCGGUGCAGCGGCGAUGGCGUGCUUGUGGUUCGACGUGUUAGAGAUAAGAGUUUGAAUGUAAUCGAAACAGGAAAUCUGGUGAGAUAUCUUUGGCCGAGUAGUUGUUGUAGUUUUGGUUAAGCUGUUGUAACAAAUAUAUGUUUGUAGAUUGGUUUGGCCAAAUAUAUCUCCUAGAGGCCCUAUAUAUUGUAAUUUCCUCUGUGCAGAUUGUGCACAACAUAUUAAUACGAAACCGUCGCACCCUUGGCUCUGGGGCGAUGUUCCAUGCAGUUCAAGCACCUCUGUUAUCUUUCAUGGUAAUCAGAGCUUAGAAUUAGAUCCAUGGCGUCAAGCUCAAGUGUCUCCAAUCCCAUGCUUGGCGUUCAGAUUACACAAAAGCUGAGCGAGAGCAACUAUGCGCUCUGGAAGGCGCAGGUGCUCACCGCCAUACUGGCGUGCAGAUGGAAGGCUACAUCACCGGCAAGACUGGUGCUCCUCCAUCUGAGAUCGACGACAAGCUACCUGAUGGCAAGAUCGCCAAGGUGCCGAAUCCGGCAUAUGAAGAAUGGUAUGCCCGGGACAGUAGGUUCUUGGGCUCAUCUUUUCAAGCAUGGGGAAGGAUGCACUCACGUAGAUCGCUGCCGCGAAUACGACAACGCAGGCAUGUCAAGAAGUUGAGAGCAUGUUUACCAUCCAAACUAGGGCUCGAUCAGUGAAUGUGCACCUGGCAUUGACAACCACAAAGAAAGGUACAUUGUCAAUUACUUAUGACGACCGACCCCAAAUCUCUCGAGUUAAAUCUUAAUCUGAGUCCCUUUUUCCCUGUCUCAGCUUUCCCGAGUUUAAGUGCUCAACCCAGUCCCGAUCCCGACCCCUGAGUAUCUGACCCCUUCCGCCGGUUUCCAGCUCCGACCCCUACCGACCCCAACCCAUACCGCCGCAUCCUUCUAAGUCUUCCCACAGUGCCUCUUUUCAAUCUGAGCAGUGGACCAACCGAGACUGACCGGUGGACCCACAAAAUCUUUCUCCCAGAUCUCCCGCGACAGACGCACUCGAGUGGCAUGCCCGCUUCAGAGUUUCUCCGCCGCGUGGCUCAUUUCCUCUGACACCCGCCGCUCCGCCCCGUCGCCGGCCGCGACCGGAUGGAUAUCCGCGCCCCCUUCCCCAAUCGCAGCGGAAGCCCCCUGCAACCCUUUCUGCAGCAUCUCGCAGCUUGCGCCCAUCAUCACCUCGCCGGACCCCCAGCCGCAAGGCCCGAUGCCGCCCGUCUUUUCCGCCGCCUCUCCACCGUCGCGCCACCCCAGAUGCGCUACGCGAUGAUUCCUCCUCCGCCAACCCCGGCCCCGGCCAUGACAGCUCCUUUCUCGCCCUGCCAGAUCUGCGCCCCGACAGAAUGUUGCUUCGCGCUCGCCCGCGCAACCGCAACCCGCCUGUCUUCUCACCUGUGCGCCCUAGUUCCAAGCGCCGUUCCCCUGGUCACAUCCAUCAAAUCCGCCGCACGACGACGCCCGCCUCCGCCCAACCUCAACCACUGGCAAAACCGCGCCUGCGCCACCCUGUCUCCAGUGCCCAAUGGCUGACGGCAUCAUCCCCGAAGUCCUGCUCCGCCGCCCAGCUGCUCAAUCGCCGCCCCGGCAGCGCCCUCCAUCAUCUCUUUCCGAUCUUUGUGCUGCUCCAGCCCCCCUCUCUCUCUCUUCCGCGCAGCUAUAAAAGGGGAUGCCAGAGCCCCGCCGGAAUUCCCUUCGCCAUCGCUGCCCUCCCGCCUUGCUCCCUGUUUCGUGCUUGAGAGCUACCACCCAAGUUCCUGAGGAACUCUCCUCUCCGCUCAACACCCGCCCUUUUCAAUCCACCCAGUCGCUUGCUCCCCCACGCUGUGCUGGAGCUUGCUUGGGUCCACAAGAAGCACCACCACCGCCGGAGCACCGCUGGGCAUCGCCGUUGCCCAAGUCUUAGUGCUUCCAUCCUUCCGCCCAAGUCUGCUCCUUCUCAACCCCAAGUUUCACCUGCGAGUCGAAGGUAAGCUGCCGACCCCUUGUCCACCUCGUCCGACUCUGUCUGUCCGCCCGACCCUAUCUGUUUCGCCGACCCUUUCCCCGCCUCGCCCGAGGGCUCGGCUGUAUCCUUUUUCCUUGACCCGAGGGUGUAUGUGUAAAACCGGGGACUUCUCUGCAUUAAGUCUGAGGACCCCCAGUACAGCUAUUUCUCUAGCCUAAGGGUCAGGUCACAAGUUUCUUCCCAUCCGACCCUUAUAUCGUGAUCUCCACCAACCCAAGUACACUUUCCCACCUUUUUCCGUAGCUUUGCUAUCAGUUUCUGGGCUAAAACUUGCAAGUGUUACUGUUGAAGUAACCGUCUAAAGUGCUAACCCUUGCAUUGCAUCCGUGUAGAGCUGCAUCUCGCCGACGGCUUCUACGAGCUGUACCCGGCGCCAGAAGACGAAGCUGUAGCCGAGCUCCCGCUUCCAGAAGCCGAAGCCGCCCCAGCAGAAGACCCGUUCCCUUCCUCGCUUGAAGGCAAGCCCCGAAGCAUGAACCCAGUUUUUCCCAAACUUGCGCAUGCCUUCUUCAUCUUGUUUGUGCAUUUACGUAUAGGAGCUGUUUGCAACCCUAGAUACAUAACUUGGAUCCCUUGAGCUGGACACUAGCUGUUGGACCGAGUAGAUGCUUUGCUUAAAUAGGAAGCGAUAAAAGUUGAGUGAUUUCCUGUCACUCGUGAGUUGUAGGAGUUGGUUGUUCUCCUCCUGUCACAACUAUAAGGACGAUGGACGGGGCAGGGUUUUGGUUAACUCUUUGGUGGUCGGCUGUUCGCCCCGUCUGUCUAUGGAACUUGCUAAGGCCAACAGUGGUGGUGUUCGUGAUCAAGUGUUUGAAAGUACUAACCUCAUACUCAGUAUGGGAUGAGGAAGCCUAGUACCGGAUUAAACCUAGACGUGAGCGGUCACCCCAUUGUCCUUGGAACGGAGUUCCCCUGCGGCCGCACGUGGUGGCAAGCGUGGUCACAGAACGGCAGAGGCCGGGUCUGUGGAACCUUGCACCAAAGGAAAUGGGCCCGACACGGGUUAGGGAAUUGACGGGGAAGGCCGACACAUGAAGCGACCCUCGGUGGUGCGCGGAUGUCGUGAGGUUAGGUUCACGAUGCAUGGUUAAAGAACUCGAAUCGAUUCGUCUGCCUCUCACAGUUUGAGACUGCUUGAUCGCUAUGCUACCCUGAGUAAUAAUGAAAUCUGAUGAUGACAUGGUCUUGAUGAUGUUACAUACCCUUUUGGUUGGUUCUAUAUUUGCUUAGAGUAAGUUGCUCACUUAGACCGGAUAAUGAACUUAGAAUCUGGGCUAAAACUUUGAAAUUAGGGAUCCACAUAGUGCUUUUGGCAAACAAACCCCUCAGCCAAAGAGCCCUGCAUGUCUAGAAGUGGUGGAGUAAGUUUACUCCCUGUCGGUUAAGUCUUGUUGAGCUUAGCAGCUCAGCCUUGUUUGUGGCUUUUCUUUUCAGGUGAAGUCGCUGCUCCUGAGCCUUCUCCUGUUGGCACUUGGCCGCCCCAACUCCCUCCGGGUUGGACGGUCGAGUGGGAUCCCUCCUCGGACAGCGAGGAGAGGGAUCACUGACGUCCUGGUUGGCCUCACCAGGGAUGUCCGACCCCGACGAAGUAGCUUCCGCUUGUUUCUUGUACUUUCUGUCUCUUUAUUUUGCAUCUUGUAAAACUCUGAUAUUGUUUCGUUGUUGAACUAAAAUGGCCAAUUUGUUAACUCAGUGGACUUGUUGUAUUCUCUGGAACCGCUCACCUUCGUGUGAGUUUGCUAACUCGGUCCUGUUCAAGUGGUUAAAUCGGAUGAAAUCCGACGGCACUUCGUGUUAACUUGGCUAAGGCAUGAGUGUCGCGUGUUAGGCGACUUAACCAUGUUUAAUCAAGCUAAUCCGAAGUGGAUCCGCCACAGCUGGUAUCAGAGCUGGUUUAGCAAGACAGAGAACACAAUAGGCCCUAAACACUUCUUUUUUUUAAAUAAAAGUUGCAAAGAAAAAUUUUCAAAAAUCUCGUACGAUCGUUAAGGAUGACCCUAGUACAAGAGGCCAUAGGGGAUUUUGGGGUUGUUUUUUUUGGUGGCUAAUACUUAUUUGGUUAUCUUGCUAACCUUCCAGCACUUCGCCACGUGUAUCAUACGUGUGCCGAGUCCGCAUCACGAGUAUGCGAGGGUUGAUAGGGAGUCUAUUCAAAGGACCCUAUCCUCACGGUUGUUUCGCCCACGUUUAUCAUACGUGCGCAGGUUCUGUGUGUUGAUUCAUACGAAGGAUGGUAUUGUUCGAUUUCAACGAGCCUAUCAUCACGGUUGUUCGCCCACGUCUAUUAUACGUGCGCUGAUUCCGCAUCACGAGUAUGCGAAGGGUUAUACGGUUCCAUUCAAAGGGGGCCUAUUUCCAAGGUUGAUUGUGCUGUCCAUGCAGCCUUGAACGCAUGGGUGCCGUUCCUAUAGUGAACAGUAAUGUUUGGGAAUGCUUUCGUGGGUGCUGGCACGAAAGGUUCAUGAGGUUGUGUUUUCUGCAGGUACACUAACCGCGUUCGCUUAGAAGACGCUACUAGAACCCGACUAGAUAUUAUAGGGAGAGACGUACUGGUUGCCUUGCCACCGGUACUAACUGCGUAAGUCCAAGUUUUGGCAGUUGUUUUGGUUGAAAAACGAGGUAGGCCGUGCAUGCGUCAUCAACUGAAAUCUGUGAAACCACCAUCCCUAAAGCAACCUUGCCUUGGGAAAAGCUCUCCUUCGGUUCUAAGGAUUUCUAGUUUCUUCCAGCUUGUGCUCGGUCAAACCCGAGUACUUUUCUGUCCGACCCCUUUUUCUUCUUAGAAAUUCUAUCUCAUGAUGUUCUAGUUCUUGGUUCCAGAUGGCCGCCCUCGGACACGUUCUGUACGGCGUCGAUGGCUUCUCCCACUCGAUGUGCUUACACUUCGAAGGUUUUCCCGCUAUUCUAUGGGACACCUUGAGGUGGUUCGGGUAUCAGUCCCCGCCUUUGUACAUGGGAUGGAUGUACCUGGAGCACGGCGUACAGAGGUGCAACGUGCAGGCGGUGGUACCUCCGCCUCCUGUGCGGCCUGAGUGGCCCCAGCUUGGAGUCUCGACAUACGGACACGCCCUGGAAGAUACAUGGGAGUCAGCUGCUCUACAACUCCUCACCCAGUUCUUUCAGCUGCACCCGCUGGAGGUCACCUUGGACCCAGUCGGCUUGUUUCCCGCCAGGGAUCGGCUAAACCCGGCAUGGCUUGAUCGCGUCAACAACAUAGAGGUGUUGGCCACAUCCCACUCGCUGGUCACCAUCUCCACCAUAGUCAGAUGCAUGUCAGCCUUGUAUCGGCUGAUCGAGCUUCAAGGCCGAGCCAUGGCGAUCUUGGCUCGGAUCGCCGUGGACACCCAAGGACACUUCAAUGCCGCCAAGAGAGACCUGGUGGGACAAACCUAUCAACUCAUCCAGAGAGGCAUCCAAAUCCACGACAUGCAAGACCGAAUCUCCAAACUCGAGGGAGAAGUGAUAGAUCUGGUGGAUGGCAUGAUUGAGCUGUCAGAAGAGAAGAUGGAAGUAGAGAUGGAGCUAGCAGUUGCUAACGCUCAUCUGCACGAGCACCACGCCGAGCUCGACGACAUGCACGCCCUUCAAAUGCAGUUGGAAGAGCAGGAAGACCCUGAGGAGGUCGUGGGAGCAUCCAGCAUGGACAUUGAGGAUGGCGAUGCCCCUUCUCCAACCCACAGUGUUCCCUCGUAGAUGGAGAGUUAUAGGGAACCAAUUCUUUUGUUGUACUCCUCGGCAACCUAAAUUUUGGAUAGUCAUGUAAAUAGGUUAGCCUCGAGUUGAGUACUUCCUCCUGUGUUUGAAGGCCAGCAAUGUAAUGAUCUCAGUUGAAAUCAGAUCUUAGCUUGACCUUUGACUCUUUCGCAACACGUUUGGAUGCCAGACUGUGUGAGUUUGUGCUGUGACCACACACCCGUUUUCUGUGGGUCUGUCCAAAGUUUGGCCGACCCCGGGUCGCAAGGUUGGACGCGCACGACCCCUAGAGGCGCUUCUCUGCCUCGCCCGACCCCUUCCUGUGCGGUUUGCUUCACCCGACCCUUUCUGGGCAGAUCGCUUCACCCGACCCCUCUUGUGCUGUUUCGCUUAAGUCCGACCCCUUGGCCUCAGAUCGGAUAUAUAUUGAACUCCUGGGAUAUGGUUGCGGUUCGCCCGAAGCCGUGUGCAGAACUAAGAUAGUUGUUAACUGAGAUGGCAGAGGAAGUGUGUAUCUCCUUUAUGAAGCUGUGUUGUGUUGCAUUGUGGCAAGAGUCGCACUUGAGGAUUUAACAUGCGCGUUCCCAUCUGCUUGGAAUACUUCUGAGGUUAUGGAAUUAAUGGAAUGUUAACUCUUGCAGAUGGCGCAUCGCACCAGAUCCGGCUCUGUGCCCAGCAGCAGCGAGCAAAGACAGGAUCUUCCCCCGCCCCCGCCCCCGUCUCCGCUGGAGGCGAUCUUAGCGGCUCAAACCAAGCUGCUGAGGCAUCUUGUACAAGGACAACAGCAGCAGCCCCAUGGGGGAAGGGCUCAGCACCCGCCUCAUGUUGCUCGCUAUGAGGAUUUCUUGGGGACGCAGCCCCCUUUAUUCCAGAAGACGCAAGACCCGCUCGACGCCGACGCCUGGGUUCGCACAAUCGAUUCCAAGUUUGAGCUCCUCACCGCCCCGUGCCCUGACCGUAGCAAGGCCCGGUUUGCAGCUCAACAAUUGCGUGGCUCCGCCAGGCUUUGGUGGGAUCACUAUCAUGCUAUGUUGCCGGCCGACCAUAUCGUCAGCUGGAACGAGUUCAAGACCGCGUUCAAAGGGCAUCACAUUCCGGAAGGUCUCCUGGAGCGCAAGCUCAAUGUAUUCCUGGCUCUUACCCAGGGAAACCGAGAUGUCCUGCACUACGCCCAAGCUUUCAAUGACCUGUGCCGUUAUGCCGGCUAUCAUGCGGACACAGACGAGAAGAAGCGGGACAGAUUCCGCAGAGGUCUAAGCUUGGAGCUCAGAGAGAGGUUGAACCCCAUUAAGGUGGAUACCUACAACGAGUUGGUGAAUCUGGCUAUCUCCCAAGAGGAUUGCAUGCAGGCUCUCAAAGCCGACCAGAAGAGAAAGGCCUCCGUAGCAUUUCCGAGCCCGCCCGCUCGAAGGUUCAGGAUGGUUCCACCACAGGCGCCCAGCCGACCCCAGCCGUCGGGAAGAUGGGUUGCCCGACCCCCACCAGCGGCAGUACCACGUUUUCCUGGCUUCCAACCACAGGCACCCCGGCCGACCCUACCACCACCACCACGCCCUGCAACUGGUAACCGCUGCUUCACCUGCGGCAAUGAAGGGCAUUUCGCUAAGGACUGCCCUAGGAACAGAAAUCAGCAGCCUGGCCAGAACUCCAUGACGAACAGGGGAAGAAGGCCCAAGGUACAAGUUCGCCAAGGACGGCUCAACUACACCAGCUUGACCGAACUCCCUGAAGGUGCGCCAGUGAUGACGGGUACUUUCCUUGUCUUAAAUCAAACUGUUGUUGUCUUGUUUGAUUCGGGAGCCUCCCAUAGCUUCAUCAGGAGUAAGACUAGAGAAAGAUGUGAGCUGAGUGUCGGUCACACAAAAGGGUCAUAUGUGAUCUCCACUCCUGGAAGGAAGAUAGCCUCAGACCAGAUCGUUACCCUUGUACCUAUCCCGCUAGGCCAAACUCUUUUCAAGGAAAAUCUCAUCAUCCUUGACCUGAAAGGAAUAGAUAUCAUCCUUGGGAUGGAUUGGAUGACCAGACACCAAGUGGUCCUAGAUGCAGCUGCCCGAACUCUCCACAUCAACUCACCCUUUCAUGGCAGUUGUACCCUACCCUUGAAACACCCUAAGUCCGCACUUCCUUGUGCGUACCCUCUAUCGGAAGCCCGGCUAGAAAGCCUUCCAGUUGUCUGUGAGUACCCGGAUAUGUUUGCAAAAGACUUGCCCGGCAUGCCACCCGAUAGAGAUGUGGAGUUUUCCAUAGAGUUGAUCCCCGGCACCACUUCGAUAUCCAAGAGACCCUAUCGGAUGCCACCUGCUGAGCUGGCCGAGUUGAAGACCCAGUUGCAUGACCUGUUAGAAAAAGGCUUCAUCCGACCCAGUACAUCACCCUGGGGUUGCCCAGCCCUGUUUGUGAAGAAGAAGGACGGGAGUCUACGUAUGUGUGUGGACUACCGACCCCUCAAUGCGGUGACUGUCAAGAACAAGUACCCACUUCCCCGCAUUGAUGUUCUGUUUGAUCAGUUAGCUGGAGCAAGAGUGUUCUCCAAGAUCGAUCUUCAUUCCGGUUAUCACCAAAUCAAGAUCCGACCGUGCAACAUCCCCAAAACAGCCUUCUCCACAAGAUAUGGACUCUACGAGUACCUAGUCAUGUCUUUUGGACUCACCAAUGCACCCGCCUAUUUCAUGUAUCUCAUGAAUUCAGUGUUCAUGCCCGAGCUGGACAAGUUUGUGGUGGUGUUCAUUGAUGAUAUCCUAGUGUACUCGAAGGACGAAGAAGAACACGCCAAUCAUCUCCAUGUGGUUCUCCGACGGUUGAGAGAUCAUCAGCUCUAUGCCAAGUUCUCCAAGUGUGAAUUCUGGUUAGAUAGUGUCAAGUUCUUGGGACACACUAUCUCUCGGAAUGGCAUAGCCGUCGACCCUAGCAAGGUACAGGAAGUCAUGGACUUGAAGCCGCCCACCUCAGGGCACCAGAUCCGAAGUUUUCUUGGACUAGCAGGCUACUAUCGGCGUUUCAUACCAGACUUCUCCAAGAUAGCUAAGCCGAUGACAGAACUGCUAAAGAAAGAGGUCAGAUUUGUGUGGAACGACAAGUGUGACGAAGCCUUCAAGACCCUGAAGCACUUGCUUACCACAACCCCGGUUUUGGCUCAACCCGACCCCUCUAGGCCAUUUGACAUGUACUGUGACGCCUCUGGCAUUGGACUUGGGUGUGUUCUUAUGCAAGACAACCGAGCCAUUGCCUAUACCUCACGGGCGUUACGACCUCAUGAGCUAAACUAUCCGACCCAUGAUCUUGAGUUGGCAGGAGUGAUUCAUACCUUAAAAAUAUGGAGACACUAUCUGAUGGGCACUCACUACAACAUCUACACCGACCACAAGAGCCUCAAGUACAUCUUCACUCAAGCCGACCUCAACAUGCGCCAACGAAGAUGGUUGGAGUUGAUAAAGGACUAUGAUUUGGAAGUGCACUAUCACCCCGGCAAGGCCAACGUGGUGGCCGAUGCUCUUAGCCGCAAGACCUUUUGCAACUGCUUGUCGGCAACAACCUUCACCGAGACUCUGUGUCAUGAGAUGGGAAAAUUCAGUUUGGAAAUUAUUUCCCAUGAAACCCUCGGCCACGUAUCUCUGGAGUCUGUUUUAGAAGAUCAAAUUGGGUCAGCCCAGUUAGAGAAUGAGGAAGUAAGGCGGAUCACCAGGAAGAUUUCAUUGAAGGAUGAAGGGUAUAAGCAUUUCCGACAGGAUGAGACUGGGAAGGUGUAUUAUGGAACCUGACUUGUUGUACCAGCCGACGCCAAUCUGAGGAAGCAAAUCCUAGAUGAAGCUCACCUCUCCAAAUUCUCAAUCCAUCCUGGCAGCAAUAAGAUGUAUCAUGAUCUCCGUCAGAUCUUCUGGUGGAGUGGAAUGAAACCAGAAAUUGCCCGUUAUGUUUCAGAAUGUGACAGCUGCCAACGUGUCAAGGCCAGCCAUCUAAAGGUAGCAGGUACCCUGCAGCCCCUACCUAUUCCCUCUUGGAAAUGGGAAGACAUCAGCAUGGACUUCAUUGUUGGACUACCUCUUACAUCGCAGCGACAUGACUCCAUCUGGGUAAUUGUGGACCGCCUAACCAAAUCUGCCCACUUCCUUCCUGUCCACACCACCUAUACGACCAAGAAGUAUGCGGAGUUGUACCUUGACCGCAUUGUUUCCUUGCACGGUGUGCCUAGGACGAUCAUCUCUGAUCGAGGGGUUCAGUUUGUAGCACGCUUUUGGGAACAGCUACAAGCAUCCAUGGGCACCAAGCUCAUCCGUAGCUCAAUCUAUCAUUCCCAAACCGAUGGUCAAACCGAAAGGGUCAAUCAGAUCCUUGAAGACAUAUUGAGAGCUUGUGUCAUCCAUUAUGACAAAAAUUGGGACAAGUGCUUGCCAUUGGCAGAGUUCUCCUAUAACAAUAGCUACCAGACCAGUUUGAAGAUGGCACCGUUUGAAGCCUUAUAUGGCCGGAGAUGUCGGACACCUUUGAAUUGGUCACAAACUGGAGAAAGACAAACCUAUGGUCCUGAUCUAGUGGUAGAAGCAGAAGAACAAGUAAAGGUGAUUCAAGCAAAUCUCAAGGCUGUCCAAUCUCGACAGAAGAGUUACUCCGACAGAAGAAGAAGACCCCUGCAAUUCGAUGUUGGUGAUCAUGUGUAUCUUCGAGUCUCCCCGACCAAAGGAGUGCAACGGUAUGGAGUAAAGGGAAAAUUGGCUCCCCGUUACAUUGGCCCUUAUGAGAUUGUGGAAAUUUGUGGACCUGUUGCUUAUCGGAUCUGACUCCCAGAACAGCUCUCAGCCAUACAUGAUGUUUUCCAUGUGUCUCAACUGAAGAAAUGUGUCCAAAUCCCAACCGAGAUAGUAGAGCAAGAACAAUUUCAAAUCGAACCUAACCUGACCUAUGCUGAGUACCCGGCCAAAGUUCUUGACCGUAAGGAGAGGCGCACCCGACGCCAAGUGGUAAAAAUGUACAAGAUCCUAUGGAACAACCACAUAGAGGAUGAAGCAACAUGGGAAACAGAAGAGUAUUUGAACAAGCACUUCCAAGGUUUUCUUUCUUGUCAAGGAUGUAAGGACUGUGCACCCCCACUGGUUACUCUUACACCUGAAUCUCGGGACGAGAUUCCUUUUAAGGGGGGUAGGCUGUGACGACCGACCCCAAAUCUCUCGAGUUAAAUCUUAAUCUGAGUCCCUUUUUCCCUGUCUCAGCUUUCCCGAGUUUAAGUGCUCAACCCAGUCCCGAUCCCAACCCCUGAGUAUCCGACCUCUUCCGCCGGUUUCCAGCUCCGACCCCUGCCGACCCCAACCCAUACCGCCGCAUCCUUCUAAGUCUUCCCACAGUGCCUCUUUUCAAUCUGAGCAGUGGACCAACCGAGAGUGACCGGUGGACCCACAAAAUCUUUCUCCCAGAUCUCCCGUGACAGACGCACUCGAGUGGCAUGCCCGCUUCAGAGUUUCUCCGCCGCGUGGCUCGUUUCCUCCGACACCCGCCGCUCUGCCCCGUCGCCAGCCGCGACCGGAUGGAUAUCCGCGCCCCCUUCCCCAAUCGCAGCGGAAGCCCCCUGCAACCCUUUCUGCAGCAUCUCGCAGCUCACGCCCAUCAUCACCUUGCCAGACCCCCGGCCGCAAGGCCUGAUGCCGCCCGUCUUUUCCACCGCCUCUCCACCAUCGCGCCACCCCAGAUGCGCUACGCGAGAAUUCCUCCUCCGCCAACCCCGGCCCCGGCCACGACAGCUCCUUUCUCGCUCUGCCAGAUCUGCGCCCCGACAGAAUGUUGCUUCGCGCUCGCCCGCGCAACCGCAACCCGCCUGUCUUCUCACCUGUGCGCCCUAGUUCCAAGCGCCGUUCCCCUGGUCACAUCCAUCAAAUCCGCCGCACGACGACGCCCGCCUCCGCCCAACCUCAACCACCGGCAAAACCGCGCCUGCGCCGCCCUGUCUCCAGUGCCCAAUGGCCGACGGCAUCAUCCCCGAAGUCCUGCUCCGCCGCCUAGCUACUCAAUCGCCGCCCCGGCAGCGCACUUCAUUGCCUCUUUCCGAUCUUCGUGCUGCUCCAGCCCUCCCUCUCUCUCUUCCGCGCAGCUAUAAAAGGGGAUGCCAGAGCCCCGCCGGAAUUCCCUUCGCCAUCGCUGCCUUCCCGCCUUGCUCCCUGUUUCGUGCUCGAGAGCUACCACCCAAGUUCCUGAGGAACUCUCCUCUCUGCUCAACACCCGCCCUUUUCAAUCCACCCAGUCGCUUGCUCCCCCGCGCUGUGCUGGAGCUUGCUUGGGUCCACAAGAAGCACCACCACCGCCGGAGUACCGCUGGGCAUCGCCGUAGCCCAAGUCUUAGUGCUUCCAUCCUUCCGCCCAAGUCUGCUCCUUCCCAACCCCAAGUUUCACCUGCAAGCCGAAGGUAAGCUGCCGACUCCUUGUCUACCUCGUCCGACCCUGUCUGUCCGCCCGACUGUAUCUGUUUCGCCAACCCUUUCCCCGCCUCGCCCGAGGGCUUGGCUGUAUCCUUUUUCCUUGACCCGAGGGUGCAUGUGUAAAACCGGGGACUUCUCUGCAUUAAGUCUGAGGACCCCCAGUACAGCUAUUCCUCUAGCCUAAGGGUCAAGUCACAAGUUUCUUUCCAUCCGACCCUUAUAUCGUGAUCUCCACCAACCCAAGUACACUUUCCCACCUUUUUCCGUAGCUUUGCUACCAGUUUCUGGGCUAAAACUUGCAAGUGUUACUGUUGAAGUAACCGUCUAAAGUGCUAACCCUUGCAUUGCAUCUGUGUAGAGCUACAUCUCGCCGACGGCUUCUACGAGCUGUACCCGGUGCCAGAAGACGAAGCUGUAGCCGAGCUCCCGCUUCCAGAAGCCGAAGCCACCCCAGCAGAAGACCCGUUCCCUUCCUCUCUUGAAGGCAAGCCCCGGAGCAUGAACCCAGUUUUUCCCAAACUUGCGCAUGCCUUCUUCAUCUUGUUUGUGCAUUUACGUAUAGGAGCUGUUUGCAACCCUAGAUACAUAACUUAGAUCCCUUGAGCUGGACACUAGCUGUUGGACUGAGUAGAUGCUUUGCUUAAAUAGGAAGCGGUAAAAGUCGAGUGAUUUCCUGUCACUCGCGAGUUGUAGGAGUUGAUUGUUCUCCUCCUGUCACAACUAUAAGGACGAUGGACGGGGCAGGAUUUUGGUUAACUCUUUGGUGGUCGGCUGUUCGCCCCGUCUGUCUAUGGAACUUGCUAAGGCCAACAGUGGUGGUGUUCGUGAUCAAGUGUUUGAAAGUACUAACCUCAUACUCAGUAUGGGAUGAGGAAGCCUAGUACCGGAUUGAACCUAGACGUGAGCGGUCGCCCCAUUAUCCUUGGAACGGAGUUCCCCUGCGGCCGCACGUGGUGGCAAGCGUGGUCACAGAACGGCAGAGGCCGGGUCUGUGGAACCUUGCACCAAAGGAAAUGGGCGCAACACAGGUUAGGGAAUUGACGGGGAAGGCCUACACAUGAAGCGACCCUCGGUGGUGCGCGGAUGUCGUGAUGUUAGGUUCACCAUGCAUGGUUAAAGAACUCGAAUCGAUUCGUCUGCGUCUCACAGUUUGAGACUGCUUGAUCGCUAUGCUACCCUGAGUAAUAAUGAAAUCUGAUGAUGACAUGGUCUUGAUGAUGUUACAUACCCUUUUGGUUGGUUCUAUGUUUGCUUGGAGUAAGUUGCUCACUUAGACCGGAUAAUGAACUUAGAAUCUGGGCUAAAACUUUGAAAUUAGGGAUCCACAUAGUGCUUUUGGCAAACAAACCCCUCAGCCAAAGAGCCCUGCAUGUCUAGAAGUGGUGGAGUAAGUUUACUCCCUGUCGGUUAAGUCUUGUUGAGCUUAGCAGCUCAGCCUUGUUUGUGGCUUUUCUUUUCAGGUGAAGUCGCUGCUCCUGAGCCUUCUCCUGUUGGCACUUGGCCGCCCCAACUCCCUCCGGGUUGGACGGUCGAGUGGGAUCCCUCCUCGGACAGCGAGGAGAGGGAUCACUGACGUCCUGGUUGGCCUCACCAGGGAUGUCCGACCCCGACGAAGUAGCUUCCGCUUGUUUCUUGUACUUUCUGUCUCUUUAUUUUGCAUCUUGUAAAACUCUGAUAUUGUUUCGUUGUUGAACUAAAAUGGCCAAUUUGUUAACUCAGUGGACUUGUUGUAUUCUCUGGAACCGCUCACCUUCGUGUGAGUUUGCUAACUCGGUCCUGUUCAAGUGGUUAAAUCGGAUGAAAUCCGACGGCACUUCGUGUUAACUUGGCUAAGGCAUGAGUGUCGCGUGUUAGGCGACUUAACCAUGUUUAAUCAAGCUAAUCCGAAGUGGAUCCGCCACAUUACUGAAUACUAUGCCAAGAUUAAAGGGUUUGCAGAUGAGAUGGUGGCCUUUGGAAAGCCGCUAGAUGAUGAAGAACUCAUCACGUACAUCGUCAACGGGUUGGAUUUAGAAUUCAAUCCUGUGGUGUCGGUGCUCAUCACAAGGGUGGAACCGAUCUCGGUUACUGAGCUCUACUCCCAGAUGCUCAGUUUCAAGAAUCGACUUGAACUCCAAGAUGGCUCGGAAUCCUCUGUCAACAACAUCAACAAGGGUGGCCGCGGCUCAUCUGGAGGUCGUGGCAGUGGCGUGGCCCUUGGCGUGGUGACAUGGCGGCUUUGGCCGUGGACGUGGCAACCAGAACCAGCCACGUACCAAUCAGCAUCAGCAUCACUCAUAUGGAAGCUCCAAUGAUAGUUGCCUGCUCUGCCAAGUCUGCUUCAAGAAGGGUCACCUCGCCUCUGAUUGUUGGCAUCGCUAUGAUUAUACCUACGUCCCCGACGAGCGCCUUGUUGCUGCUGCCUACAACAACACCUACAGUGUGGAUACCAAUUGGUAUACUGACACUGGAGCUACGGAUCACGUCACAAGUGAGCUAGAGAAGCCCUCCUUCUACGACAAGUACAAGGGAGGCGAGCACAUUCAUACAACAAGUGGUGCAGGUAUGGAGAUCAAACAUGUUGGUCAUACUAUUGUUCCAAUCCAUUCUAGAGAUACAGCAAGUGGCGUGUCUGGUACUCAGCUCUUCUCCUCUUAGCUCUAACGCAUUCAUCUCUACCAAUAUGUUCCUUCUCAACUGCCAUAGCUUUAUUCACCAUGUGCAUGACUGAGGGAUAUUCAUUUCCAUCCAAGAUUAGCCUAAUUUCAUAAUUCAAACCUCGGUGAAAACAAAACUGCUUCUUCUCUUCGAUGUUGGUCUGGUCAGGGGCAUAGCGCAUCAUUCUGGUGAAAUAUCGCGUAUACUCUUGCACCCUCAUUGUCCCCAGAGUCAUCUCAUGGAAUUCUUUAGCUUUGUUGAUCAACACUUGUUUGGGGAUGUCGAAAGCGCGAAAAGCUUCCUUAAACUCAUCCCAAGAGAUAUAGGUAGGGUUCUCGUGGGAUCUAUAGAAGCCAUCCCACCAUUCACUUGACACUCCUUCUAGCUGGUGUGCUGCUAGGGCAACACACUCUUCACCAGUGCAUGUGAUCAUGUAACGCUCGUAAAAUUUACUAACUCAAAUCACCCGCUAAAAAUUUUGUUUCAAAAUCUUUCGACCGUUGAGCUCCCGAAAAAUCUUUUCCUUCCCGGUGACCUCGUCGUCCCGGCACCCAACGUCGACAGUCAUCUUUUUUCGUUCCCCGCAAAUUUCGCCGCGUGCCCGUCAAAUCCGUCACGCGUGCCCGACCGAUUCCGCAACUUUCACCGAUUUUUCCCUUCCCUUUUUCCCCGUUUUUUUUCUUUUUCUCCCGUCCUUCCUUCUCCUUCUUCUCUCUUCCUUCUUCCUCCUUCUUCUCUCUCCUUCCUUCCUCCUCCGCCUCCCCCUUUUCCUCCUAGCGCCUAGCACCUGGUGCCUGGCGCCCGCCUCCUGGCCCGCACUGGCCCCGUGCCCGGCACCACCAGCGUCGAGCCGCCCCACACCGCGCCCCGCACGCCGCGUCGCGCCCGGCCCCGCCCGCGUCGCGCCUGGCCCCUCGUGCCCGGCCCCGCGUGUGCCGUGCCGCGCGCCGCCGCCCGCGCCGAGCCGCCCGCCUGACCGCCCGCGUCCCAUCGCUGGCCGCUGGUCGUCGCCCUGUGCUCCUCGUCGACCGAGCCGGCCCCCACCACGCCAUCCACGAGGAACUCCGCUCCGGCACGCCACCGGCCGGAGAUUUCGGCCGCCAUUAAUGCCGCCGGCCAUCGCCCACCCCAUCCCGCCGGCUAUAAAAGCCGCCCGAGGCCGGCCUCCUCCUCCCCCACCACAAGCUCGCCGCCCUCCCUACUCCCCUGCGCGCCACCCCAAAACCCCCGCCCGAGCCGCCUCCUUGCCCGCCGCCGGCGCCCCUUCUCCGGUUCCCCAUCGCCCGAGGUGAGACCUCAAAUGGGUUACCCACAUCCUCCUCCACCGCCCCUGCCGCUUGGCCUCGCCGUCGGCGAGCUAGUCCCGCCGGCCCGCCACUGGCCGUUCCUCUUCUCCCAUCCUCCUGUCACAGCUCAAGGAGGAAGAAAGCCUCCAAUUUCGAUCUAACCCCCUCCUUUCCUCUAUUUGCAAACCAGCCCUCCCACCUCUCUCAAAGAAGUCUCACAGAUACGCCCUUCCACCUUUCAGAAAUAAUUACAAAUAGGUCCCUGGUUCUCGCAGUUUAGUCCUAAACCUUGUUUUAAGCCCCUAACACUCCUUUAACUCGUCAUUUCAUGCGUCAAACUUCCUCCAAUUGAUCCCAAAUUCGACCACAGCCUCCUCCCAUAUACUUCCGCCGAGGCAUAUCCAAAUUUCAUGAAAAUACCCACUCCUUCAAUUUUCCGUUCGCAUUCUCUGUUCGUAGCUCAACGGGUAAAAUUUUAUUUCUCUUUUAUUUAUUGUGUGCUCGAUUGUGUGUGCCAUAGAUCGCGGAGUACCCGAGGAGGAGCACGAGGAGGAGUUUGACCGUGAGCUUGAGACCGAGGACCAGUACCGCGAGCAGGAACUCCUAGAAGGCUUUGAGAACGACAAGUCCAAUCUCACCCUUUGAUGCAUAUUUAUCCUAGUUUUUCAAAAACAACCUAUUGGCCUAUUUUAUAAAUUGCAUAUUAUUUUACCGCUAAAACAUGGUUGGAUAGCCACAUCGGAUGUUUGGAUACUAAUUAGGAGUAUUAAACAUAGUCUAAUUAUAAAACUAAUUGCACAUAUGGAGUCUAAUUCGUGAGACGAAUCUAUUAAGCCUAAUUAGUCCAUGAUUUGACAAUGUGGUGCUACAGUAACCAUUUGCUAUUGAUGGAUUAAUUAGCCUUAAUAGAUUCGUCUCGCGAAUUAGACUCCAUCUGUGCAAUUAGUUUUGUAAUUAGCUCAUGUUUAGUCCUUCUAAUUAGCAUCCGAAUAUCCGAUGUGACCCUGCUAAAGUUUAGCACCUCGUAUCCAAACACCCCCUCAUGGUACAAUAUACAUGCCCAAUAUAUGUAUUCAUACUCUCUUAGUAAAUAAUGUAUAAAUAUUUAUGUGCUCAUACUUGGUUUGUAUCAUACUGUUUUUUACUUAACAAUGGAAAUUGAGGAAAGGAUGGAGACAAGGACAAAAAGGACAUUUCGUAUUACUCUCAAGCUAAAAUGGAGCCCUCACAUCAGCACAAGGAUGAGUUUGACCUAAAAAUAAAAGUUGAGGGACUAGAUUAGCCGAUUUCAAAGUUGAGGGACAACCAUAACCUUCGGAGUAAAGUCAAGGGAUCAAAAUGGUCAUUUUGCCAAAAGAAAAGUAAGGCAAUUGCACCUCAACACGCUGACAAAAAAAAAA
rnacentral:lncRNA from 1 species